rnacentral:lncRNA from 1 species
AAAAAAGGACAAAGGACCAAAAACAUAAUCCCAUCUUUUCUACGCACCAUUGACGUCUCAGUCUCCCCAAUUUCUCAAGUUUCAUUUUUCUUCCAUUUUAGUCCAUUUCACCAUUUUAAGCCCUUUUCAAGUUUUAAACUCCAAAUUUCUUCAUAGGUUGUUAGUAAGAUCAAGAGAACAACUCAAAGCAAGCAUAUUAUCUUGCAAGGCUAGCUAAAAUUUAUUUUGGAGUGAAAACGAAAGGUGAAGAAAAGUUUGGGAUUUUAGAAAAGUUAAGCUUGAAGAUGGAUGUUGGAAGUGGAAGAAAUUAAGGUAAGUUGUUUAAACUUAUUAUUUAUGUUUUUUUGAUUGUAUAAUUUAAUAUGAAAUUGUAAGAAUUAAGUGUAUAUAAAUAUUUUCUAUGUUUAAAGUGAUGAAAGUAUUAUGUUUAUGUAUGAAGUGAAUGGUAAGUGUGAGUGGUUUAAUUAUGAAAACUUUUAGUUUAAAAUUUUAUUAGUUUGAAUGAUUAAUUGUGUAUUUAUGAUGUUGAAAGUGAUAAAUAUUGAUUUUGAAUUUUUUUGGAGGAGUAAAUUGAAAAAAAAAUUGUUAAGUGAUUAAUUUGAUAAAAAUUGAAGUAAGGAUUAAAUUGUAAAUUUGGAAAAAAAAAAUUUGGGGUCAAGGAUUUAAACAGAGAGAUUAAAUUUGGGAUUCUUAUAAUAAGACUAUAAGAAUAUGAUAUUUAAAGUAUUGAAAAUUUGUACUUAAAUUAGCAUAUUUUUAAUUAAAAGGACUAAAUUGAGAAAUUUUUAAAAGUUCAAAAUUUUAAGUGUUGAAAUGUGAAACUCUGGAAUUUUAAUAUCUUUAUUGUUAAGUAUGGUUUUCGAAAUAACAAAAAACCAUUAUGUGAUAAGAAUUGAUGAUAUAGGGACUAAAUUGUAAAUAUUUUAAAUUUUAUAAAUUUAAAAAAAAAAGGGACUGACUUUAAAAUCUGGGAAUUCUUUGUUGUUUUUGGAAGAAACAGAUUCUGUUUUCAGGGACUAAAAUCAUAAAACAGUAAAAUUUGAACUUCAUAGACUAAAUUGUAAAAUUUGAAAAUUUGAAAAUUUCUGAACUGUUCUGUAAAAUCUGCAAUAUUGAAAAAUGGGGGCUGUUUAGUAAAUGCUGGAAAAGCAUAAGAGUGAAAAUGAGCAAAUUAAUUAUACAAGUAUUUAAAUGGAAUUUUUGAGAAUUUAUUGAAUUAACUGUAAUAAACAAAAUAAUAAUAAUUAAGUAAAAAUAAAAUAAAGGAAAUUUGAAUUUGUAAAAUUAGUUGUAUUAAAGUGAAGAGAAUCAUAUUAUGAAGUAUAUGUUAAAAGAGAAAUAUGGUUUAGAGUAGAUUAAAUUAACAAAAGAAAAAAAUUAAAGUAUAAUUAAUAUCGGUACAUUUUAAGAAAGGAUUAAAUUGAAAAGAAAUUAAAUUAUGACGCAAAAGGCAAGGGUGUUUUUCGUAACUGUCAAUAGAUCAGGUAAGGGUGUUGGGGUGUUACAUACUCAAUAUUUAUGUAAUUUAUAGGAGAAUAUUUUUUUCCAUUAGUAUAAAAUGAUAAAAAAAAAAAGUCCUCCAAUUUUUAUGGGAGUGCUGAAGUUCCAUAAUUCUUUUAAUAAAUUCAGAUCUGUGAUUUGGGAGAGUUGUUGCCACAUGACUACAUUUCCACUGCUCUUUUUUUUUUUUUUUCUAUUCAAACCAGAGUACCCAUCGAUGUCGAACUUCUACGAUAAGGUUGCAGUCCUUGCCGGCGACAGCUGGUUGCGUCUCCACGAUGGACUCGCUGCAUUCACUAUCACCGAAGUUGCAGCCACUCUCACUUUGGCGACGCUACUAAUUAUCUAUUUCUCACGGUUGGUUAAGAAACACAUCAUCAAAACUAAGCUGUCGCCGCCAGGCCCGGUAGGCUUGCCGAUACUCGGCCACCUCCUUUUCAUCAAACCCGAUUUCCUCCAAUACGUAACCAAGCAAUCCCAAAUCCAUGGUCGUAUCAUCAAGCUUCAUCUGGGAAGAAAAGUUUACAUCAUCAUAAGCUCACCAUCAAUCGCAAAACAAAUCCUCAAAGACCACGACGCCAUUUACGCCAACCGCGACAUUCCGAUGGCGGCCAUAAAAGGAACCUUUGGCGGUCUUGACAUUUGUGGAGACCCAACGGCCCAGAAUUGCAGAAGCUACGUAAGCUCGUCGUACGUGAAAUCAUGAGCAACAAUGGCCUCGAUGCCUGCUACGAAUUUCGCCGACGAGAGAUCCGACAAAUGGUGAAGAAUAUCCAUGGGAAAAUCGGGUCAACCAUUAACCUCAGCGAACGAAUAUUCUUAACAAUGCUGAGCGUUACGAUGAGCAUGCUAUGGGGUGGUUCGUUGAAUGGAGAAGUAGCAAAGCUUGGGCUUGAAAUUAAGGAUCGACUAGAGGAAUUUAUGAAAUUGAUGGGAGAACCCAAUCUUUCUGACAUUUUCCCGAUGCUUAGUCCAUUCAAUUUACAAGGAAUUGAAUCCAAAGCCAAGAAGCAUGUGUCGUGGUUUUAUGGGUUUCUCGAAUCAGUGAUAAAGCAGCGAAUGAAGCUCGGAGAGGGACCAAAAAUGGCGGACAGUAAGGAUUUUCUGCAGCAAUUGUUGGAGCUGAACCAAAGAGGAGAUGCCAAAACUUCAUUAUCCAUGAUGGAAAUAAAGGCUGUGCUGCUGGUAAGUACACUAAAUUUUGAAAUCCGGAAGAAAUAAAAAUAUAGGUACAAAAUUUUAAAUUUAUGAAAUGUAUAUCGAUAUAUGGGUAAACUAUAUUAUUAGUCAUCCAUCCAUGAAAAUUUACAAAAAGGUCAUUUAACUAAUAAAUUUUCCUUAUUUGUUAUCAACUGUUAAAUACUUUUGAAAAGUUCACUUAAAAUUUUUUAAAAUUAGUAUAAUAAUAACUUUAAAUUUCAAUAUUUAUAUAUUGUGUCAAUUUAGUCUUGAUUUUAAAAAAUAAUCAACUCUCAAUGUUUAUAUAUUGAGUAAUUUGGUCUUUUUUUUUAUAGUUUUGUUUUUUCUGUAACAUUGAGGGUUGAAUCUAAAACAAGAAGAAAAUAUAAAAAUUAUUAUAUUAAAUUUUUUGGUGUUUCAAUUUUUGGUAUUCUUUUAUCUAGUUUAGCUGAUAAAUUUGUUUUUUUUAACUUUUUAGGUGAAAAGAUCACAAAGAAAAAUAGAAUUGCACAAAAAAAUUAAAUUUCAUUAUAUGUAAAUGUUGAGGGUUAAUUUUUUUAGAAACAAGACUAAACUAACAUAAAGUAUAAAUUUGGAGGUUAAAGUUGUUAUUAUGUUAAUUUUAAAAGUUAUUACGUUAUCUUUUUGUUAGCCAUUUAAUUAUUAAUAAUUAAAAAAAAUUGAAUACUUAGAUGACCAUUUGUAACUUUUUAUGAUUGGAUGACAAAAAGAUUCAUCAAUAAUUAAGUGACUACUAAUGUAAUUUACCCUUUAUAUAUAUAUAUAUAAAAACUAGUUUAAUUAUAAAUUAUAUGAAUUUGGAUAUUUAUGGUAUCUUUUUGUAGGGUGUAUAAUCAAUUGAUUUAAUUAAUUUAGCUUAAAAAAAAAUUUGGUCAAUUUUUCAAAAAUAAAAAUUAGUAACCGAAUUGAUUUAAUGAUAAAACUACAAUAAUUGAAUCGAUUCCGACUUAAUUGGUUUAGGAUUGGGUUUUGAAUAAAGUUAAAACAUAUUAUAAGUUAUUUUAUUUUGAUUUAUUUUAAAGGGAGAUUUUAUUUUGUUAGUUCACAAGUUAAUUUUAUUGUUUAAAAAUCUCAAUUUAAUCAUUUAUAUCAAUAAUAUUUUCCAUCAAAAUUUACUUAUUUGUAAUGUUAAUUAGAGUGUUGUCUCGUGAUGUAAUAAUAAUUGACGGAAAAUAUAUGUGCCUAGUUAAUAAAAUUUAAUAAGAAAUAUUAAAGGUGUUAAUGACUAAAUUAAGAUUUCUAAAUUGAAAAGUAAAAUAAUUAAAUUUUUAAUUUUAAAAUAUAAUAAUUAAAUCUCAAAUUUUAUAAAAGUAAAAGAUGAGCAACAUAUUUUAACCUUUGAACACUGGGUAUACUAGCUUAAAUUGGAACUUAUAAAUUUAUAAUAUAAAAUAAAUAAUUAGCCCAAAUGUAAUAUGGAUAUUUUAAUUGAAUCCUUUAAUCGAAAUCGAAUUAAUUGACUUGAGUUAAUUAAACAAUUUUGACUCGAUGGAUUAACUCAGUUUUAAUUAAAUUUUCCUCAGCUCUAAUCUUUUGUCAUUGUGGAUAUAGGAUAUGGUAAUCGGCGGUACAGACACAACAUUUGCGACGAUAGAGUGGGCAAUGACGGAAUUAUUACGGCACCCGAAUAAAUUGAGAAAAGUCAUCGAGGAAUUGGAUGCAAUAAUUGGGGACCAAAACGUUGUCAAGGAGUCCAAUAUUUCUCGCUUGCCUUAUUUAACUGCAGUGGUGAAAGAAACACUCCGAAUUCAUCCACCAGCUCCCUUGCUAGUGCCGCACAUGCCGAAUGAGACAACUGUCAUAGCCGGUUACACCAUCCCUAAGAAUUCUUGGAUUUUCUUCAACGUGUGGGCAAUACAAAGGGAUGCCGAGUUUUGGGAAGACCCACUUCGAUUUGAACCGGAAAGGUUCUUGAAAGACACUGAGAAAAGGAAUUAUACGGGAAAUAGUUUCCAUUUUUUCCGUUUGGAUCAAGGAGGAGGAUUUUUGUUGGGAUUCCAUUGGUGGAGAAAAUUACAAUGCAGAUUUUAGCGACAUUGUUGCAUUGUUUUGAUUGGGAAUUGCCAGAUGGGCGACAACCUAAUGUAAAAGAGAAGUUACAAUUCGUGUUAACGAAAGCAGAGCCGCUUGUUGUGGUGCCUGUUGCACGUUUAUCUAAUUCAAUACAAUACCAAUAGAUGUGCGGUUAAAAUAUGUUUUAAGUCCUUGUACUUUUCAUAAAUUUGGAAUUUAAUUAUUUUCAAGAGUUUAGUCCUUCUACUUUUCAGAUUGACAUAAUGUUAAAUUUAGCUCUCAAUGUUUACAUUUUUUGUCAAUUUGGCUUUUUUUUUCUUUUUUUUUACCUAAAUUUAAACACUAACCUUUUAAAAAGAGUCAAAUUGCUUCUUUUUAAUGGAAAUGAUGACUAAAACAUUAAUUUUUUUAACAAUGUUGGUUUUUAUUUUUCAUCAUCCUUCAAAGUUGUAGAAGUCAUUUUUUUGCAUUUUUCUUCUUGUUCUUGUUGCUUCCAUAGUUAGCUGAGUUAAUUACUACUGUAGCUUAGGUUUAUUUGCGCUUUUAGCCCAUCUCUUUUACUUGUAAUGACAUUUUACUCUUUGUUUAAUGCUAUUUUUGUUUCUUUUACCUUUAGUUGUUAAAAACCUUACCUUUAAUGUUUAUUCUGCUUUACUUUGCUGCUAGUUUAUCAUCCUCGUCUUUUCUUCAAAUAUAGCUUGAAAAUCCAAACUUUAGUUUCAUGGCUGUUAUGGUUUCUUAUUUCAAGUUCAUUAGCUUUACUUUUAAUAUGGGUAACUAAACUUUUAAAUGGUUGGUUGAUGGAGAUGUGGUGAGCUGAUUUUUGGAUGAUGGAUUAAAUUAUAAUAAAUUGAACUAAUUUGAAUGAACCUAAAAACUUAGGAUUGACGAUCCUGUUGAGCACCAAUUCAGUAGUCCCAGGUUAGAGGUGAACUCGAGAGAUAAAUCGAAUUACUUUGUCUAACUUGGUAAAAUUAAAACCGAAUGGUAAAAUGUUUAAGCAAUUUAGAUCCCUAAUUCGAGGAUGAGUAAACCACGUCAAGAUCAAUCAACCACCAUUUUUUUAUUUGUUAAUUUCGUAAUUUUGUAUUUGUUACAAUUUAGUCCUUGGUAGCUAGAUCGUAGAUUAGUGUAAUUCUCCUUUACCUCAUGAUUUUUCGUAAUAUAAUUUUUAGUGAUUAGUUGGUUAGACUCUUUAUUUUGCAUGCUCAUUAGUAGAAAUUGUUCAAUCUCUAACUCUUUUGGGUUCGAUCCUCAGAGUACUCUUGUACCUCGUUGUACAGAUAUAUUACAACUUACAUAUCACACUUGUAGACACCGCACUUAGUAUUUUGUUCGACCCUUGUCUUCAAUUGUUGAGUUUGUCCUCUCGUCAUUUGUGAAUGGGCAACAAGAGGAGGAGCGGUCAAUCAUAUUGGAAGAGCAAAUAUUAUCCCAAAGUGAUUAAGAAUAUUCCAUGAAGGUAACACACUUAUGACAAUGUCAUUAGACAUGCAUUGAGUAGAUGUUCUUGUAAUAGUAUGUUGUUAGGGAGAGCUCAAUCAUGAUACGAUAGUAGAAUGGCUUCGUGACUAAAUAAGUUUAUAAUUAAAAAACAAAAAGCCAUAACUUAAUUAUAAAUCAUUUGAGCCCUAAUUGCAUAUGUUUAAUCGAUCACUUCACUAGCUCAUUAAGACUAGAAAUGAAUUGCAUGUUUGAAUCAAAAUGAACUGAAUGAAUAAAAAUAAAGAAAUGGGAAACAUUCAGGAAUGAUUAUGGUUUUCUCCGAAUUGGGGAAAUGAAAUCAUUUGGAAAUGAAUGUAGGUUUCUCAAUAUAGAAAUGAAAUUGAGAAAUGAUACAUUUGCAAAUGUACAUGGAUUACUCAAAUGAUCGAAAGAAUAAGUUUAUGUUUUUAAGCUAUUUUAAAGCCGAAAAAUGAAAAUUAAUUAUUCGGUCAUAGUGAAUAUGUUGAGUGGUGAAAUAUUAAACAUAUUUUCUCAAAAAAUUUAUUAGGGGUAAAAUUAUCAUAAUUUUACUGGGGUUAAAAUUGGGAUAAGAAAAUUAUUUAAUAUAAAAUAUUGAAGUUUAUUUUGGGAAAUAGAAAAACGGAAUCUGGUUGGAUCAAAUUACAAAGUACUGGGUCGAAAAGUCUGGGAAGUACUCGUAAUUGGACCCAAUGUGAGAGAGGCCAAAAAUCCCCUCAUAGAUAUGAAGGGGCGACAAAACCAAUAACAUGUAGAAUUGGGUGUAUAACAUGAUAUUUCUUCACUUCCAUCUACCAUUACAUACCUUCAAACUCCACAUAUCAUUCAUUUUUACGACUGACAUAUAACAAGCAUUCAACUAAACAUACUAUUAAUAACACAACACAGAUCAUAUGAAACAUAUCACCAUCGGACCAUUUCAAUGAUAACCUCUUCAGUAAUUACUUUACCAGUAACAGUUCAUUAAAACAACAAACUUAUACAUACAACUAAACAUGCAUUUGUAGAUCAUCACAUUGCAAGCUUCAACCGUACAACAAACAUCCCACAAUAAUUCAACUCCUCAUCAUCAGCAGGACAUGAAGUCAAACAUACCACAACAAUGCAGUACUGAUAUACAUAAAACAAACACUGAGGAUUUGAGUUCAGAAACUCACCGCAAAAUACCUAAAAGCUUAUACCGACUACAUCUACUUGAUUUUUCCCCUAUCGCUUAAGCCUCCUCUUUCUCAAGUAGAAGUUUACUAAAUUUCCAAUUUCAUAAGCUAAUACGUUAGUUUCUUCCCCCAAGCAGACCGCUCCUUAAUUUUUCUCUCUUACAAAACAAACCAAAGAAUAAGAUAAAAAAAAUGAAUACAUAAAUGAGAGAGUGCUCACAGGAGAAUGAUAUCUAUCUCCUAUAUAACCUUCUUGCACUCGAUCACCAAAACCAAUUCAUCAGCAUCAAAAUUAAUAUUCCUUAUCAUAAUGUUUCCCAUUAAAGAAAAUACCCAGUUCUAAUGUAACAAGACUAAUAGUCAAAAUCUAACCAGUUACCAAAUCAGUUAGCAAGAUUCAUGUAAUUACACUAAGACCCUCAUAAACAGAAAAUUUUAUAAUUAGAUACCUAGAAUUGUUGUUGUACUUAUCCUUUAACAUUUCCGGGUGUGACACUAUUAAAUUUUUCGGUGUGACAUUUUAAAGUAAAAGAAAUACUCACUUGAUAACAAUGAUGUAAUUGGAAAAAAAUGUUUGUAAUUGACCUAAAUUUAAAAAUAUAAUUUGAAUUGUGUUAAUAGUUUGACUUUAAAUUUGAAAUCUGAAAAAAUAGAAGGAUUAAAUUCAUAGAAAUAAAUAUAUAGAGAUUAAGUUUCAAAUUCAUGGCAUAUUUUAACCUACAAGUUUUCUUCAAACCAGGAUUGAUUUUGUUGUUCAUCUUAUUGCCUCGUGUUUGUGCAUGUUAAUUGUAAAAUCUUGCUUCAGUCCUUUUAAAAAAGAAAAACUAAUAUAAUUACAGGUGUUCUCAUCUGUUUCUGCCUUUUUUUUUUCAUUUGGUUAAAAUGUGCCUAAAAGUCCCUAUACUUUUCAAAAAUUCAGAAUUUAGUCAUUGUACUUUUAUUUCAUGGAAUUUAGUCCCUCUACUUUCAGAUUUCAAAAACCAAGUCCAAUUGUCAACUUUAUUUGUUAAAUUCAAGUUAAUUACAAAGUCAUUUUCUUAAUUACAUGGCUACUAAGUGAGUAUUUUUUAUUUUAAAAAUAUCAUAGUAACGAAUUUAACAAAUAAAGUUAACAAUGUUAACAGUUGAACUUAAAUUUUGAAUUCAAAAAAGCAAAGGAAUUAAAUCUCAUGAAAUAUAAGUAUAAGGACUAAAUCCCUAAUUUUCGAAAAGUACAAAGACUUGUCGCAUAUUUUAACAUUUUCAUUUUUAGUAAAUUGUUUUUCUACUGAUAAUAAAAUUCUUAACAAAAAAUUGAUGAACCAAAGGGAUUGAAUGUCUCUUAUCUCUUUAUUUACUCCUCUUUACAGCCACUUUGUUAGCAUAUGAUUAGCUGUUAGUUUUUCGGGAAAGUAUAUUGGGCUUUUACCCAAAAGCCCAAUAUGAAAAUUAGGGUAAACCUAAGUUGACAUAUUAUAUACAUAAGAGAAACUUUAACCUAAUUUUAAUUUCUUGAAAGCAAAGCAAACUUCUUUCCCACCAAAAAGGGAUAGAAAUUUAUUCUUCUUUCAAAAUAAAAAAUUAUUCUUUUUUGAAUACAUAUUUCGAUUUUUUUUUCAUUUUAUGAACAUAGAUUUCAAUUUAAACAAUGACAUAUGCACCCAUGAAGCCUACUAAGCCUGGUUAUGAAGAACCACAUGGUGCAAAUACGUAAGAUAAGGAUUACCCUUUGUUCAAAAAAUGUGAAGAACUUGGAGAAAGAUAUUUAAAACAAUACAUAAUUAUAUAUUGCUUUUUAUAAUUAUUACUAAAAUUUUGGUGAAAUUUUCAGUUUGCAGUGAUUUGAUCCAAGCUGCUAAAGCUAAAGCUAUUAGGGUUAAGGGACCGGUGAGAAUACCUACAAAAGUCCUACGUAUCACGAGGAAGGCUCCUUGUGGUGAAGGUAUUCUAAACAAAAAAACCACAUCAAUUUAUCCAAUUUAGGGUUUUAGCUUUAUCCUUGUUUCGAAAUUAUGAUCGUUCCACUUACUUUUUGUUCUUUUUUUUUUUUAAUGUUGUUGGAAUCGGAUCAAUUUGAUCGGUUUUCAUUUAGACUGUGUUAUUGAAUGAAUUGCUCAAAAUCAUUAUUUGGUAGAUUGAAUUGGGUUUUUUUUCUCUUUACCUUUUGACCCAAUUUAUUAGCUUGGGCUAUAAAUUUUGACCCAAAUAAAAAUGAAAUAAAAGUCAAAUCUAUAUUAAAUUUAUUAUUUAUUUGUCCCUAUAAAAUUUUGAAGAUUUUUGUUUUUUAAAUUUUUUGGGUGAUUGAAUUGGAAAUAAAUGAUUCCAUUAAUUUGAUUAAAUUCUAAAAUCAUUCCUUUUUGGGUCAAAUCUUAUACAAAUUUGUAUGAAAAUUUUUUGUAUGUGCUGGAACCAACACAUGGGACAUAUAUGAGCUAAGGAUCCACAAGAGAUUGAUAGAUUUGUAUAGCACACCAGAUGUGGUGAAGCAAGUCACUUCAAUUACCAUGGAACCUGGUGUUCAAGUUGAAGUUACUAUUGUUGAUGUUUGAGACACCCCUUUGCUUUUACUAUUUUAUCCUUUUUAGGGUUUAAGAUUUUUGUUUUAUUGUAUAGUAAUUAAUAUUCAAUUUUAAGGUCUAAGAUUUUUAAUUUAUUUAGGGUUUAGGUUUUCAAUCUCCAAAUAAUUUAUUUGGUAUUUUCAGGUGUUAGAAUUUUUAUUAUUGAACUUUCCAUAUAUUAUUUAUAGAGUUUUUUAGUAUUGUGAGGAAGUAAAGGCAUUGCUUGAACUUCAUAUUGGUUAUAAGUAUGAUUUAGUGUUUGUUUGAUAAUUAUGGUAAAAUAAAAUCAAUAGAUUAUUUUUUUUUUAAUGGAAUCGAUUACUCAUUAAAUACACUGUAGCAGUUAUUCCUCAAUACAAAAUAUUAAAUGAUUUUGUUAUUUUAUUGUUAAACAAUUUAAAUAUAUAUUUAAAAUUAAUGUAUUUUUCAUGUUUAUUUUAUUUUUUACUAAGACUAAUCUAUUUUUGAGGCUUAUAGUAAUAUUAUAUUUACAAUUAGGGAAUAAUAUUUAGUUCUUUCGAUCUGUUUUUUUAUUGAAUUGACUUAAUUUACCAUAAUUUACAAAAACUAAUUUGAUCAAAUCAAAGUUCAAGAACCAACAUAAUUGAAUUGUUUUUAGGUUGACCGGUUCAAUCGAUUAAGUGACUUCAGUUAUUGAACUUGAAUAAUAUAUUUUUUGUAAUAUCCUGAUUUUGGGCCUAGUCGGAAUAGCGGUUUCGUGACCACAAAAUCCGAGAUAGAAAUAUUUAUUUUAUGAUUAUUUUGAGGUCUAUGAUAUGAUUGCAUGAUUGUGUAAAAAUUUCGUGAAGAAAUUUUAUGCAUAAAGUGCUUAAAUUGAAAUUAGGGACUAAAUCGAAUAAUUUGUAAAACUUGCAUUCUAGAAGUUUCUAGUAUGAAAUUGCUUUGAAAUAUUAAUUAGGAGGUCUUAAAUAGCAAUUUUAUCAAUUUCUAAGUCUAUGGACAAAAAUUGGACAUGGAUGGAAUUUUUGGAAAGUUUAGUAGUAAGGGCAUUUUGGUCAUUUAGGGGUAAAAUGAAUUAAAAUACAAAAUUAAAAGCCAAUUUUGCUCAUCUUCAACCCCAUGGCCGAAUAUAGCAAGGAGAAACCAUGACUAGGGUUUUUCAAGCUUCCAAGCUCGAUUAGCAAGGAAAACUGAAAUUCGGGCUAAAAUGGAAAAAUACCAAGUUGUGGACGAAAUGGUAAAAGUAGUCAUUUUCGCAUACGAGGUAAGUUCAUGUGUAAAUAAUGUAGCAUAAUUGUUAUUUUUAAGUUAUUGAUGUUAAUUAUAUGAUAUGCUGAUUUUUUAUCGUGAAAUAUUAUGCUUUGUGGUUAAUGUUGAGUAAUAUGCAAAUUAUGUUUACUACUUGAUAAAUAUGAAUUGCUACCGAGUAUCGGUUUCGAUAUUCCAUGGAAGACGACAAUGUGAGAUCCAGGAAAAAAGCCCGUUUGAACCUUAGGAAUAGAUUAGGAUACAAGUGACAUGUCACUAGGAUGGUUGAGCAUCCGAACUCAUUGAGUUGAGUCCGAGUUCACUUAUGGAUGCGAAUGUCCGAACUCGUUGAGUUGAGUCCGAGUUCGUGAGAUGUAACUAGGCAUCCGAACUCGUUGAGUUUAGUCCGAGUUCACUUAUGGAUGCGAACGCCCGAGGUCGUUGAGUUGAGUCCGAGUUCACUUAGGGGCGGGUUACAUGAUUUCUUGAUUACAUAUGAGGCACUUAUGUGCAAAUUAUCCGUGUAUCCGAGUUGUAUUCUGAUGUGUUCAACGGGUGAAAUUUCUAGUGAAAUGAAAGAACACUUAAGAUGCAAGCGACGUUUUGGUAAGUGUUGUGAAAUGGACACUUUGGACAGGUAUGUUCUUAACCCUCGGGUUGAUAAUAGAUACAACAACGAUAAGGUAGUAAGAUGAUGAAUGAUGUUUAGAAAUAUGAUAUAUGUUUUGGUGAUACCAUGCUAAAGUUGUUUGGUAUAUUUGUAUUGUUAUGUUACUUGUUAUUUACAUAUGAACUUACUAAGCAUUUAUGCUUACUCCCUCCUCUUUAUUUACUGUAGUUUUGAACAAGCCAGCUCGGGAAUCGGGACAGGUCGAAGGUUCGAUCACACUAUCCAAAGGACUUUCAUCUGGGUAAAUGGUUUGUAAAACUUAAGUAUGGCAUGUAUAGCAAUAUAUUUAUUUUGUGUAAAUAAUUUUAUGAUAUGGCCAUGAUUGGUUGAGAAAAUGUUUGAUAUUGAUAAGUCAUGGUGAUGGUUAAAUUUAGAUCAUGUUUGAUAUCAUGGAAGUUUAAUAGGUUAUCUAGUUCAUAACAAAAAAAUAAUAAUAAUAAUAAUAAUUAGAAGUCAUUCUUUAUAUUUACAGAUUCCUUAUCGAGUCUAGUUUUAAGAGAAACAAACCUCGUAGUCAUUGAAAUUCUGUAUAGAGAGAUAUCUGAUUCGUAAUACACAGAUGUCAGAGCAGUCGAACCCUGAAACAGGGGAGACUUUAACUAAUAAACUGUACUAAUUGGCCCAACCCAAAAUUCUAGAAAAAAAUUAGUAAAUAGAUAUAUGAGUCUAGAUUUAGGAAAAAUUUACGGAUCUUGAUUUUAAGUUUCGUAACUCGAGAUAUGAUUUUUUUUGUAACUGUGACGCGAGUAGCUAGAAAGCUGUGAAUGUAGAAACAAAAGAUUUGAAGUUCUUAAUUUGAUAAAUUAUGUUCGGUAACUCCUCAAGCUCGACUCCGGCGACGGUUUCGAGCGUGGGGGCGUACAUUUUUAUUUAUAUAUUAUAAAUAUUAAAUAUAUUUUAAAUAAUUAAAAAUAUAUUAAAUUAAGUCAGUUUUUCAACAGAGUUGGUUGGAAAAUUUAAAAACCCGUAUUCAGAACUAACAAAACUUAAUCCAUAACCCAAAGAAUCACAUAAACUUACUUAAUCAAUUAGGUCAGUUCUCUCAUCCUACUUACAAUUACUUUUGUUUAUAAAUUUUAUAAUACAAAAUUAUGUUGUAUAAAUUUUUUUAUACAAAACUUAUAUCUACUUAUAAUUCUUCAGAAUAAAUGCAUUUUAAUACAUUUAAACCUACACCUUUUUACAUUAAUAAUAAUAUUAUUUGCAUUUGUGUGGUUGAUCAUAGCUUCAGGCAUUGGGUAGCGAGACUUUUGUGAACUAAAUCACUAAAUUUUAUGAUCAAAUAUUAGAAACUUAAUUAUAUUUGUAAAUGUUUUGUUGGUGAAUAUUAUAUUUAUAAAUGUUAUUCCAAAUCAAGAAUGAAAAUUUAAGAAAAUUAAAAGGAAUAAUUAAUUGCAAGUCAAAUCGGCUCUAUAGUUGAUAGGGAAAAUGUAGGAAAAAUUAGGAUAUAAAGUGAUUUAGGGUAAAACUAUAAACAAACUAAGGUCAUUAAUCCGUAGGAUUUUUAUAAUUUUAUUUAAAUUUAUUAUAAAAUACAUUUAUAUUGUUACAAAUCUAAAUACUUUUCUAAAUCUUAAAUAAUAAUAAUAAUAAUAAUUACGAUUUGUUGAUGAGUAAGAUACUACCACUUCUUAAUACCAUGUCACAUCCACAUUAUUUUUUGCACAAUAUAAUAGGAUGCAAUUGAAAAGAAAAUGAAUGUUAUCAUUUAUGAUUAGGUGUGUUGAUAGAUUUUAAUAUAUUUUAUGUUUAUUUUUAUUCAACUUAAAAUACGAGUUUAAAAUUUUUCUUAAGCAAUUUCGUAUUUAUAAAUAGCUAAUUUAAUCUUCUUGUAGUUCACCUAUAUUAUUUUAAAAAAUUAAAAUUAUAUUUGCAUUUUAAUCUCGAAUCGAAUAUUUGUAUUUUGCACAGCCACCAGAUGCAAUUCUUCAAAUUUUACAUAAAGGUUUAGAUGGUUUUGUAAUGCCUAGAAUGAUGGCAGUUUGAUUUUUAUUAUUUUAUCUGCAUUUACCAAAAAAAAAAAUUUAUUCAUAGUCACGCUAACAAUUUUUAACAUUUACAAUAUAAUAAUAUAUAAUUUAUUUAUUUUUAUUAUAUAAUAUAAAAUAUUACAUAUUUAAAAAAGGGGUUAGAUUGAACUCGAGCAUUGGAUAUUCAAGUCUAAACAAAACCCAUAUUUUAAAUUGACCUAUUUUUUAAUUUAAGCUCAUUUUUUGAGUUAAAUAUUUUUAUCUAAAUCCUUCUAAAUUCUUAACGGCCUUUGGACUUGAGUAAGUAAUCUGACCCAUAAAUAAGUCUAAUCAUGACUAGAGAUAUUUAUUGAUCAAACUUGAGUUUAAUUUUUCAAUCUUCGAUUGAUUUGAGUCGGGUCCAAGAGUUUAAAUAUAUAUUAUCUAAAUACCAUAUAAAAGUUUUAAACAAUCUAAAUAUAAAUAUCUAAAAAAUUACGAAAAACGAGGAGAUAAUGUUUUUGUGAAUUAAAUAACUUGAGGUGUAAGCUAUGUUUAAUUAUCUCACCUAAAAAAUCCUAAAUGAAAAAAUAUAUAUUUGUGAUUUGAGAGGUUUAGUCAAAUUAACCCAUUAAUUAAAAAUAAAUAGUUUCCACCACAUUAUUUCCAAUCACUUUAACAUCAUCAUUUUCACGGAAAAAGAAAAAAAAAAAAGAGUUUUGGUUUUUGUUUGUAAUCAUUUUGUCAAGUUAAUUAUAUGACCUUUUUGUAUAGUCUGCAUGAAAAAAUCAUAUCUUAAUGUGUGGAUUCUUUCGGUUCUUUAUUUCCAUUCAUCAUCAUUUCACCUCAAACAAAGCAUUAUUUUAGGGCAAGCUUUUGUUGAAUCAUAGUACAACAAUUUUAAGCUUUUCUUUUCUUUCUUUUUUUUUUGAAAUAUUUGAAUCAUUAUGAAUUUGGCUUCGAAUUCAAGGAAAAAGAAUCAAUCAAUGUGAUAUUACUCAAAACCACUUAACUAUACAUUGGGUUAGAGAAAAAAAAUUAAAAUUUAUUUAGUCAAUUUUCAAUUUAUAAUUUAAAAAAUUCAGAUAAAAUAGUAUUCUAUUUUUUUUAAUCUAAAUAUCGAUAAAUUAAAUUAAUCCGAAAUUAUAAAAUUCGGUUUGGGCUGUUUAUAAUAUUAAAUUAAAUUUCUGUUUAUUCGUAAUUUUUUCAUAUAUAUAUAUAAAAAAAUAAAAGGGAGUAAAGUGAAAUGAGAAAGGGUAAAUUGAUUGCCUUUAACAGCCAUGCCCUAUACAUGAGAUUCAAUUCAAUACCUAUGAUAUAUUGUUUCCACCUUACUGCCUGCCUCCUUUAAUUAUUUUAUCGGCCCUGCCUAGUGAAAGCUGUACAUAAUGAAUGUCCAAAUGCAGCUUCACUUAAUAAUUAGAGAAUUAAAAACUUCCAACUGCCAAUUUAAUGUUCAUAUAUAUUUCAAGUCAUAAUAAAUUUCCAUAUCAUUAUCUCCAAUGCUUAAAUUAAUUAAAUUAAAAUAAAUAUGAAAAAAAACUCACCUCAAAGUUGAAACUUUUAAGUUUCUUCAAAUCUCGACAAGCCAAAGCCGAUUUUUCAUCUUCGGCAUAAUUUUAUUUGGGACUGUUGUGAGUUAUUUUGAUUGAGUUAAUUAUAUGUAUAUAUAAACUUAGGGUUUCCAUUGAUUAUUUCUGGUUGAGAGUCUUCUUCAUUGAGCAAUUUCUUAAAAAAAAAAAAAAAACCCUUGUUUUAUAUACAAAAAUAUAUGGUUGUAGAUGACAGCUUAAAAGAGAAAGCUCCAUAGAUUUUUCCUACCUACUACAUAGACAUUUUUCCUCCUACAGUCAACACUACUUCGCUUUGUUAAUUUAAAUAUCCUCUCUACAUGAAACUAAGGGAGAAAGUUGGAAUUGGCUACAAUACAUUUUAUCUUUUAUUUUCGUAGCAUAUUGCUGACAAUUUGGAAUUUAACUAAUAUCGGUGUAUUAUGAUAUUUGAAAUCAAUAAAAUUUACAAUUCUAAAUUUUAAUAAAUAUAUUUGUUAUAUAAAUUUUUUCACCAAAUAAAUCUAACAUAUAUAAAAUCAAUCUCUCUACCUCUUCAUUAUCUUCAUAGGUGAGUUUAAAUCAGCUUAAGGGAGUUAAUAUAAUAUUUAUAUUUUUUUAUAAAGCGAGUUAGUGUCAUCUAUCAAUUGAGUUUCAAUUCAGUUGGAAAAUUAUUUUAGUAUCCUUUUGUAUUUAAAAUAAAUUUAUAAUAUUUGAGAAUACUUUUUGAAAAAAAAAAUAUGCAUAUGAUAAGAUUUAAACCAUACUAGUUGGGUUAACAAAACCUUAAAUUUACCACUUAAUCAAAGUUAUACUUUAAUAUUUUAUAUAUUUUAAGUUUAUUAUACACACUUUAUUAACUUCAUAAUUAUAUAUAUAUAAUAAUUAAUUUCAAACCAUACUUUUUUAUUAUAUUUACUUCCUUUCAUGUGGGUGCAGCAUCACAAAUUCUUUGUCUUUGUUUUUUAAUAUAAUGUUUAGAACUACUUAUAGCUUCUCCUCAACCAUUAAAUAAUAUGAUAACGCACUUCAAUACAUUCGAACUCGCGUUUUCAUGCACUAAAAACAAUACCAACACUAACUAAGCUAACACUCAAUCUGCAGCAUUUAAGCUUUUAUACGAAUGCAUGGUAAAAUAAAAUUAUUUUUACUAUGCUACUAACUUAGUGAUAUAGGGUUUUGGUUGAAUUUUUAUAGAUAAAUCAUAAAAGGUCAAAAACCCGUCCUGGAUUUUUUUUAUUUUUUAACAUAAUCCAUGAAAUUUUAGAAACUUCAUCUACAAUCUAAAUACUAUAUUAAUAAAGUAUAAAGUACAUGAAUUAUAUGGAUAAAAAUAAAUGGUAGCUGGCAGAUAGAAAUGGCUAAAUAAGCACUCGAGAAAAAGGGCUUAUAUAAAAUCAUUAUCUCAAUUAAAAUGCUAUCAUAAUAUGAACUGUCCAUGAAAAUGAAGCUAAAGCAAAAACAAUAACAUGUAUUAUAACAUGAAAUGGAACUCCCAAAAUAACAUGGUGAAAAUAUUUGUAAAGUCCCUUUAUUAUAGGGAUUAAAUUAAAUUAAUCCUUCUAUUUUCAAAAGUAUCAAUUAAACACUUAUACUCAUUGCUUAAAAAAUGUUAUAGAAAUUAUUAUUUUUGGUUUACAAUUAAACUCUAAACAAAAUAUUUCAUUAGUAGAGUAAUAAAAAAUUAUGAUUUGUGAAGUCCUUCAAUUAUAGGUAUGGGAUCAGAUUAGUCCUUCUAAACUUGUAAUUCAUUUACUAUUAAAAAGAAUCUAAUAAUUUCAAAUUAGAAAAUUGAAUUGAAUUAACAUUUGCUAAUAAAUUAUUAUUUUUUUCAUUUACAAUUCAACUUUAAACAAAAUGUUUUUAUGCAAAAUCAUAAAAAAGAACUUUUAAAAUACAAUUUUUUUAAAUAGUAAAUGAUACAUAUGUAUUUUUAUAAUUGACAGAGAGAAUAUGGUUACUAGGGAUCAAAUCUAAACUUACAUACCUAUAACAUAAUACUCUUACCAUUAGGUAAAGAGAUUGUUAGGAUUAAUGAUAUUUAAAAAAAUAUAUUCUAUUGAAAUUUGACACUAUUUUAUUCUUUUUAAUAUUAUAAAGAUCAAAAUAAUCUAUUUAAUAGAACAUGGACUAAUUUAAUCUAAUUAAUAUAGUAGAGGUGCCUGCCAGUAAUAUUCACUAAAAUUAAACUCUUCAAGUUGAAAAUAUGAACUGUCCAUGAAAAUGAAGCUAAAGCCAGUGAUUCGCACGCGAUAAACCCGAACGUCUGGUAGUCGAGAGAGAGGGUGAUGAGCAAAGCAUGUCAGCUGUUAAGGCGCCCAAGCACCCCAAGUUCCCGCGCCGCUGUCCGCCGAAAAAACCAUAAGUACGCGCGUGAGAUGUUUCGGUGGAACGCACGCGUGAAAAGGGGAGGUGACGUGACGUUGGGAAAUGGUGAACAAAAGAAAUUAAAGGUCCAAGGACAGUAGUUUUUGAUUGCUUGCGGUGGGGUCCAAUGCGAAAAAAUAAAAAAGAGUCGCUCUCUAGCUGAGCUGUGAGAUUGCUACUGGCUGGCUCGGCUGUCAUGAUUUAGAGCCGCGCAAAUCACUCCGUGAUUAGCCGCACCCAUCUCAUCCCCUCUCCUAUCCGCCCAAUGUUCAAUGUCACUUGUGCUUUGACGCUAUCCAUUUCUAUUCGGGAUUUAAAUUUUUCGACUUAUAAUUUUAAUAUUGAAUUUAGGGUCAAUCUAGUAUUUUACCUUUUAUUUAUUUAUUUAUGUCCUUGGUUAAAAUAUUUUGAUGUGACAUUGACAAUAAAUAAUAUCAUGAAAUGUGACAAUAUUAUAUUUUGAUAUGUGACAAAAAAUAAAAUAAAUAUAUAGUUUUUUUAUAUUUUUUAAUAUUUUUUCACAUGCAAUUAAGUUAUUGGUCGUCAAUGUUAGAUUAGUGUAUUUCUAAAUUUAGAUACGGAUCAAGUUAAAAAAACAAUACUAAAUAAAUAUAAGUUGUCAAAUUUAAAUAGCUCAAAAUAUAUUAACCUUUAAAAUUAUAGUUUUUACAUAAUAAAUUAUUUGAAUUUGAAUUAUUUCAAAAUUUACCAUUCUAUAUUUAGAUAAUUAUCAAUUCAAAUUAUUUUAAGUUUUUGCCUGAUUAAAUUAAAAUUAUUUGUAUUUCUUUAUUUGGAGCAUCUGAGUUUGAGUAGCUUUAAACUUGAAUUAAUUUAUGAUUGGUUGAUUAAAAGUUGAGUUAUUAAUUUUUUAAUGAUUAAAUCAAAUUUAAAAUUAAAUUGAUGAGAAUAAUUUUUUAAUUUAAUCAAAAUUAAUUUAUCAUGUAAAAGAAACACCAAGGCUAGUGUCAAAGGACAAGUAUAAGUUUUGAACUUCCAAAAAUAGUAACAUUAACGUAAAUAUCUUGAAAAAUGGCAACUUAAAAUUACAAUAAGGAUAAAAUAUAUAUUAUAAUAUUUAAAAGAUUAUAAUUCAAUUUCAGAUUUUUUAUUUAAAAGAAGUGAUCAAGCCUAAAACUUUGUCAAUAGAUCAAAAGGUAUCAUCCCAUGCAAUUUAUAUCCUAAAUUAUUUUGUUAAACUAAUUUAAGAAUAGUAAUGGAACAGUCGGAGUGGAUGUAAUCAUGAAUUGGGUUACUCAGCUUGACUUGAAGGUCCGUCCGAAUAGCGGGAGGGUUUAGAUAAAAAUAUAGGCUUGAAAAAAUAGGCUUGGACAAGAAGUAAGACCCGUUUUUUAAAUAGGCCUAGCUCAAGUUGGCCCGAAUUUGCAAAAGAAAAAAUUGUUAUUGUUUUUUAGUAUUUUACCAUUGUUUUGCUAUUAUUUUGCUAUUAUAUUAUUACUAUUUUGUUUUUAUUGUUUAGAUAUUGUAUAACUCUUGUUUUAUUAUUAAUUUUGCUAUUAUUUUAAAUGUAUUUGCUUGCUAAAUUGCACUUAUUUUAGUGUUAUUUUUUAUUUUGUCUUAUUUGUUGGGAAAUAUUUAUUUUAAUGCUUUUAGUAUAUUUGAUGUAUUAUAUUUUUAAAAAUUAUUUUUAUAUAAAAAAUAAUAUAAAAAAGUUUAAUACGGGAUGAGCCGAGCUUGGGAAAAAUUUUAAACCCAUUUUUCAGGUCAAGUCGAGCCCGAACUUAGAAACAAGCUUAAUUUUUUUAUGUGACCCGACACAACCCAUUAUCAACUCUAGUUGACACUUUUUAUUUUACCACUCGCAUAACUUUAUUAUGGUUGUAUAAUUUUAAAAAUUACUACAAUAUUUAUGAAUGUUGGAUACAUUCAUCCAUAUCUCGCAUUGUCUCAAUUUGAUCCUUGCUAGUUAUUUAUAACAUUUCCAAUGUUUUUUUUAAAGAAAAAGAACCAAACAACUAAUAAGAGUAGUAAAACAUACUAAAACCCUAGCCAACAAGCUUAUCCUAUACGUCUCGUCCUAAGUCAUACAGUCUCGUUAAUUACAUCAAAAUUAAACCCCAAACAUAGAAUUUCAUAAAUACAAUGAAGACUUUUAUUUUAUACAUUUACCUUUAUAACAAUCAUAUAUAAACGUAAAAUUGUAAUUUCAUACAAUGUGAUGAUCAUAUAUAAACGUAAAAUUGUAAUUUCAUACAAUGUGAUGAGGUGAGAUGUGAUAAAGUCAAACAAAAUUACUUAUAAUUGUUUCAUUUUUAUUGUAAAAAACAAAACACUUUAUCUCAUAUCUACUUUUCAAAAAAAAUAUUACUGAAUUUAAAAAUAUUCGAGUUUAAUCAUUCCUAACCUAAUCCUUUGCAUGCGUCCAAAUCCAAUAAUAAAUAGGAAAAGAAAACUUAAACAUUCUUCCAAACCCAUACCUUAUACCUAUCAUCUACACCCAUAGGGCUUAAAAUCUACGACUAUAACCACUUCAUAUUGAAAAUUAUUUGGUCCUAAUUUCAUAUAUAUAUAUAUAUAUAUGUAUAUGUAUAGUCACAUGCUUGAGCAACUAGACAUAGAGGGGUCCAUGUUAUAAACAAAGCUACACACCCAUGAAACAUCCUAGCUACAAGUGAUAGGAUAGGACUAAUUUAUAUGUAUCUAAUUUCUAUGACUAUGACCCUUGUGUUGCAUUUUUUUUCUGUAUUCUUAAUAAAUAUUUAGGUUAUAGGUUAAAAUAUACAUACGUCCCUAUAUUCUUUUAAAAAUUAGAAUUUAGUCUUUUACUUUUAUUUAUAAGAAUUAGUCUAUAUUUCAAAUUUUAAAACUCAAAGUCAACCGAGAAAACUAUUAUUUUGUUUGUUAAUUUUGUUAGUAUGAUAUUUUGAAAUAAAAAAAAAUUACUUGAUAGUCACACAACUAACAAACAACGCUGUAAUGAACUUGAAUUUAACAAAAUAAUUUUAACAGUGUUAACAAUUGAACUUAAAUUUUGAAAAUUGAAAAGUAAAGAAAUUAAAUUUUUAAAAAUAAAAAUUCAUUGAUUAAAUUUUAAAAUUUUGAAGAGUACGAAGACUUAUAGCAUAUUUUAUCCUAAAUUGUAUUAUGAAGUGAGUAAAAAAUAUAAUAUAUUUAUAAAAAAAAAAUAUGAGCUUUAGUUGUGUUGGUAAAGUUAAAUUAUUAAAUCUAUUUUGAAUUUAAAUUAUGCAAAAGAUAAAAAUAUAUUUAUAAUUAUAUUUACCGUUUUAUAAAAAGAUAAAAAUCAUUUAAUUCUUUUGAAUUGAAUUAAUACAUAAUUAACUCACAUUAAUUAAAUAAGGACUUAAAUAUAUAUUGUUGGUUAAUUUGAUUAUUUUAAUCGAAUCGAUUUAACUGAUUGCAUCGAGAAUCAAUCGAAAUAUCGAUAUAGAAAAAAAUAUUAAAUUAAAUUAAUUAAAUUUUUUUAUAAAAUUUUAAUAAUUUAUUUAAUCAAAUAAAAAAAAGUAUCAAACCAAUAUCUUAACUGUUUCGAUCUCUAAUCCAAAUUUAAAAACCUUGCUGAGCACUCGUCCAAGCGUUGGAAGGAUUCAAUAAUGCCCUUGGUCGUUUAAAGGACGGUUCCCUCGUAUGAAGACGUUAAAAAAGGGGUCCCAAUCGUCUCAAAUUGCACAGCACAAAAGGCUAACUGAGGGGAUGUAACCGUGGCAUAACUACACCUAAAAUAAGUUGAAUGAAGCGGACCAGUGGAGGUUGUCAAAUCCACUAAUAUUUUAUAGUUGACACCGUUUAUUUCAUUAUUUGUAAUUAUUAGAGGUGUUUAUUAAUCGAACGAAUUGUAUAAUUUAACUUAUCUUAGAUCGAAUUUGAGUUUAUGUUUUUUUUAUUUCGAGAUAAGUUGAUCUGGCUUAUUCUUUUUGCUGUUUAUAAAGUAUAAAAAAAAUAAUUGUACAUUAAUGUUAUUUUCAUUAAUAAUAUUUUUUCAACUUUGGGGUUAUGUAGGUCUAAACUUGAGUUCAAAUUUAAAAAUUUUUCUAAAUCGAGACUUGAUUUGGUCUGAUUUGACCUAAAUUAUUAUCACCUUCAUUAAUUUAGGAUGAAUAUAUCCUCAUUUCGCUUCAAUUUUAUCUUUUUUUAUUUUUAAAAAUAUUUUCCAUCUUUUUUAUAAGAAAAUAAAUAUUUAAUUUGAAUAUUUAAAUAUAAAACAUAAGGGCUUAAAUAGUAAUUUUAUAUAUUGGACAAAACAAGAUAAGUAAUAUCAUAUUGCUCCAUGUUUAUUAUCCAAAAGAAUUCAUCUCACCACACAUUCACGUUUUCUUUUUUAAAAACUCCAUUCAUAGCAAAUGGAAUUAAAAUUCAUCGGGUGAUUCAGAUUUUGUCACUCUAUUCAUUUUACAAUUCACUAAUUCUUUCGAAAUUUGUGAUUACCUCUCUAUCUUUCAAACAAUGUCAAUUAAUUUAAAUUUAUUUAUUUUAGUGCUUAUAUUCACUAUUUUUCUAUUUCUUAAAAAUUAAUUACAGAUCAAUUUGAUUAAAUCAAUAUAUGUAUUGAUAUCAAUUUAAUUAAAAUUUGUUUGUGAUUAGAAAUUAAAGCAAAUGAUAAGGAAAUGAAUCAAAUAACCAAUGUGAUAAAUGAUUUUAAAAGCAUGGAAUAACCCAAUCAUAUGCAUAGAGUUAAAUGAGUUGGUUUGCUCAUAAAUUGCACCGCCAGCUACUAGCAUAAGUAGUCAUUCAUGGAGGUUUUUAGGGUUAAAAAAAAUUAUUAGCCCUAGAAAAGGUUAUUACAUCUUUAAAUAGUACUAAAUGCUAAAUCACCAUUUCUUUAUAUUUACUUUUUUUUUCAUUUAAAUUUUAUCCUUGAACUUAGAUUUUAUUAAUGUAUAAUGAUGUAGCACUUUAAGAUUAUACUUUGUUAUUGCUUGAAAUUUAAUAUAUAUAAUUUAAAAAUAUAAAAAAAUCAUCGCUUGAUACAAUUUCAGAAUAAUACAUCUUUAUACCCUAAUAGAAUCUAAUUUAUGAACUAAAUUGAAAAAAAAUCUAUCAAAUUCAAAGAUUAAGAUUAACAUGAACAAGAAAAAAUUAGGGGCUAAAAUUACAAAAUUGAAGAAAAUUGUACUUCAUAUCUAAAUAAUCGUGUAGUAAGAUUCCAUGUACUAAUAAAGAGUGAAGAGGAAUUGAGUUUAUAAAAUUCAAACCCCCAAAAGGGUAUGUGUUGUUGGGCAUUGUGAAAAUGUACCCUCGUUUUAACACAUUCCAAUUUCAAAGUUGAUUAAUCUAAUACAUACUAAUAGUAACCAAUUACUUUAGUAUCUCUUAGGAUAAACUACAUCCAUAGUCAUUAAAUUAUUAAUAGUUUCACAUUUCAGUCACUCAACUUCAAAAGUUUACAAAAUAGUCAUUCAACUACUAGAAAGUUUUUAUUUAAGUCACUAAGCAAUUAAGUUUUUUUAAGUCAAGCUAGUGAACUCCAAGCGGCGAUUUUAUGAACAGUACAAUGGAUCAAUAGAGUAAAAAAAAUUACCUUAUAUCCAAAUCGAUCUGACGGCCAAUCUCGAAGAUCAGAGAAGACAGCUGUUUGGAUUUUGAUUCAUAGAUUCUUGAUGUUUAAAAUUGUUUUAUUAAAAAAAAAAUUUGAAUUGUAGAUGAGGGGAAUGAAAGCUUUCGAUUGGUCAGACGGUGUGAACAUAUAAGGCCAUUGACUUGAAUGAAAACUUUUGCAUAGUUUAGUGACUAUUUUAUAACUUUUUGAAGUUAAGUAGUAAAACUAUAAACUUACUAAUAAUUUAGUGACCUUUAAUGUAGUUUACUCUAUAUAUUAUUUGACAUUGGAUAGUUAUAAUGGGUUUCAAUUAAAUUUAAAAUUGAUUCUAAUUGGAUCAUUUAAACAAAAGGUAAAAUAUUCUCUCAACACUACUUUCUUCAUCUAAGGGAACUGCUAAAUUUUUUUAUAGAAUUAAAAUUGAAUUAUUAAUAUUUGAGAAGAUCAAAAUGUAAUUUUAUUAUUAUACUAAAUUAAAAAUUUAUAAAUUUUAAAGGGAUUAAAUUAAAAUUUAAAAUUUUACAAUUUUGGGACGUACCAACUCAUAUAAUUUAAAAUAUGACCUUGCAAAAUGCUCAUUAUCCUUACAUCUCUAAAUUUUUAUCAUCUUAAAUUAUUUUAACAUUUCAAUUUCUUUUUCUGAAAAACAUAACUAUAUAUUUUUUUUUCAUUUUUCUGAACACGUCAUUUUCCGACGUGAGUUUUUAGUGGAAGUAAUGUAAUUUAUAUCACUAAACUGAAAGUGUAUGGUUGUUCCGGUAAAAGUAUUAUAGAGUUAUUUGUAUUAUGAGUUAAAUUGUGUUUUAUCAUUUAUUAAAAGAAUAAAUAAAUUAAUUUUUGCACGUUAGAUAAAAAAGUAAACUGAUUUUUCUGUUAAAAUUUAUCUAUUUUUACUUUUAUAAAAUAGUCAACGUACGUUAAUAUGAAGUACAUAUAGUACGCCACAUGAAGUUCGAUAUUUCGUUAAUCACAUCUAAUUUUAAUAGUAAAAAUGAAUAAAAAUUUUAACAAAAAAAUAAAUUACUCUUUAAUUAAAUCUAUAGAGACUAAAUUAUUAAUUUUUAAUAAAAGAGAUAAAAUAUAAUGUAAUUUCUAGUACAUAGACCUGUUUUUAAUUUUAUUUAUUUAAUUAUAUGUAGUUAUAUAUAUAUAUAUUCUAAAAGCUCAAAUUUCAUGAUGAAAUUGAUUUGGCAACAUAACAGCAGCACCUGGCUCCGAUCCAUUUUAGCCACGUGGCAAGCUUAGACAAAGAUGCAAUUGCGGGUUCUAAAUCCUUAAAAUAAAGAUCUAAUUUCAUUUUUGAUCCUUUCACAAUACCAAAUUUAAGAUUUAAUCCCCUUACUUUUACAAUAAAGUGCUAGAUAAAAAAAAAUUACAUUUCGGUUGAAUGUUUAUUUAUUUAAUUAAAAAAAAUAACAUAACUCAUUAUAAAAGUUUACAUAUCAAUGAGUAGUUAAGGGUGCUUAUAAAUAAAUGUCAUUUCAGUAUUUUAACUAGAAUAAAGUUGUCAAAAUUUUGAACUAAAAUUUUUUCUUCUAAUUUUCAAUCCAUAAUUUAGGUGAAAUUAAAGUAUAAAAUUUAAAUUUCAAAUAUUAGCAUGAUAAAGAGACCAAAAGCUGAUGACGAAAAGCAAAAGGGACCAAAAGAAAAUUUAACCUUUAAAAUAUGUUUUAGGCAAGACGGCCUCAUGCUCCAAACAUGCAAACAAACAAUUGUACUAACUUCCAAAAUUACCCUCAUCCACCGAUUCCCGCGCUAUUUACUAACAUAAAGUUAGUUGAUCAUAUUUUUUAUAAAAAAUAUACAAUGAAAAAUCUAACCCCUACUUAUUUUCUCAUUGUAGUCUUAAUUUUGUCAAAUUUAAUAAAACUAAUUUUUUUUACGGAAAACCUAAUUAAAUUAUUAAAAAAUUAAAGGCAUUGACUUGAUAGCCAGCAUUGGAUUUUACGUUUACUUUGUUGCUAAUGUGAAUAUUUUUUUAAAAAAUUAUGAAUUUUGUUUAUUUUUUUUAAAUUCUAUUAAGUAAUGAAUUGUGGUAUAAUUGUUAUAUCAAUAUUUUUAAAAUUUUAAAUUUCAUUCAACUUUUUCAUAUGAAAAUAAUUGGUAAAAAAUAUGUUAUAAGAGAAACUUAUAUGUGUUUUUAUUUUUACAAAAUUAACCCUUCAAUUUUUUAUAUUUUAAAAUUCAAGUCUAAUUAUUAACACUGUUAAAAUUAUUUUGUUAAGUUCAGAUUCAUUAUUACGUCAUUCUAAAUUAUAAAGUAAGUAUUUUUUUAUUUCAAAAUGUUACACUAAUAAAAUUAACAAAAAAGAAAAAAACAGUGUUAAUAAUUAAACUAAUGAAAUUUAUAUGGAUUUUUACAUGAAUUGUGAUGUUAAUAUCAUCAAAAUUUUACUGUUUAAAUUAAGUUUUUUAUAAAAAAAUAAAUUGACUAAAAUUUAGGACCAAUAUGAUAAAAAUUAAAUAUUAAUAGUUAAAAUUAUAAUUAUGCAUAAAAAUUGAUCAUAUCAUAGAUCAGAUGCAGACGAAUAAAUCAUGAUGAUCAAAACGGCCCCCACUCUGAACCUGUAGGCCCCACUUUGCCUCUCUUCACUCUUUCACUUUAAAGAAUCUAUCUGUCCUCCAUUACCCGCAACUCAAUGCAUCAGCAGCCCCCAUCGAAAGUAUAAAACUCUCUUUUUUUCCCCUAAAUUAUCCUCAAGCCCCAAAACUGCAAAAUGCAAAAUUCAAAAUAUUAUAUAUUUUUAGGUAAUAUGUUUUGAUUAUACAACUUAUAAAAUAAUUAUUAAACUAUUCAAUAAUUUUUAUUAAAUUAUUUAAAUUUUUUUAUUUAAAUUAUUAAAUUAUUAAUUUUUUUAAAAUUUUGAUUAAAGAACUCUAAUGGUUUGACGAAUGAUAUAAUAAAUCAAUAUUAAUAACUCAUUGAUGAGGAAAAGAAUAAACUUUAAAUUCAAGUUGAUUUAAGGGUAAUGUCAAAUGAUUGAAGAAGAAAAUUAUUUGAAUUUUAGUUUGUAAAUUCACGACGUUCAAAAUUAUUUCAUGAAAAAAAUGAUUUGUAAAAAAUGAGAAUGAGAACUUUCAAUUGGUGUAAGUAUUGUGAACAAAGAAUGUUAUACAAGAACAAUUUUAACUUUCUAAUUUUUAGUAACUUAAACAAAAACAUUCAAAAAUUCAAUGACUAUUUUGUAACUUUUUAAAAUUAAGUGAUUAAAAUUUAAAUUUAGUAAUAGUUUAAUAAAUUUGGGUGCUAUUUUGGCAUGAUAUAUUUUACAAAUUUUUAAAUUUAAAUUAUUGAAUCCCUCUUCUUCUGUAUAUAUAAAGCUUCUAAUUCACCAUCUCUCAAAUGCUCGAGCAGUCUCGCAUUUUAUUUUUCCUUUUUUUUUUCCCACACUUUUUUUAAAACCCAUUAGCUAAAAAUGCACUGGGUUCUUUCUGUGUUGCUUGCAGUUAUCGGAGUUACUGCACUGCUCGUUGUAACUCCGGUAAGUGGGUACCGUCCAUGGCCGUACGUAAAACCCAACAGCUCCGACUUAAUGUUCGGAGGCUCUAAGAAAUUUGAGGGCUCAUCGGAGUUUGUACAUAUGAGAUAUCAUAUGGGUCCAGUCCUUACUGCUCAUAUCACCAUCCACCCAAUCUGGUACGGCCGGUGGCAGAAAUCACAGAAGAAAAUCAUCCGUGAGUUCAUCAACUCGAUCUCCGCCGUUGAUUCCAAACACCCUUCGGUGGCUGGGUGGUGGAAGACCGUACAGCUUUACACCGACCAAACGGGAGCCAACAUUUCCCGUACGGUGCUAUUAGGUGAAGAGAAAAACGAUCGUUUUUACUCCCACGGGAAAUCCCUCACGCGCUUAUCGAUACAGUCCGUUAUCAAAAGCGCUGUAACGGCCCGUACGAAACCGUUACCCAUCAAUCCCAAAAGCGGGUUGUACCUCUUGCUCACCUCCGACGAUGUGUACGUCGAAGAUUUUUGCGGCCAAGUCUGUGGGUUCCAUUACUUCACGUUCCCCUCAAUCGUGGGGUACACGCUCCCGUACGCAUGGGUGGGUAACUCCGCCAAGCUUUGCCCAGGAGUAUGCGCUUACCCUUUUGCCGUACCUCAAUACAUGCCGGGGUUGAAGCCGUUAAAGUCACCCAACGGUGACGUUGGAGUUGACGGGAUGAUAAGUGUGAUCGGACACGAAGUCGCCGAAUUAGCAACCAACCCACUGGUUAACGCUUGGUACGCCGGUCAAGACCCGGUGGCUCCGGUGGAAAUUGCGGAUUUAUGUGAGGGUAUAUAUGGAACUGGAGGUGGUGGGUCUUAUACAGGACAGUUAUUGAAUGAUAAAGAUGGUGCCACGUAUAAUAUGAAUGGGAUCAGACGGAGGUACUUGGUUCAGUGGGUUUGGAACCAUAUUGUGAGUUAUUGUACUGGGCCUAAUGCUCUUGAUCAGUAAUUUUUAUUUUUAUUUUGUUUAAUUUUUUUUGAAACUUGUGAUUUUAUCUUGGCAUUUUGUCUUUGUCUCUUUUUUUUUUCAGGUUAUUUUGGCCUUUGUGGGUUUUGGUCGGGUGGGUGUUGAUGCAUGAUUAGUUAAGGUAGUUAAGUUUGUUAAAUAUGUGUACUUUUGUAGUAAUAAGCUUUGAUUCCUAAUAUACUCUUUUCGUAUACCGAUAGUUUAAUUAGCCCGUUUGAUUUGGUUUCUUCAACUUUCCUGGAAAAUUUUCAGAUUACCUAAAACCUAUCAUUUUCCUGGAAAACAUCAGUAGCUUUUUAUCAUCUGCUUAUAAUUAUGACUCAUUGUGGUGGUGGUGUUAAUAAUUUCGGGAACUUUAUAAUAUCGAAACCAUCCUUUUGAAAGCAUGGAAAUCUAAUGGUGCAAAAAGCAGUGAAAGCAACUCCCUUUUCUGUUUUAUCUUUUGGGUGGAGAAAUCAAAACUAGAGUUAUCUAACAUUUUCUUAUGUCCGAGAAAAUUUAAACAGAAAACACGAUCGUAUCAAAUCUGAACUCAAGCUCAAUUUAAUCAGAAAAGAUAAAAAUUCCAUAUAAACAUUUCAACCAAAAUGUGAAUUGAUCUAAACUCGUUAGUUUAAGAAUACAUUAUUAAGAAGAAUAAUCACGAACUUUAAAAUGAAAUAAUUAGUACAUGUCAUUAUUAAAAAGAAUAAUUACAAAAAAUGAUUAGUACAUAAUUAAUAUUCAUGGAUCAUAAAUUAAACAUAAAAGAUAAUCUUGAUUAUAUUAAAAAAAAUAACCUGAAAUCAGUAGAUGAUCCAAAUAUGAAAAAAUUCAAAUAAUACAAAAUCAUUCAGCAAGGUCUAUAUUGACAUAAACAGUAAAUCAAUUUGAACUAGGGAUGAUAUGACCAUAAAAUAACACGAAAAGUAAGCUUGGAGUGACAAAAACUUGAAAUGAUCCAAAUAUGUAAUGGCUUAACUUGAAGAAAACUUGAGCCUCAGAUCUGAAUGAUCGAAAUUCAAAACAACUUUAACCCAAAACAACCUAUACUUGAAGAUAAACUCAAAAUGAGAAUUCGAAUUGACCCGACACAACCCACUGAAUUCUUUUCUUCUUCUGGUUGAAAAAAAAGGCCCUUACAAACAAGUAAAACUAAAUAUCAUAAAAAUAGAAUCAAUAAAAGGGGAAAACUGAAGCUAACUCUAAAGAACAAUGUGGUCAUUGUCAAAAUAUCUCCAGAAAGCGAUGCUGUCAGCAAGCAGGAUCUAAUCAAGCUAUGGUUGCAGGCCAUGAUGUUAAAGAAAGGAUCUACAUAUAGUAAUUUCUAGUAAAAAAAGGGGCAUAAACAGAUCAGAAUGUGAGAGACAGAUGAAUGAGAUAAAAAUGACUAGCAAUAAAAGAGCAUUGCAUGCCCAUUAACUGAUAUUAAUACCCUUACCAAAAAAAAAGGGUAAUGGCUAUAAAUUUUUGCUUCUAUUAUACAACUGCACAAUUAUGGUGGCAUAGCUGAUGAUUUACAAUUGAAAACAACUCCACCAAAAUAAGAAAGGUAGGCUUAACCAGUUUGAAUGCACUCUGCAGCAGUCUAACAUGUAGAUUUUAUUGUUUGUAGAAGAGCUUUAAAACUUUGUAAAUAUAUUGGGAGGCGCUCAUAGUUGCAGAACAAAGAAUAACAAGAACCACCAUCCAUAUUUAUUAAUAAUGUAUCAUUUCCUUAUCUUUUUUUCUAUUUUUAUUGCUAUUUACUGAUGGUAUCUGCAGAUUGAAAAACAUAAGGGUUAAUGUAAUUUUUGGCUCUUGAACUUGGCAACUAAGUCUACUUUGUUACCUGACGUUCUUUUUUGUACCUAAACUUGGCAAUUAGGUUCAUGAUCCUCCAAUGAAUAAGCAACAGGUACCUGAACUAGGCAAUUAGGUACCAAAGUGGACCUGAUUGCCAAGUUCAGGGACCAAAAUUUAUAUUAACCCAAAAAUAAUGAUACAAAAAAUUCCACAAAAAAUGAAUUCAAAAAUAAGCAACAGUGAAAAUAGAGAUCUUCUUGUGCAGGUAGGACAAAGUGAGAUUAUAAAACCCAUCAGUCAUUCAAUAUCAGUAUUUAAAAUUUACCCAACAAAAAGCAAAUAUUUGAACUAAACUCAUGCUUAAAAGAGUAGCAGAAAUAAUGGAGCAUUUGAGGAAGGAUCCACUUGGUUGAUGUUUUCAUUGACUGCCUGAUGUACCACAACAGGCAAGAAGCAGAGAUCAUUGAAGUAUCAUGCAAAGCCAAACAAUGAACAAACCAAGGUAAAAUAAUGAAGAUAGGGGAAUACAUUUUCAAGCAACAUCAUUGGAGCAUCAUGAGGUUACUAACCGAAAAAAAAAAAGAAGAAAAGAGAACCAGCUUGAACAGAUUAUUCAUUGAUAUAAACAGGUGACAUUUUAGUUCCUUACAUUAACGGCACAUGGUCAAAGUACCAUGGACACUGUUGUACUUGAAGUCAGAUUGCAUUUUGGACACUUCACUCAAAAAAUGGACAAAUUAGUCCCUGUAUGUUAAAUUAAAGAGUUAACUAGUCCUUUCUGUUAAAGUUUUCAUGCAUUUCUACUGUUAAAAAUUGGUGUAACUGAUAGAAUAACCAGACAGUUAUACGUGACGUGUCAUAUGUACCUUAUGUUGAGGUACAAGGACCAGUUUUUAACAAUAGAAUGGAAGAAAUUUUUAAUAGAAGUACCAGUUCGCUCUUUGAUCUAAUAUACAUGGACUAUUUUGCUCAUUUUUUAGUAGAAGGGGCAAAAUGCAAUUUAACUCCUAGUACAAAAGCCUCUAUGGUACUUUUACCACGGCACAAGAUUUAAUAGAACACGAUAGAAAUAAGCACCAUGAAACCAAAGGCUAUUUUUUGGGUGAAUAAUCGUGCAGUUCUGAAACAUCAAAAAAAGGGUAAUUGUUGUUUGAAGGUAUUGAUGCAAACCAAGUCGACUUUGGCAUAUGUCUAUCUUCAUGGAAAUGUGGACUUAUUGUUUUUCAUUUUGCAGUAAAUGAAACCAUUAUACAUUUUUUUCAGAGGUUAAAAAGCUUUGUAAAGCAGUUAUGCAGCCCCAAUUUUUAAAAUGAAGCAGCAGAUUACAAAAGCCUAAUACAAGACAGUAAACAAAGAGUGAUGAAUCUUUAUAUACAUGUACCCUUCUGACUAAUGAGAGCCUAAACAUUUCCGUAUGGUGUCAGCUUUUAAGAGUUGAUAACAUUUUUGGAACACAGUGCAUCAUUGAUGUUAGAUCCAUGACAUUGAACCUUUUUUUGUCCUUAAUAAUCAGAUAUGACCUAAGGGCUUAUUAUAUCAUGAACCUGAUUGAUAUGAAAUGCUAUGCUUCUUUUUUUCAGAAGGAGCGAGAGCAGGGGUUGUACAGGGAUCAAACUCGAGACUGAUAUUAUGGCAUCAACUUAAGUUGACAAAAUGCUAUGCUAUGUUUCAAUGGUAGAAUUCAAUCUCGAAUUUGCUAAUUCACUUUGACCACAAUAAUGACAGCAACUGUUGCAAUGAUACAACGAUAUUUCUUAAACAGAAUGUACUCUUUCUCCUAUAUAUAUCUUCCAAUUUCAAUCUCAUUUUUACCUAAAACCAGGUUCGAACUUCAAAUGACUAAUCCAAAAUUGCUAUAAAAUGAAAGACUCAAGAACAAUAUGUGCGUUAAUUUCUGGACAUACCUGAAGUUUCAAGAACAAUUCCUUCAAGAAAUAAUGAGCUCACCAAGGCUCAAUCAAGCCAGUAGCCAGUAGAAAAGCAAUCUCAUUUCUUCUCGGCUCAGAAAUGCAGGUUCCUCGACCGGCGACCGCCCUAUAAUCUGACGCCUCUCUCUCUUUUUUCCCUUCUUCAUGGGCUGCCGCUUACGCUUGACUUGCGGGAGGGUGAGGAUGAAGAAUAGCAAGAGCUCAGCCCUGUGCGUCGGGCUCCUCGACGGUAGGUUUCUGAGUUUUGAUCGAAAUUUAGGGUUUUCCGGGAGGCGAAGCGGCGAUGAUCGGGCUCGUCAGUGAAAGAGAGUGGAUUUGUAGCGCCAAUUUCAGUUUAGUUGGAUAAAUAGAAGACUGUUGGUUAUUUCUCUUGUCUCCCCAAAAAUCAAUUAUUUAUGUUUAUGUCCAUCGUAUUUUAAUUCAUUGAGUUACUGGGGCGGCCAUGUAAUCUUUAUUAUCUAAAAUUUAAGAAAUAUUUUAAUAGUUAUUGAUGGAAGUAAAACCGUUUGAAUUUUACUUAUUCUAAUUGAGGAACCGUUAUUACUUAAUUUUACUAAUUAUCAAUAUUCUUGUAAUUUCUGUGUUCCAAUUAUAUUAAAUUUGAUAUUUAUUCUUUAAUUAAGUAAUUUGAUUUAUCUAUUUUAUUAAAUUAUUAGUUAAUUCAAAUGGUUAAACAUCAUGAAUUAUCUCAAUUAAAAUACUCUCUUAAAUUAUUUCCAUUCCAACCUUUCAUGCUAAACUGAAUUUUUUUAAUAUUAGAAAAUUCUUUUACAAAAAAUUCCACUACGAGAUUUUAAUCAAAAUAGUUAACUUAAAAGUUUUAAACUAAUUUAGGUCAAAUUAAAAUAAUAAAAAGUUAAAUCCCAAUUUGAGAAUAACAAAGGGAGCAGAAUCUAAAUUAGACCAAAAAUAUAUAUCAUUUUAAAAUCAGUUAUGACAGUUUUUCUUUUCAGAGACGCACUCGUGGAGGAGAAUACAACACGCGCCCUUUAGUAAACUGAGGCAGUGAGCAGUGAACGGUGAGCACCAAGUUGUCCCACUGCUGUUGUUGGGUUUGGUUUUUUUUUCUUUUUUUUUUCUUCGAGAUUCCUUUCUUCUGCCCUCCUCCACACAAAAAAUAAAAAUAAAAAUAAAUGAAAUUCUUCCAAAGUUUUCCUCCUCCACAACAAUUCCUUGCAGAUUUGUUUUUGUUUUUGUUUGUUUCUUUGAAAAGCCAAAUUCAAUGCCAAAACCCUACCAAUGGCUUUACGGCCCCCUCUCACUUUCUCUCCCCUUUUUACUUCCUAAUAAUAGAUUUUCUCUUCUAACUUUGAUGGACUCCGUUACUCCAUGGCUCUCCUUUCUUUCUCUCGCUCUUUCACACUCCUUUCCUCGCCAUUUCACUUCUUUUCUUCUCGUUCAAUCCGCCGUCGCCGUUCCUUCGUUUGCUCGCUUUCUACUGCUACGGAUGUACGCUCUCGUUCCGCCGUUCUCUGGUUCAAACACGACCUCCGCCUCGACGAUCACCCCGCUCUCUCUGCCGCUGAAACGCACCGUUUUGUUCUCCCUCUCUAUGUCUUCGAUCGCCGCAUUCUCUCUCGUAUGUCCUUAAUUCACUCUUGUUGUUCUCUGUUUGUGAUUCGAUUAGUAAGUACCAAAUUUCUUGGAAAUUUAUUAAAAUUCGAAGUCGCUUUUACUGUAUUCAGGUUAUUCUGAUGAUAUGCUCGAGCUACUUCUCUUCGCAUUGGAAGAUUUGAGAAACUCUUUGAAGGAACAAGGCUCCAAUUUGAUGAUUCAAUACGGCUGCGCUGAAAAUGUCAUUAAAGAGCUUGUAAAAGAGGUUAGUUUCUCUUACAUUUUUUCUUUUGUAAAAAAGAAAGAAAAAAAGAAGCAGCAAAUUUCGGACUCUUUCUCUCUCUCUCUCUAUAUAUAAAUUGAAGCAGAAGGUAUGAACAGGUGAAAGCUACGGAUGUUUUUAUCGAAGAAGAGGUAGAGUAUGAAAUGCGUCAGCUGAUUGGAGUUGUCAAGAAGACAUUGGAAACGUCUUCGUCUUUAGAUUGGAAUCUGGACAUUGUCAUGUGGAGAACUCCAUUCUAUGAUGUUAAGGUGGCCAGGUUUUUUAUUCUAUUUUCACUUGAAUUUUUCUUGCAUAACUCUAAAGAUGAUUCCCCCCCCCCCCAACGUUUUCAUUGUAUACUUAUAAUGUGCUGUACAGAAUCUGAAGGAGCUGCCUGCAUCAUAUAAUGACUUUAAAAAACAGAAGUUACUACCCACUUCGCCUCUUCUUCCUGCAACAUUACCUGUUGUAGAGACGGAGUUAGACUGGGGUAAGUUUCUGAUUGUAAUACUAAAUGCUAUUAAUACUUAUAUUUGUCCUCAGUUUGGCCUCUUUUAAAUGUUUUAAUGCAUUAGUGAUAAUUUGCAAAGGUUAUUGAUUUAUAUGUGACUGUGAUUAUGGCUACUGAACCUAAUAAUUGAAAUAUGAAUCAGGUCCUCUUCCUACUUUUAGCGAUCUUAAGGAAUUUAUCAAAGAGAAACUAGGAAAACCGGAAGAGAGUUGGAAUUUGAUGAAAGAGAUGCCAGCUGAAGUCUUAUUGAAGGAGAAUUUGUCAAAAUCAUCUGAAACCAUACCAAAAAGUUUGAAUGACAAAAGCAUUGAGCAAAGGAGACGUGAUAAGUCUGUUUUUGUUACACGGAAAGGUGAUAUUGUGGGUGGUGGAACAAACACUCUGCUGAAUGCACUGGCUGCAUACCUGAGAUACUUGGAAGGAACAGCACGAGAUGACUGGCAAGAGUAUGUGAUGAAUUUACACCAUCUAAUACAUUUUACUUGUGUCUUAAGAUAUUUUUAAGGAUAUAGGUUUAAUUGUGUUUGAGCUGUUGAGUGGUUUCAGGUAUGGGGAACAAAUUUGUACAUGUGAUUUCUUAAUUCCUAGUUUAUUCUCUCAGUUUGUGUUUUAUCUGUAUGACAUGGGAAGAAUCUAAUUGGAGGAUGAUAUAGGCAAUUUUAUAUUGCCCUUUAUGUUUUAAUAAGCUAAAUCUCCUGUUAUUAAAUUUGCUGUAGAGUACAUGAAAGGUUACGCAAUGCUGAAACCCGUGAAGGGGCCUCUUUUACUUCCCUUUUCGGUCCUGCUCUUUGUCUUGGCAUCAUAUCUAGAAGGAGAGUGCAUUAUGAAGCUAUCAAAUAUGAGAAAGAGCGAAAUGCUGGAUUCUUAUCUCCAUUUGGAUAUUCUGCAGCCAGUGUUGCUGCAGCCGCUGAUGCUGUGUGCUCCAUGGAGGUAAUUGCUGCUUUAUAUUGGUAUUUACCUAAAUGUAAAUGCUCAGCUGAUUAUUCUUCUGAAUGGUUUUGUUCUUUGUGAUAUCCUUUGAAAUCUAAUGGUAGUGCAAGGCCUUAAUAAAGCAUUGUAGCUGAUUUUGGGUGCAGUGGUUUUGGCUUUUGGCUCUAAAAAGUCAAGUAAGUAAUGAAGGACUGUACUCUAUACGGAUUUGGAGGUGGCGUGGACAUCUAAUUCAGGUUUGUCAUCAACAACUGAGUCAUACUUUUGACAUUUAAAUCUGUAAUGUAGUUUACAGGAUAAGGGACUUUAUGCAACCUUGAUGUACUCGAGUACUUUAUAUGUCUUGGUUAUAGAUCUCUGUAAAUAUUCCAGUAUACAGUAGUUGGGCUUGAAGGUCCUGCUAUUCUACUUGUGCAUGGUUUUGGAGCCUUUUUGGAGCACUACCGUGACAAUAUAAAUGCCAUAGCUGAACAUGGGAACCAUGUUUGGGGCAUCACACUGUUGGGAUUUGGCCAAUCAGAAAAGCCAAACAUAGUGUAUACUGAACUCCUAUGGGCUGAAAUGCUGAGAGAUUUUAUCAUUGAAGUUGUGGGUGAGCCUGUGCAUCUAGUGGGAAACUCAAUUGGUGGUAUGUUAUCAAUCCUAACCUAUUUUUUACCUUUCCUAAGGUGACUACUACAAUUUCUUACUCUCUAGCUGAAAAUAGCUUAUCAGUUUGACUCAACAAUUUGUCAUUCUUUUCUUUACCCAUCCACAUUUUCUAUCUCCAGGUUAUUUUGUCUCUAUUGUUGCUAGCCUCUGGCCUUCUUUGGUCAAGUCUGUCAUCCUUAUGAACACUGCUGGCAAUGUCAUUCCCGAAUUUUCUUCCCACCGGUUUACCAGUGUAAGUUUAGCCAUAUCAUUUGGCAAUUUAUGCUUGUCUAUCAUGUUUAUUCCCGCUCUUAUGCUGUUCGGUAAAAACUGAAAAUGGAGGUUAAAAUACAAGUUUUGUGGUUUUGAGAAAUAGCCGCAGCAUGUGAUAUUCUGUAUAUAAAUGUUUCAGGAGAGGCAAACCUCAGCUGCUGCAAGGCUGGGUGCUCAACUCCUUUUAUUCUAUUUGAGAUUGAAUAUCAGGAACACACUUAAAAAUUUCUAUCCCACUGUAAGGAUCUGUCCAUUGCUGCUUCCCGUUUUCUUAUUUUGCAUAUCAUUUUGCACGUUGCUUGACUGAGUUCAAUGGCCUUUGACUUUUGCAGAAAACCAACCGAGCUGAUGAUUGGCUUAUUAAUGAAAUGCUGAGGGCAGUAUCCUCACUGUUAUUUGAAUUUCAAGACAAUGUACACACACUAUUAUAAUAUCUUCUUCCUCUGAAAAAAUGAACUUAACAAACUUUAAGUCCUAUGAUCCUGGUGUGACAGUGGUGCUGGAAAGUAUUUUCAGCUUUGACCUCUCAAUCCCUUUGAAUUAUCUCUUGGAAGGAUACGAGGAAAAGGUUCUAAUUCUGCAGGUAAAUUCUCUCUAUUCAGUAAAAAAGAAGUUUAUAAUCUCUCUCCAUGGGUUUGUGGUCUUUUACUUACUGUUGUUUCAAUCCGUAUAUCUUGUUAGGGAAUGAAAGAUCCACUCUUAGACUCAAAGGCCAAACUAGCCAUACUCAAAGAACAUUGUACCGGUCUUGCAAUAAGGGAAUUGGACGCUGGUAAUAAGCCUUUCUAUCCCCAAAAUAACCUCUCAUGAUCCUUUCUCUGUCAUUCUCCCAUGCUUUUACUGCUCCCCCGACUUUUAACAUUUCAGGUCAUUGUCCCCAUGAUGAGCAGCCACAAAAGGUGAAUAGCAUCGUCUGUGAAUGGGUAGUAGCUGUUGAAAGAAAACUAACUGCAAACUCUUACUCGUAAGCACUUGGCAUUCCUUCCAAAAUAAGCCUCAUUUUCUAUUCUCAGAGCUCUGGUUCGUUAAAUCCAGCUUACAAAAUUGCUAAAUUUGAAAUUGAAGAAUCUUUUAUAGGCUAACAUCUUACCGAUUCAAUUUGAAGUUAACGUUAAUACGUAAAUCCUUGAAGCCGAUUUGAUUCAUUAUUUUAGAAUUUGUGAAUUCUGAUAGGCAAUUUGUGAUGUUUCACUAUAGUGCCAGUCAGUCCAUGACCAUGGCAAUGUCAUUGCCAUUUCUUUUUCUCUUUAGUGAUUAUGAUAGGAUGGCAUCUAAAGUUCAUGUUUAUAGUUCAUGUCAUAUGUUCUUUUGUAUUUUUGUGUCGUAAUCAUGCUUACAAUAUUAUACACUUAGAUUUCAACACGUUAACAAUUCAUGUUAUAUAAAUUUCGAUAUGUUUGUAAAUUUGUGUUCAUGUUAUUGAUUUAGUAUCGUUAUGUUGUAUCGUGCAAUUUUAUCGUGUUUAAGUGAAGUGGGCUGGGCUUAUCAUGUUUGGACUGAGUUUGAGUUGUGAAUAGGAUGAGCAUUUGAUUAAGUCAAGUCGAAUUGAGUGAAAAAAAAAUUUGUCGAGUUGAUAAUUCCUUGUCAUCCUAACUUGAUUUGAAUUUUUUUUAAAUUGAGUUGAGUGAAAUGAAAUUCGAAUCGAAACAAUAAUUUUUUUCAAAUUAAAUUAAGAAAAAUUAAUGUGGCCAUAAAAUUUUGUUGACAAUAUGACUAAAUUUCGAGUUAAACAUACAUAUAUAUAUAUGAAAACUCUUUUGAAACAAAACAAGAGAAAAAUAAGAUAAUUAGUAUGAUAAAUUUGAUUUAAUAAUUUACUUGUUCAAGCUUCAAAUUAAUUAUUUUGGAUUUUUUCUAUAAAUUUAUAUUUUAGCAUAUUUGUAUUUUUUUAAAGACUUUUUAAUAAUUUUAGAAUUUUUAAUUUUUUGAAUAUAUAUAUUUAUGAAUUUUGGAAAAAAAAUAUUUCAUAAAUGUUUUGAAGAAUAUUUUGACUUUUUUAAAAAAAUUAAAGAGAUUAAUUUGCAUAUUUUCAAAACUAUUAGGUAUUCGAAGAGUAUUUAUAUUAAUUUAUUAUUCGAGUUAUUUGAGUUGUAAAUAUAACUUAUUCAAACUCAAAAAAAUCAAUUAUUUAUUCGAGUUGAUUCAAAAAAAUCGAAUAACUUAUUCGAUUGAAUUAAUCUAAAAUUCAAAACAAUUAAAUUAUUUUACUCGAAUCGAAUUUUAACCACCUUUGAAAAUUCUAAUACAAGUCCAAUUGGCCCUUUCAUUGUUUUGAGUUCAUAAAAAGGAUUAAGCUCGUUAAUGUCGAUUGUUAGGGUGGCAGAAGGAAAAAUAAGAAAAUGACGCCAUGACUCAACCACUUCUCUUCCAAGUCCUGCCAUAUUAUAUAAUAAUCUCACGACAAGAGCAUGUCAAGAGCACGGCCACUACAUGGGACAAUGAGACAAAGGCCGGCCAUUCUCAGCUAAUAACGCGCAUUCCUGCUCCCGCUACGUCUCUUUGAUGUAAACUGAACCAAACUCGAAUAGUGGAAAGCUUAAAAUGUUUAGUUUGAGUUUAAUUAAAUAUAAACUUUUAAGCUUGAGAUUUAAUUGGGUUAUUUAAAUUUGAGCUUGAUUGAAUUUAUUUUUUAAAUUUUGUAUUCUUAAUUAAAUUUGAACUCGAUUAACCUUGUUUAUAUUCAAGUUUGAGCUCACUUGUAUUUAAACUCUUUUUAUAAGGUAAAUUAAACUUAAGGUUAUUAAAUUAUUAAUAAGUUUACGUUUUGGUCACUCAACUCCGAAAUGUUACAAAUUGGUCAUUGAAAUGUUUGAAAGUUUCCAUUGAAGUCAUUGGGCUAUUAAAUCGUUGUUGCGUGGCUUUUUUUGCACUGCUUGCACCAAAUAGAAACUCUUCUUCCCUUUCUCUUCUAUAAUUUAGUUUUUUUUUAUGAAACAACUUUAAACAUCGCGAAUUUACAAACCAAAAUUCAAAUAGCUUUCUUCUUCGAUUUCUAACAUUGACCAUGAAACCGAUUUGGAUCUAAGGUGUUUUUUUUCUCAUUGAUGUGCACUAAUUAGACUUAGUCAUGGGCCAAGCCACCUGCCUAGGCCCGAAAACCCGCCCAAAAAGUGGGACGGUUGGGGAAAAAUUAUAGGCAUGAAAAAUAGGCUUAAACAAAAAAAUAAGGCCCAUUUUUUAAAUAGGGCAAGCUGGGUCAAGUUUGGGUUUAGCAUUAUUAAUUUGGGUAGAAUUUUAGAUUCGUUUUCUAACAUUUUGCAACGACCCGACCUAGCCUAUGAUUAAGUCUAGUACUAAACCACCAUACAAAUUGUCAAGCCAUUGAUUAGAGCUCACUAGCCAAACUUUGAAAAAAAACAAAACUCAAAAAUUCAAUAACUUAAAUGAAUAUUUUCAAAUAAUCCAAGGACCAAUUUGUAAUUUUUUAAAAUUUUGUGACCAAAACAUAAAUUUACUAAUAGUUUAGUGACCUCAAGUGUAGUUUACUUUUUUAUAUAAUAAAAGUAAAAAUAUAAUUUCAUAAUAUAAAAAUAUAUUAAAAUAAAAUGCUUGAUUAAGCUUACAAAGCCUUUCAAAUCGUGUAUUAUGGUACUCAAAUUCAACUCAAUCGAUAAUUACUUUUAUUGAUUUGAAUUUUUUUCAAACCGAAAUUAAAUCGCUUACCAUCGCUCUAUUUUAUUUGCAUCCCUAUUCCAAACAAAUAAUAUCAAAACCCAUGCCCCUCAUUACCAAGUUAGUCACAUUUUACUAAAACUAUUAAUAAAAUUGAAAAAAAAAAGAUUUUAGUAUAAAUAAAAUUUUGUAAAAAUAUUUAAAUAUCCUAUUUUAUAAUUAAAAAAUAAUAACAUCUUCUACAUUAAGUAGUAAUAAAUGUUAUUCUUUUUCUCACUGAAUACUUGAUCAUUCAAGUACAGAAUUUAUAAUAAAUAUAUAGAUAUAGAAAGUUUUGUCUUCAUUAUUUCAUUUCAUUUCCUAGCGAGGACAGUUGUAGGAAGUUUGGACUUGCAUAUUUGAUCUCCAUUAUUUCAUGCUUACAAACCGAGUCUAUUUUUAAUAUUCAAUGUCCUUUUAAUUUUAGGAGUCCUUUUCAUAUCCUUUCCCUUUAAGAAACCAAAUUACAUGUUUUCAACAUCAAAACAUCCUUCAAAAAAAAGAUCAAACUCACCAAUUACGUAUUAAUUGUUGAAAAGGAUUUCUAUAGGGACAACCAUUGUUACCCUUUAAUUAGUGGCAAAUCCUCCGAAAUUAACAUAUAUAUAUUUUAUGAGAGUUAAAAUGCAGUUUUACCAUUGUACUAGUUUAUGUCUUCAUGAUUUUUAAAAGGAUUAAAUUGAAACUCUAGCAAUUUUUUGAGGUUAAACUGUAAUUUUACCAUAUUAACUUAUAAUUUUAUAAAUUUUGAAGAGACUAAAGCAGUAAUUUCCCACUUUACGGCUCGCAUUGCCAUUAAUGGUGGUAUUUCUUACUUGAUUUGAUUGAUAUUUUAUUGGUUCAAUUUUUUUUUUUCAAUUUUAAGAUAUUGAUUCUCAAUCAAUCCAAUUUUACAAGAAGGUAUGUACAAGCUCUCGUGAGAUUAGCUAUCCCUAAGUAGUAGGUUUGCUAAGUCACGGUGAAUCGUUGAGAACAUCUGAAAGGUCUUUGCUCAUUUCUAACAUGAUUAUACAACGCCUAUGUGACAAUUUCAUUUCAACGGAUAGGUAUGAGCUUUGAUUCUCUUUAAAAGGUGAAAUUGCAUUUCAAUCUCUUUAAUAUUUUUAAAAUUAUAAAUUAAUUAAAUGGCAAAAUUAAUAUUUGGACGCUCAUGAUAAAAUUUUAGUCAAAACAAUGAAAAAUUAUAUUUUAUCUUUUUUAAAAGUAUAUAAUUUAAAUUUGACCCAAAAAUAAUUUUAAUUACAAUAUAUAAAUAAAUAUUAAUAUAAUUUUACAAAUCAAAUUUUAAAGCAACCUAAAUUAUUUUAAAUAAGAAACUCGACCAUGACAUCCCAAAUCAAGAUUAAGGGUCAUAUUGUUAAAAAUAAAUAAAUUAAGGAUCACAUAAUUUAUGUGGGUCGUGCAUGUUUAUGUCACAAAAUAAUCCAAGUGCUCACCUACUCUUAUUUUUAUAAGGCAGUUUCCAAAUAUUUUAAUUAAGCUGCCUAGGUAAUCAGUUUCCAUAUUUUUUAAUCACCCAUUUUGGGUAAAGCCCAGAUGGAGGAACCCAUCAAACAUUAGAAAAAAAAAAUGGUUAAAUUGCAUUAAAUUUCUUCGAACUAUUUUUUAGAUUUUAAUUUAGUCUCUACACUUUAAAAUAUUUUAAUCAAGUCUUUAAAAUAUUAGUAUUAUAUUAAUCAAGUCAUUCUAUCAGCCUAAUCGUCAAGUUUGGUUUUAAAUGUCAGUUCUAAUCUAACAUGAAGUAUUUUUAAAAUACGUGAUCGAAUUAUAAACAUAUGUGUCUAUCGUAUGAAAAGUUUGGGUAUGAUGUUUUAAAAACUAAACAAUGAUAUUAAAACUUGUGAGGAUUAAUUUUUAAAUUGUCAAGCUCAAGCCCAUACUAUAAAUGUGCACACGUUUACAAUUUGACCCACAGAUUCUAAAUAGCUUUAAGUUACGAUUUGGACUUUAAACUAUAUCUUUCUUUCACUUUAGUACUUAAAACAAUUUUUGUCCUUUAUUUGGUACUUGAGCAAUCAUUCUCUCUAUUUUUACUGCAAAAAAUUAUCAAAGCGAAUGAUAAUUUUUAUUGCUAAAUGUACUGCAUGUCAUAUUUUUAUUGCUAACAUUUUAUUUUACGUAAAAUGGGAUGAAAAUGAUAGUCGAAUAUCAAAGAGAGACAAAAGAUAAUUUAGGUACGAAAAGAACGAAUUCAAUUCAGAGGGUAAAACAUAACUUAAGCUUUUUAAGUAUCCUCUAUAGUUAGACCAGAAACUUUGAGAAUUAAAUUAAAACAUCAAGAAGUUAAGGGACCAAUUUAAAAUCCAAUCCAUAAUCUAAGGACUUCUGAUGUUAUUACCCCAUAAAGGAAAAAAUAGGAGAAGAAGAAGAGAGCAGCCCACAAAAGGGUAUCGACAUGGUCAUCUACAUUAUAGAACAAAUCGCAAAAGUCUCAACAAAAAGGACCCCCAAGAAACUCAUUUAAAAACCUCCAAAAAAUCCCCAUUGUUUAGUCCUUAGCUUUUUUGACACAAAUCCCAUCUCUGAAAAAAAGGGUGUAUAUUUUGUCUCUCUCUAAGAUUCUACAGAGAGAGGACACGCCAUGGAUGUGAGGAAAAUAGUUGUCGUUGUAGAAGACGUUGAUGUAUCAAGGAAAGCACUCCAAUGGAGUCUCCACAAUUUGCUCCGUUACGGUGAUUUGUUGACCCUCCUCCACGUCUUCACCGCCACUAAAUCCAGGAACAAAAAGAAAGCCAGGCUGCUUCGUUUACAAGGCUACCAAUUGGCUCUCUCUUUCAAGGAAAUUUGUAACUCCAAUUUCUUUAAUGUGAGUGAGUCAACUCAUCCCCCCACCCCUCCCACACCUCUCAAAUCACUGAUUAAGAGACUGGGUUUUCUUUGUUUUUUGUUAUAAUAUUGUUGAACAGACGAAUAUUGAGAUGGUUGUGACGGAAGGGGAUCAGGAAGGGAGGAAGAUUGUGGCUAUGGUGCGUGAGAUUGGAGCUUCUGUCCUCGUUGUUGGUCUUCAUCACCAGAGUUUUCUUUACAGGUGAGUCAACUCGGGUUCUUGUGUUUAGUUAUUUUGUUUCAUUGUUUAAUUAUUGUUUUGGGUGAUAACCCCGUUGGUAGUAGUUUUUUUAAUGGGCCUGUUUUGGGGGGUAAUUGAGAGUUUUCUAGGAAGGUACAAGAGAAAUGGUCAAAACUUUCAUAAGAUAUUAGGUUUGUAAAUUUCAAGACCAUUUUUUUGAGAUUGUUGAUUAAAUUGAUUAAUUCAUGAUGAUGAUGAUUGAGAAAUGAGAAAGUAGAGGGACAGUCAAAACAAGUUGUUUGAGUCGGACCGGUUGGAGCAAGAAUUGGUAGGGUCUCCCUUCUUUGAAGGGUAUUGAACUGGUUGAUCGAAAAAUGGGUAUGUACUUGUUGAAGUAGAUUUUUAAUUUUAUUUUUAAUAAUUUAUUUAAUCGGAUUGGUUAGACUGAAGAAUUGGUGACCUAACCAGUUCGACAAUAGAUUGAAUUCUGAGAAUUUUGGAAGAGAUUUUAAGAAUGUUGUGUAAUUGUAAAACACAUUGCACUUUUACAAUAAAAUCUCAGAGAUAACAUUGUUAAAAAGGGUAAUUAUAAAUCCGAAAAAGACAUUUUCAUAUAACAUAGUAAUCUUCAUAGAACGUGAAACGAAUUUAGUAUAAAAAAAAGGGCAUGGACAAGCAUGUGGGUAUGUCAAUGGUGAAGAAACAGCCAAAAUAAUAAGUUUUUGGGUCCACUCGGUUUUUGCUAGAUGUAGAGCUUUUUCCUUUUUACAUUAACUAUUGUGGUGCUUUUGACAAAUAUAAUAAUAUAACUUAAAACUCCCUUUGUCACUUAGUAAUGGAUAAAAAGUUCCCUAAAAGCCUAAAGCAUGGGGGUGGUUAUGAAAAUCAUGGCAUAAUCAAAGUGGUUUCUGUCCACUAGGCUAAAAUUUCUUUUAGUGAACAUAGUUUACCGCAAAUUCAUUUUUUUUUUUUCAUUUUCUGAAGUACUUGUGCUUGACAAAUAUGGUAUGGGGUUUGAUUUUUUGGACUAUAGAUUAAGCAUACACGUAUUCAACGUUCACCCGAGUCCAUAUAACAUUUUUUUUAUGUAAUUGUCUUCUCUCUUGAUUGUUUGGAAGUGGUUCCUUAGAAUAAAACAAAUUGCCCCUAUCCAUAGUUUGCAAUUAGUUUCUGAAUUUCGUGAUAUGAAAGACUACACAGUCUGCUCUGCAUGGUUACAGAUUAUGUUGGUCAUGGUGCUCUGCAUGGAUACACGUAUUCAACAUUCACCAUCACCAAAGUUAAAAAAGAGGGUUAAUAUAAAAUUUGAACCUUAAACUUGGUAAUUAGGUCCACUUUGGGAUCUAUAUUUUUUUGUCCGCUUUGGUAGCUUAACAUGACAACUAGGUUCAUUUUGGUCCCUGAAUUUAGAUCCCAUCAAGAUUUGAUGUUAUGCCACAAUCUCAUUGUGCCACAUUAUCAAAAUUUUAUGUUUUCCAAGUUUAGAGACCAAAAUGGAUCUAAUUGUUAAGUUCAGCUUCCAAAGUGGACCAAAAAAAAUACAGGUAUCUUAGUGAAUCUAAUUGCGAAGUUUAGUAACAAAAAAUUACGUUAACCCUUCAAUUUUCUUUUUUUUAAAUUUGUUUGACUUGAUUGAAAUCAGUGUUUUGAUUCGUAUAGGUUGGCAUUGGGCCAUGACAACAUAGCAAACUGCUUGAGCUGCAGAGUACUUGCCAUCAAACAACCAGAAUUGUCACCACCGCCACCAUUGAGGGCCAAGACCAGAGAAAGGCUACCACCACUUGACAGUUCAACUACCAUGGACUUUUCCCAAAUUGAAAUUUCUGGUUUGCAGUAAGUUUGAAAAAAACCCACCAUUUCUUUUUCUUGCACUCUUCUUUGUGUUUAUGUGACAAGCUUUCUUGGGAUAUAUAUCUUGCAAUUUAAUGACUUAAAAAUGGAGCUAAUUGAUUUACAGUGUGCCUGAUAUUCCUCCACCAAAAAUCCCAUAUAGAAUCUGUCCAAGCCCUUCUGCAAUUAUUUGGAGACCAAGAGGGUCAAGGAAAAAAAAGAGCUGUUCAAAUGGAGGAGCAUGAUGUUUAAACAUAGAUUAUUUUAUUGUUAUUAUCAUAAAUUGCACAUAGUUUGUGAGCUAAUCCUUUUAGCAUUUGAGUUUGUUUUUACACAAUACACCCAAAAAAAAAAUAACAGUGGAAAUUGACAUCAUACAACAGAGUUUCUUUUUGUCUACUUUGAUCACUGAAAAGAGUGAUUUAAUCAUGUAAUUAUUUUUUUAUCAUCUUUUACUGUUCGGUUAUCAGAUUCGAUCUUGAUUAAAUUCGCUAAAUCAAAUUAAAAUUUAUAGGCUAAAAUAUGUAAUAGGUCACUGUAUUUUUUACAAAUUUAGAAUUUAGUCUUAUUUUUAUUUCUAAAAUUUUGGUCUUUUUUUUUUAUAUUUCAAAAUUUAGGUAUAAUUGUUAACACUAUUAAUUUUUUUUUGUUGAAUUUGUUGCUAAGAUAUUUUGAAAUAAAAAUAAUUAAUUUGACAGCAAUAUAACUAAAAAAUAAUAUUGUAAUGAAUUUUAAUUUAACAGAAUAAUUUUAAUAAUAGGACUUGAAUUUUGAAAUUUGAAAAGUGGAAGGACUAAAUUCUUAUAAAUAAAUGUACAGGACUGGAUUCUAGAUUUGCAAAAAGUACAGAGACUUAUAAUGGAUUUUAACCUUUUUGUAUAUUAAAUAAUCUUUGGUGGUACGGAUUAUGUUUAUAAAAAAAAAAAAAAGCAGUUAGUGUUUUCAGGUUUCACGCAAUAAACUAACCCAAUAAAUUAAAGAAAAUGGCGUGCAAGAGAUCCAAACCUUUUCUUUUUGAAUUUAUUUUUUGAACUUAAAUGUAUAUUCAAGUUAUCAACGACAGAUUUAAUUUUAUUGGUAUAAAUAUUAUUAUCAAUACAAGAGGAUAUGGGUUCGAAUACAUUGAUUCGUAUUAUCUUCCUACUUAUGAAUUGAAAGGAGUUAUAGAUAAUUUUAAAUAUUAUAUCAAAAAGAGUAAAUAUGAAGUUGAAGUAGCUUUUCCAGCAAUUUUGAGAUUCAAUUGUGAUUUUAAUAUCUCUAUUAUGUUAAAAUUUAAAAUUUAAUCAAUUUUUUAAUUUAAUAUAAUUUAAUCUCUUUACUUUUAUAAUAUUAACAAUUAAUCAAAAUUAACCCUGUCACAUAAAUAAUUAGAUUUAACAUGUUUAAAAAAAUAACAACCUAAAUUUUAAUGAUAGUAUCUGUUUUUAUUAUGUUUGAUACAAAUUACCUAUACAAUAAAUAUAGAUGUGUUUAAAAUUUAAUUAACCUAUUUUUAAUAUGCUCUAUGUCAUAUUAAGCUAGAAUUUAAUGUUAAAGCUAAUGACAAUGCAAAUAGAUAAACUCGAUUGAUAUAAUAUUAAUAUUUUAAAAAUAAUUAAAAUAUUAUAAAAUUUAAAGCAAUUUAGAAUUUAAGGUAUAAUUUAAAAAUGUUUAAUGCAGUUAAUAUUUUUGUAAAUAAAAGAGUGUAAAUUUGAACGGUUAAUUUAAGCCGGGGCUCGCCACCGUCAUUUGCUCAGUGGGCUCAAUAAAUCGAUCCGUCAGCCUUUUGUAACUAUCAUAAGGCUCGACUGAGCCAGCCCAACACCGAUUUUUAGAAAUAGGGUAAAUUUCAUCUAAAGUCACUAAAAUUAUUAAUAAUUUUAUAUUUUUAUCAUUAAAUUUUAAAAAUUAUAAAAAUAGUCUCAAUUCAGUAGUAAAAUUAUAAAAAAAAACUCUAUCGUAUUAAAAUAAGUAGCAAAUAUUAUUUUAUGGAUUUUUUGUUUUUUAUAUAUAUAAAAAUAUAUUGUCGAAUAAAAAAAAUCAUAAUUUUUACUAUCUCAACACUACCAUUUCAACCAAAACUACAUUGGUUUUCAUAUCAAAAUUUUAUAAUUUUGCUACAUAAGUUUUUACAUCCACAUCAUGAGUGUCAUAAUCAAUGUUUUAAAAAAUCGAAUUGGUAGUCAAAUCGAUCAAAUCAUUGGUUCUCGAUUUAAUGGAAUGAUUGAAUAAUUAUUUAAAAAUUUAUAAACCGAUUAGAGGUGUUCUUGGACCGAACCUAAGCAUGAUCUUAAUACACUUUAUGCUUGCCUAAGCCUCACUUGACUAGAAAUAAGGUCUAAAAUUUUGCUCAAACCUGUUCAUAUUUAUAAAUAGCUAAUCCAAAUUCAUUUUAAACCCGACCAUAUUAUUUUUAAUUUAAUAUUUAAUACUUCUAUAUAUUUUUUAUUUAUUAAUAAUUUAUAUAUAUAGUACUCUUAACAUUUUUUAAAAAUUAUGUGUUAUUAAUUAGAUAAUAUAAAACAUUACAAACUUAAAAUACAGGUCUAGCCAGGUCAAGUUCAAGCCUUGGAUGUGGUUCAUAUUUUAAACAAAUUUGUUCUUCUUUCACCCGAGCUUAUUUUUCGAGCUUAAUAUUUUUAUUCAAACUCUCCCAAAUUUCGAACAAACUUUCGAACUUAAACAAAUAACUCAACCCAUAAAUAAUUCUAAAACCGAAUCAAUUAUUUAUUUUUAUCCUAAUUUCUAAUGUUUUACCAAUUAUGAAUAAUACAUUCAAGAACCAAUUAAAUCUUUUUAUUCAAAUCGCUAUCAAAAUCAUUUAUUGAUUCAACCGAUAUGAUGAACCCAUCAAAUCCGAUUCCGAAUAUACACUAAGACUAUUGAUGUAAAAUCAGUAAAUACGACAAUAGCCUUAAAAACAAUCUUCCAAAAAACCGAAAAAUAGACUGCAAAAACUCCAUGCCCUCUCCACGUAUGUCCCUUGCAUGUCUCCAUGAAACUGAAACUUUCCCACACCUGUCACCCAACCCUAAUCUCUCUCCUCACCUUUUAACCCCUUUACCCCCCUUCUCUCUAACCUUCCACUUCCCUUUGAGCUCUCUCAAAACCCCCCAACCAUGGCGGAGCGCAACCCAACCCAGCAGCGGAGAUCCCCAACAGGACCUAAUAACCCCACCGCCCCCGCCUUGUCCACUUUCUUACAAAGAAUCCAAGCUCAUUCACCGCACUCCGCUCAACUCCCCUUGUUCAUUACCGCCUUGAUUCUCCUACUCCUCACCGGGCUCACCUUGACCGUGACCAGUCUCGGCUUCAUCUUUUUCAUGCCAUUGAUUAUCAUUUCUAGCCCUAUAUGGUUUCCUAUAGGCGCCGUGGUGUCGAUCGUUUUCGCGGGUUUCGCCUCUGUGUGUGGCUUCGGGGUUUUGUCGGUGGUGGGGUUUUGCUGGAUGUAUAGGUACUUUAAAGGCAUGCACCCGCCGGGAUGGGAUAGGGUCGAUUAUGCGCGGAGCCGGAUUUACGAUACGGCUAGCCAUGUCAAGGACUAUGCUAUGGAAUAUGGUGGUUACUUGCAAAGCAAAGUAAAGGAUGCAGCCCCUGGUGCAUGAGGAAAAUGUGUAUGUAUUUGGAUCCGAUUAUAGCUGCCUGCUAGCUUUUUCUUUUUUACAAAGAAUUUUUGUUUUGAAUAUGAAAUUUGCACAUCUUUGUACAACUUUACUUUUGAUUAAUGUGAAUGUGAUCAUCCAUAUAAUCAACCUCAAUCCAUACAUGACAUCAACAUUUCCUUUUUUUAAAUAAUUAUUUCCCUUUUCCUUUUUUUAAACUGAUAAUAUUUAAAAAAAAAAUUGAAGGACAUAAUGAAUUUAUUCCUAAUAAAAUUUCAAUUUCAAUAUUCAGUUGAGUUUUAUUUUGAGAUGAUUAAAAAUUGUUUGAAUUAAAUUAUUGUUUUUUAAAGAUUUUUAUCAAUCGGAGAUUAGAAAAAGAAAUUAAUCUUGAGGAAGAACUAAAAGUUAAUUUGAUGAUUUAAAGAGUUGGCCAAAAUCCUACUUGCCCUUUUAGCUACGUCGGAUGACAAGAAAUUUACAGACACUUGGAUAUAAAUAGCAGCUCAAAUGAAGUGAUAUCAGCCAUCCAUCCGAGUUGAGGAUAGAAAAAUGUGAGGAAGUCAAAACCUCUAUUUUUCAUUCUCACGCAAAUCAUACAAUAAGACUGGUGAACACACACACAAAAAAAAACACACUUCCACUACAAUUAAAUUUUCUAACAAAAAUGGACUAAUCCUUACACUAAUAUUAAAUACUUGCCGCCAUCAAUAGGCUGCCUAAGUUUAUAAUUUUAAAUUGAUAGCCACAAUAAUUGCUUAAUCUACAUUUAUAAUAUUUCAAUUUCAUAUAUGGCCGAAGUGGGUGCUGGACCGUGGCUCCUUACUUACAUGAAAUUGCAUCUUUAUUUUAUUUUUUAAAUUGAAAUAUAUAUCUUGAUAAUAAAAUCAACUAUCUCGGAAUAAUUAAUUUGAGAGAAUAUAGAAAUAGUGGGAUUUGAAUUUGGACCAAUAAAGUCUUUAAGAUCUAAGGUCGUGCCCCAUAUAGAAAAAUUGUAAUGCGUCUAGUAUGAUGAAAAAAUUUAUAAUUCAAUUUCGACCAUUUUUUAUUACCAUAUCCAAGGCUAAAAAAUUUCUAAGUCCACAUUGCUUUGACCGUUGACCCUUGAAUAAGUCUAUCAUCGAUGAUUUUAAAUGAAAAUCCUAGGAAAAUCCCUAAAAUUCGAUAAUAAAAAUAUUAACUUUUAAAUGAAAAUCCUAUGAAAAUCCCUAAAAUUCGAUAAUAAAAAUAUUAAUGGGUCAAGCUAAAUCUAUACUAGAUUUCAAAGAAAAAAAUUUAAGCCAAACCCGCCCAAACUUAUCAAAAUGGCAUGUUUUACUAUAAAAAUAAAAAUAAAAAUUAUUUUUAUAUUAUUUCUAAACAAUAAACCAGUUUGUCCAAAGUUGAGAAUAUAAUCCAACCUUAACUCGAAUGAUUAUAUAUAUUAAUCACAAUUUUUUAAUUAUUUCUUGAAAAUCAAAUUUAUUAAAUUAUUUUUAUUUUGAAAAGAUAAGGGUUAUCCUAACACAUCAUUGAGCGAAUACUUAAAUUUAAUUUUUGCAAACACCUUGAUCCCUUUAGUGGAGAAAGUGAUACCAACCUUCGUAUAAUGACCCUUUUUUUUUUCUUUUCCUUUUUGGAUAUACUCUUUCUUUUUCUUUUUUACAUAAUGUCUAAAAUUACUCAUAAUUCUUUUCUAAUUCCUAAAUAGGAGGAUAAUAUAUUUUAGCGCACUCGAACUCUAUAUUCCUGCACUGACAACAAUACUCAUGCCAAUCAAACUAAAACUCAAUCGACUUUUAUUUUAUUUAUGUUAUUUGAUUUCUUAACCCAUAUAUUUUAAUAAUAUACUUAUUCAAUUGUUUGAAUAUGCACUGAGAUUUGAAGAAUAUAUCCUUCAAUAUUUAAUUAUUAUCUUAUCAACUAUAUUUUUAUAUUAAGCUAUUAGAAUUCCUUUUUAAAAAUACAUACAAUACUCAUCACCUAUUAUUUUAUAUAUUUUUUCUUACUAAAACAUUGGUGUAUACUUGGUAUGCCCUUACCAUUUAAUUAACUUGUGAAAAUUUUGACUACACUAAGAGUUGACCACAAUAAUUUUCAAUGCAAUUAGUAAAAUACAUAUGGUUUAUGAUUCUAGAAACAAGAAUUUAUAUACAACAUAAAAUGUUUGAAGAUGAAUAUUUUAAUUUGUGUGACACAAUAGAAUUAAACUAGCGUAGUCAUAUCAUCAUUUUCUUGGUACUAAAAUCAGUAAGAAAAUUAAUUAUAACAAUAAUUUGUUCAUAUAUAGGGUAUAUUUGUCAUUUUGUCUGGAAUUCGAGGAUUUGAUUCGAAUAAUUCAUAAUCGGUUCACCCCAUUUUGAUUAUAAAACUAAGCAAUCAAAUCUUUUAAACCCUACAUUUGAAUUGACCAAACCCAAAAGUGAUUAGAACCCGAAAAGAUACAAAUCUAAAAAUUCGAGCCUCAAUCUUGAAUGGUUUGAGCUCGAGAUUAUUUAAAACUUGAAAUGAUCGAAAAUUUUUGAAAUAUAAAUAAAUCCAAUCUUGAUUGACCUGAUUAAAAUCAACCCAACCUAUACAAUUGAUAUCUACUCUUGAAAAUAGUAAAUUUUUUUUUUUUACACCUCCAAAAUUUAUGAUUUAAGCCUUUUUCAAUGAUGUCAAAAAUGAGAUUGGAUCUGUCGAUUAAAUCAAGAAUCAAUAACUUGAUCAGUAACAUAAAAUUGAUUACAGAUCAAAUCGCUUGUGAACCGGUAAAAAAUCGAAAAUCAAGACAAAAGACCGACAAUUAAACAAGUUAAACUGGUUUGUAAAAUAAUUUUAAAUUUUUAUUAAUUUUUAAUUGUUUAUUUAAUUGAUGUUGAAUAAAUAGUAAAAUUUAUAUCUUUGGUCCCAUUUGAAACUUCAUUUGGGAGGACCUCUUCAAAUGUCAACUUUCUUAAAGUUAAGUGCUUUUAUGUACUGAAGGGUCGUUGUUGGGAAACCUCUAAAGGCAUUGAUUUUUAAAGUUUGAAAGUUUUCUCCUUUUUUGAAACUUUCAACAACUAAAUAGCUUGAAAAAAAUAUCUUGGAAUUGAAUUAAAAUAUAUUUUGUAGUGAGUAGGGUAAGAAUUAAACAUUGUAACUAAAUUAUAUUAUUACAAGCUCCCUACCUAAGUACACAAUAAUUUAAUUAAUUGGUUCACCUUUGCCCUUCUAUAUUCGAGCUUAAAAUUCCAACUAUAACUUUAAAAUCAUUGUUUAGCAAUUUUGGUUCAAGCAUAUGAUAUAUUUCAAUAUUUAAUUUGAUAUUCAAGUCAAAAUGACAUCAUGUGAUCCAAUGAAUGUGUCGACACUUGUGAUCUAGUAAAAAAGUAUAAAUAUUUAAUUGAAAAAAAAAACUCGAGUACGAAGGUGAGCAUUAAAACUUAAUUGAGAUACCAAAUUAGUAAAAAUAAUUGAAUAGCAAAAUUAAACUAGGUGCCAAGUAGGAUAUUAACUUUUAUUAUAAAUUUGACAAUAGUAGGAUUAGGGUCAAUCACAACACCAACUCGACUAGCAGUUAAUUUCGUUUCUUUAGUAUAAGCUAAUUUGAUAGAAAGUAAAAGAUUUAAUUAUAAAUUUCAUCCAUCUAGUUUAUGAAAUUUGAGAAGUUAAACCUUUUACUUUAAUUUAUCAGAAUUUAGUCAUUAUACUUUUUUAAAAAAUCAACUUAAAUUGUUUGUUUUUACUAAAUUGUUUAAUGCAAAUUGUUGGUCCGUUGAUUUUUGUUAAUUCCAUACUCAUAACACAUUGAAAUACUGAAUUUAAGUAUACAAUUUGAACGUCUAAUGUUUUGCCGUAUUACCAAAUUGAUCAAACUCGGUUAUCAUAAAGUAUGAAGAUUAAAUUCCUGCAAAUUAAAAUAGAUGGACUAACUUCUUAAUAAAAUAUAUGGAUUGGAAUUCACGAUUAGACCAAAACAAUAAUAAAUACUUUACCGUUGAAAUAGACAUACGAAGCCCAAUGCAACUUGCCUAAUGCUUUGUGAAAAAAAAUUUCUAAAGUUGAAACAUAAAAAAUUGCUUAAAUUCACAGUUCACCAUACAUAUAUAUAUAUUGUUUAGUCUAUUAAUGUUUUUAUUGAUUAUGGUGGAAAAGAAUAUAAAAAUAUAUAAUUUUUUUUGUUGGCUUAUUUAACAAUACACAAUUGCCACUCAACUAUCUUAAUAGGUUGAGUGUGAGAUUGUAUAGGUAGUUUGAUGCGGUAUGAUGCUUUUAGUUUACUUUUGAUCUCAAGCUAUAGUAUCUAAUCUCACUGCCACCAUUAUUUUUAAUUAAUCGUAGAUAAAUGCAUCGUCCGGUGUCCAUCCAAAUCCAUCCUUAAUUGCAUAAUAUCAAUUGAAGUGAAUACAUAAUUAGUUGACAAUUCCAUUGUUAAGAAUAAGAUUAAAAAUUUAUAAAAAUAAAAUUUAAUUAUUAUUUAUUUCAUGGUUAAGCUGUAGCUAAAAGUUUAACCAAGUUAAUUUUAUCGUUGCUUCAUUCACAAUGGAAAGCCAAAAUAAACAAUAAAAAUAAUGUUUCCAUCAAAUAAAAGUAAUCAUUAUAUUAUUAAAAGUUCUACAAUGCAAUUUUCCAAAUUUUUUUUUCUAAACCUUUGUACAAAAACGUUCAAGUGGAAAAUAAAAAGAAGAUUCUAGACGCAGAAUUACCUCACUAAUUUAUAGAGAAGAGCAAUUUUUUCUUUUAAAACAGGUUUUUUUAGCAAAACGAGUUCGUCACCUGAGACCAUCGGUCUCAACCAUAACCACCAAUAGAAACGCAACACGUAACUUACACCAAGAGAGAAAGAAAGAAAAGAUACGUAAACUAAACAACCUUGACGGGUAGCCUAAUCAAAGCCUCCCUUUCGGGUGAGGUAAGCAGGCAAAGGACUGGCACGCGGCGAUCGAAUAGGCAACUCGUCGAGUUGAUUCCCUUUGUUAUCGUAAUAAAUCACACCCGAAAAAUCCAACGGCUGACAUUUAUCUCCCAUCAAAAUCGCCCUUUGCCAUACCCCGCCGUCCCCGUAAUCUUCCUCCUCCACGUGUUUCCCGUUUCCGCCGCCGAGAUUUUUCCGGUUCACCAGCGUGAUCGCUUUGUGGCUUAUCGUCGCCAAAAGUUGCUUCGGCAUCGGCGAUCUCAACGGAGACUUCAGAGGCGAUUUCGGCUCGUAGAAUCUCGGAGUGCCGGAAGCUAAGCUGUUUUGUUUAGGCUUUAGCUUCUUGGAAAGCCGGCUAGCGCGCUUGGCGCAUAGAGCCAUGAAUGAAAUGAGGAAGCCGAGAGUAAGCCGCUGUCUGUGUGAGGUAGUGCCGUGGUCCGAUGAAUCCAUUCUCACUGAAAAGAAAGAACUGUUAUAUUUUUUCUUUUUGAAUAAUGAAAGUUUUGGCGGGUUUGAGAUAGUUGGUAAUAUAUAUAGAGGGGGGGGAGAUGAGAGGGAAGGUGACCGGUUAUAGCCGGUGAAAAUUUCGUUGACCUAAUAAUUCAGUUUUGUAGGACCAAGAAAGGAGAGACGUUGGGAAAUGAUUUGGUGCUUCAUUUCAUUAUACAAUUCUAUUUUUUUUUCUCAAUACAAUUUUUUUCGUUCAACUUUAUUUUAUUUUUGAUUGUUAUCCUGAAUGGAGUGGACAAUGAAAAUGACUAGUAAUUCCAUUAGAUGUUGUAAAGGUUGAAUCCAAUUAUUUCUCAGCUUUUUUAUUUAAUAGGUUGAAUUUAACAUCAACACAACGAGUAAUUCCAUUUUUUUUUUGUUAAAAUAAAAUUUUAAUUUUAAUUUUUUUUACUACUUCAAAAUAGUUUUUACUGUUUUUCAAUUAGAUCAUCAAUUCUCAAUUCAAUCGAUUGAUUCAGUACUAUUAUAGUAGUCAUAAUUAUAUUACGGUUGCCUUUUAGAGUUAUUAUCCAUCUUUUUUAUUUUAACUUCAAUCGAUUUUAAAAUUUUGUUAUUGUUUAGGGAGAUUGAAUCAUUUGGAAGAAAUUUUCCAAGAGUCCAUCUAGAGUAUUGUCUUCGUGUUGAGGUUUUAUCUCCCUACUCUUGCCGUGAACUUUGAAGAGGAUUUGGCUUAUAUAACAUAGGUUGGUGGUUUGAGGCCAGGGGUGUAGCUAGGGGCAAAUAGGGGUCUCAAUCCCCCUUAAAAUAAAAAAAAAAUUCUAUUUAGGUCCUUUUAAAUUAAUAAAAGUAAAUUUGAUCUUUGUCUUCUUAAAAAUGAUAAAUUUUUUAUUUAAUCCUUUAAAAUUAAUAAAGAUAUAAGUUAUUAAAAUUAUUAAAUUAUAUUUUUACCAUAAUAAAAAAUACAAUUUAAUUUCGUUACCCUUAAAAAUAUUUUCUACCUACAACCUUAUUUAGAUCCCUUCAUACACAAAUGAUUUACAUAUUUAAGGUUACAUACUAUAUUAAUACUUAUCUCGUGAGACUUACAAAUUAUAUAUUUAUCAACUAAAAUACUUAUUCUUUAAAAGUCAUCGACAAAAUAGAGAGAUAAAACCCCAACCAGCUACCAUUGUUGCUCAAUGAAGGAUAAUGCUAAAACUUCUGCGCAAAGAGUAGAAUUAUAAAAAUAUAAAACUUACAUAUCAAUUAUUAUGGUAUUGAACAUGCGCGCCGUUAUAAUAUGCAAUGAGAACGAAAUCACUACAAAAUGUUUCAAAAAAGUUAAAAUACAUAAAAAGGGGUAAUUUUUUAAUAUAGAAAUUUACAAUUACAAUAAUAGAGAAAACAAAAAACCAACAGAUAAUUAAAAUCCACGUGUAAGGAAGUAUCUGGUAUUGCAGUUAUAGGAGCCAAUAGAAGCAAAGCACCAGAUCAUAGAAUUGUCCACAUCUCGUGCACUCACCUGAAAGUAAAGAAAAGCAAGUGGUUAGGUCAACUCAUUUGGCAAAUGCCAGCAAAGUCUUCGCCACCUUAAGAUUAAUUAAUCAAUAUAAUUUUUUUGAAUAAUAAAUAUUUUAUUAUUUUUAGUUUUAUUGAAGUGGACUUUUGGGGGAGAAUCUGUCCCACUUGGACACAGCCUUCGAAAUUUGACAAUUUUGUGUGUUUCUCACUUCAUUUGGACCCACCACAAUCUUUGGUUCUUUUGGACUUGGUCACAUCUUUUUUUUUUUUGGUGAAAAGAAACAUCAAUUACAUAAAGCAACCAUUAAUUUUAUCCUCUUGAAGUAAAUCUAAAAUGUCCCUAGGAGCCUCAUCCAUAAUUUGUAAGCUUGAUUUCCAACUCAAACUGAGUUUAGCAAGACGAUCCGCUACCAAGUUUUGAUUUCUUGAUAUAUGCUUAAUCCUCCACUCCCCUUCUGAUUGCAUGAUGCGAAGAGUCCUUCGGAGUACAGUGAUUCCUGAAUCUUUCGAAUCCAUAUCAUUCAAGAUUUGGGCAACUUCAAGAUUAUCAGUCAUGAUAAUAGUUUUUUUAUAUCCCUUAUUAAGUAAAAUAAGGAUACCGUCUAGAAUGGCCCAAACUUCAGCUUCAAAUGGAGAACACACGCCUAGGAAUCUGUUAAAUCCCACUAUCCAAUUUCCAUUCUGAUCACGAGCCACGCCUCCUGUUGCAGCAUAACCAGAAUCUCUGGUCACUGCUCCAUCAGUGGAUAAAAACACCCAAGUAUCAUCAAGGUUGACCAUCAAGGGAUAUUUCUGCUUGUUGUUAAUGAUAUCUCCAACAUGAGAGAUGUAAUUACGGCCCCAACAGCUAGAAACUUUCACCACUUCCGAUGCCGUCCAUGAAAUAUGUUGGAAGAUAAAUAAACUCCUGUUCUUCCAUAAACGCCAAACAACUAGUCCAAACAGGCAAGACCACACGAGACCAUAAUCCUGCAAUCUUUCAUGAAAACAAAGGUUAAGAAUAAGCCAAUCCUGAAGAGAGACAGAGAAAAACCUUUGUUUUAACUUAUUUGGAAUCACAAGUCGCCACACUUCUUUCGCAGAGGGACAAUCCCGAAGAACAUGAACCAAAUCCUCAAAUUCGUGGCCACAUAUAGAACAGGAACUACAAUGACUGAAUCCCCUUCUAACUCGUUCCGAAUUUGUAAGAAGUUUUUGUUUGAAAACAAGCCAAAGGAAAACUCUUACUCUUUGAGGACCUGAAUAUUUCCAAACAAUCUUCCAAUAAUCCUCCUGGGAAUUCCAAGAGUUCUCUUUCAAAUGCCAAUAGGCACUGCGAACUGAGAAGACUCCAGAAGCUGACUUGGUCCAAAUAAUCCUAUCUGGUCCAGAGUCAGGGUGAGGAGGAGGAAUGCUAAUGAUUCUAUUAAUAGUAUCUUCAGACACCCAGACACGAAAUAGAUCCAAGUUCCAACAACCAUCAGAAUUGACCAUUUCCCUAACACAACAAUCCAAAUUAAGGUUAGCAUAAGAAGGAAUUGAAGAGAUUAAAGGGCCCAUACCUGGAAUCCAAGGAUCUUUCCAACAACGAGCACUAGCACCAUCUCCAAUAGACCAUGCAAGAUUUUCUCGAAGCAACGGCCAUGUCUUAGAGAGAGCCUUCCAUAAAUGAGAGCAUUGACUUUUAUUAAUAGAAUAUGGGAAAUUAUCUUUCCAACCAUAUUUGGCACGAAGGACACGAACCCAAAGUGCAUUACUUUUAGACACUAGAUUAAAUCCAAUCUUCAAAAGGAAAGAUGAAUUUUGAUCUUCCAGAUGUCUGAAUCCAAGACCUCCCCGAGACUUCGGUUGACAGAUAGAAUUCCAACCCACUAGAGAUAAUUUAGGAUGCCCAUCAGAACUACCCCAAAUAAACUUGGUCACAUCUUUUAUUUAAUGAAAAAAGAAAUUCAUUUCUUAAUUAAGGGUCUUAAUAUGACUUAAGACUAAAUUACCAUAGUUAAACGUGUUAAUUGAGGUUUUACGGAUUUUGAGAUCUUAACUGCAAGUUUUAUUUAACAUAAUAUUAAUGGAAGAAUCCCCAUCAUCAAAAUAAAAUAUAAUAAUAAAUUCUGUAGGAUUAUUGGAUAAUGUUGGUUUUUAAUGUUUACGUCUUUUGUUAAUUUGGUCAUUAUUUUCUCUUUAAGUUAAAUUUGACCGUUAACUUUAAAAAAAAAAUUAAAUUACUUUUCUUUAACGAUGUUGACAUGACAACCUAUGUGGCAAUCUACAUGUAUUUCAUGCUGAUAUAAUAUUAUUUAUCUUAUAUGCCAUGUCAAAAAAGUAAUUUAAUAAUUAUAAAAAAAUUCAAAAAAAUUAAUACACGUGAAUUGUUAUAUGGGAUGUCAUGUUUAAAAAAUUAACAUUUUAGUUAAUAUUUCCAUUAAAAAGAAUCAUAUUGACUCUUUAUUUAAAAGGCCAAUCGUCAAAUUUGGAUUCUUUUAAAAAGUUAAAGGGUGAAAUUUAACUCCAUGAAAUAAUAAGAGUCAAAUUGACAAAUGGUGUAAAUAUUAAGAACUAAAUUUGACAUUAUGCCAGUCAAAAAUAACAAUAACUACGAUAGAAGUCUCUAGCAUGUGCUUUUAUUAUAACAAGUUAAUUGUUCUAUCAUUAUAAAUGGAUUAAUUUAGCCUUUGUGUUAUUAAAAUAAAUCAAAUAAGAUCAUAUUGUUACAAAGUUAAUAUUUAUCGUUUAAAAAAUAUAAUUUACUAUUUAAAAGAGUUUACAUUUUUUAAGCUUUUAUGGUUCUAAAAAUUAAAUAUUUUGUUUGAAGUUAAAUUACAAAAAAAAAAUAUUAACUUUAUUAAAAUUUAGCCUUAUUUUAUAUUUUUUAUUAGUAUAUGGACUAAAUUAAUCAAUUUAAUAAUGAAAAGAUUAAUAUGAACAAAUUUUUAUAAAUUAAGGGAUCGGAAAAAAUAUUUUUAUAAAACUCCCCACCCCUAAUCAAUAAAAAAAUGCUUAUGCAUGUCGGGAAUUUUAAUAACAUUCGUGAUUAAGCAAUUAUUGUUUUGCUAAUAGAAUCAUGUAAUAAUAAACCAAUAGAGCUAAGGACUAUGGAAUUUUUUUAAUAAAUUAGAUUAGAUGAAUCGAAUCAUUUUAGUUGAUCAUUAAUUCUUUAAAUUAAUAAAUAAAAUAAUAAAUUGGUAAUAAAUUUCUUUUAAAAUUUAUAAAAUUAUAAAUUAUAAAAUAAUAAAAUUACAAUUUAACCCACUUUAGACUCCAUCUCUAAAUAAUAUAUACUCUUUCUCUUUAUUUAUUUAUGGUCUUUAUCGUGCAGUGGGGAAAGGUUGAAACCUUUUUCCUAUUUAUUUCCGAGUAUGAUUCCAACGAAUCAACACAGAAAUUAUAUUUUUAUCUUCUUUUUUAUUUUUUAAAUUAAUAAAAAAUCACAGAUUUAUGACCAAAUGAAGAAUUAAAUGAUAUUAAGUAAACACUCGAUGGAAAAUAUAGGUUCGAGUAUGUUAAAACACAUUAUCUUUUUAUUUAUAAGUUAGAGGAGGGUUUUGAAUAGUUUUAAGUAUUUUUUUAAAAACAGAUAUAAUAAGAAUUUAUAAUAUUUUUAUUAAAAAUAAAUAAUUAUAUAAUUAUCAUUAAAUUUCAAACCAAUAUUUUAUUUAUAUGAUCAGACCAACUUAAUUUCAAAUUUUAACUCGAAAAUGUUUCUAGUGUUUAAAAAUUUAGAAUCAUAAAUUCUCUUGAUUGGAAAUUGUAAAACUCAUCAAUUAAAAAAUGCUUAAGCAUGUCGGGAAUUUUAAUAACAUUCUCGACAGCGCCUGGAAAUUUAUCAUAGCGCUAAGGACAAUGGAAAUUUUUUAAUAAAUUAGAUUAGAUGGAUCAGAUCAUUUGAGUUCAUCAUUAAUUCUUUAAUUAAUAUUUUCCUACAAAUCAAAUAUUAAUAUGUUGAGAGGAGUUAGCACUAGCAAUUUUUUUGGAUUAUUUUAUUUUCAAUUUUUAAAAUUUAGUUAAUUUUUUUACGAUAAAAUUGAUUAAAUUGUUAAAAUUUUAAUAGCAAUGACACGACAAUCAAUAUAGUAGUAUACAUGUAUUUUACUGCCGAUAUGGAUGAUUUUUUUUUUAAUUUGUUAAAUUUUUAUUUAGUUUUUAUUAAGUAUACAUGUGACAUGUCAGUAGCCACCUCAGUACUAUUUAAUUUUUAAUGGUCUAAUUAACUUUUUCAUCUAAAAGAAAAUAAUUUGACUAAAAUUUUAAAACUAAGGGCCAAAGUGAUAAAAAGAAUUACGACCAAUUUGAUAAAUUAAGUAAACAUUAGAAGUUAUUUUAUCAUUACGUCAAUUUAUAAAAUGGGUUAGUAUUUAUUUUACAAACAGUCUAAAAAAUUUAUCAUGUGUUUUUUUAAAUAUUUUAAUAUACACUAUAGAACACUUGUCAACCAUUUAAUCUUACUCGUGAAAUUUAAAAAUUCUAGACAAUGUACCGACUACUUUCUCUUAUAAAAUUAUAAAAUAAUAUGACGAUAAAAUUACAAAUCGAUCUAUAUUUUGGUAUUUAUCGUGCAAUUGGGUAAAGGGAGAAACCUUUUUCUAUUUAUUUUCUAGUAUGAUUCCAAGGAAUUGACUCGGAAAUUAUAUAUUUAUCUUCUUUUUAAUUUUUAAAUUAAUAAAAAAAACCACAGAAAUUGUGACCAAAUGAAUAGUUAAAUGAUAUCAAAUGGUAUUAGUUUGCAAGUCAACUGUUCCCCUCACAAAGAGGAAAAAAAUAAAAGCCAGGCUGGGUGACCUACAAAAAUUAAGGUUAAGAACACUGUUUAAUCUAUAAUAUUAAACCAUAAAUAAAAUGGUAGGUUACCUUCCAUUUAAGGGAUUAACUAACUUGAUGAAUUACAUCCUUUAUUUUAAUCUCUCUAUACCAAUUUUAUUUUGGCAGACCAUCAUUAAAAUGGUAAGUUCGUUAAGGUCACUAUAGGUUAGGCCAUGGUCCGGUAUAAAAAUAAUUUUCUAUUCAUACAAAUACUCCCUUUUUAAAGUUUUGAUUCUAAUUCAGAUUGAACUAAGUUGAUGGAAAGGUAAAAAUAUUGCCCAAGAAUUUAAAUUAUUUUGAUCUUUUCAUAAGUCGGAUUAUUCGUUUAAGUCUAAAGACUCAUCUGAAAUUUGGGAGGGUUUUAGUAAAAAUAUCAUACCCAAAAAAUGAACUUUGACAAAAAAGUUAAGUACAUUUAAAACAUGAACUAGACUAAGGCUUGAACAUUCAAUGACCAGCCUCGACCCAACCCAUUUUUAAGUUUAUAAAAUUUUAUAAUACGUAACUUGGAACACAUUUAAAAAAUAAAUUUAUACUAUCACUCUAAUGUAAACAUUAAAAUAAUGUUAAGAUACCUAUAAAAAAAUGUAUAAAUUUAUUAAAAAUUAAAAAAUAUAAUAUAAAUAUUUUAAAAAAUUAAAAAUAAUAUAAGCAGGCCUAAAAUUGAAUUGAGUUAGUUUUUUUGUAAAUAUGGAUAAAUUUGGACAAAAAUUAAAACUCAUAUAUUAAGUCAAGUCAGGUUUGAACAAAUAUAAAAUAUAUUAAUAUUAUAUUUAGACCUAAUUUGAACCCGACUCAACUUGUGAACAGCUCUAAAACCACCCGAAAAUAAGUUUGAUUUUAAUUUCUCUGUACCAACAUUAAUUAGGCAUAGUCGAUUAUAUUAAAACAUGAUUAAAAUUGUAGGUUACUUAAGUGACUAUAAGUGGGGUUGAGCAAGGCCAUGGUCCGGCUUGCUCAAAUAAUCCAUUUUAAAUAUUUAAUUUUAAUUUAGGUGAUCUAUACCGUCAAUGGAAGAACCAAGAUGAUUCUUAAGUCAAAAUUGGUUUUAAUUUCACCACAUAUAUCAACAUCAAUUUGGUCCUUAUCACCUAAAUUAUCGACUCAGUGUCCACCCGAGGAUCAUUACAAACUAUAAGAAGCCGACUUUGCUUUUUUGACAAGACAAUUCCUGUAUUUUAAAUGUAAAUAUUAUAUUAUUCCAUCCAUAAAUUAAAAAAAAUAAUAAUCAAGAAUUGAAAAGAAAAUUAGUGUAUUAUAUUAUGUUUUACUUCAUUCCUUAUCUUUGAUUUUUUAAAAUAUUUUUUCCUAAUUUUUAAUUUGUUAAAGUGGUUGAAUCGAGAACAACAUGCUUUAGCUAUAUUCCUAUAGUAAAAGAGUUUUUAUUUAUUUAUAGUUUAAAUUAUGUAAAUAUUAUAUACUUUAUAAUUUAGAUUUUAAACAGAUAUUUUAUUAUAUGAUUAGACCAAAUAAUUUAAAAUUUUUUAUUAUUCAAGUGGGAACAGUUAUACCAAAAGAAAUAGCUUUGGCUAUUGAACAAAGUUACUGUUCACUUUUGGUCCUUCUGGAUUUACCUCUUUGAAAGCGUGACAAGGUCUUUUUUUUGGAAACCAUACUUUUUAAAUCUGAAAUAUUUGAGGUUUAAAGAGAGUUGUUGGGUUUUAACUUUAGGGUUCUUCAGUCUUCUGUCUAUACUUCUUAAAUUUUAAUUUUGAUUUAAUUAUGUAUAUUUAAAGAAUUGAAUAUAUAAGUUUAUUCUUAUAUUAGAUUAAUAUAAUUAUUUAUGUAUGUAAUAUAUCAUUGUAAAAUAGUACUAAUUCAAUAAUAUUAUUAGUAAUUUAUCAAAAUCAAUAUAUAAAAUUAUAAAUUGAAUGAAAAUUCAAAUUUAAUUUUGAUAUUUAUUCUAAAUAUUUUUUAAAACUAAAUCUCACGUAUGUAAAUUAUAUAUUUACUUCACCCUUUGUCAACUGAAAACACAUCAAAGCUAGCGGCAGAGAGAAGGGGGGGGGCCUUAAAUUUAAUCAAAAUUCAAAUUUAUUUUUGUACUUCACCUGUGCCAACUGAAGACACAUCAAAGCUAGCGUGUAACACCCCUUAACCCCGAACCGUCGCCGGAACAGAAUUACGAGGCAUUACCGGACGUAUCGAACGAUUUACAACAAUUCUUAAAUAAAUAACCAAUAUAUUAAAAUAAUUCAUAAAAUUUAUUAGUUUGUUUACCAAAUGACUUCAUUUUUUUUUUAUAAAAAUUUCGGCAGCAUUUCUGCUUAUUUUUACAUAAAACCCCCUGCAAAUUAAAACCAUAUAGUUCCCAAAUAUCAUCAAUUCAACCAAUUCAUUUCACAUUCACAUUUUCUAUUCUAAAUACUUCUAAUCAAACUCAAUCUACACAAUAUCAAUUUAAAAUUUAACAAUGUACUAAUUAGAUAAAAUAGAUAGACUUCUUUCAUUAAAAUCCAUAAACUUUUAAUACUAACAUUUUUAACCAUUAUAUAAUAAAACAUAAUAACCUUUAUACACAAUCUAUGUACAUGCCACCUUUACCAAAUGAAAAAUACAUCACCAAGUUUUGCCGAAGCCGGGAUUAAUCUGGAUGCUGAACCGGGACCUUUGACUUCUAUUGACCUGCGCACGGAAACAACCGUACGCUGAGUAAUCCAUACUCAGUGGUAUUACCAUAAUUCAAAUUAUAACAAUAAUGUACAUGUAAUGCAUAAAUCGUAUAUACAAUUUAAAUUAAAUAUUUCAACAAUAGCAAUUCAUCAACCAAUAUCGUAUAUCCACAAUUUGAGUUUGAAUAAUUCACGAACCUUAGGUUCAUUUCUCAAUCUCAUUUCACAUUUCAAUUCACAAUUCAACUUUUUCAUAUCAUUUCAAUAGCUCGUUUGACCAACUCGUUCGGUUUAUCAUUUCAUCAUUUACCCUAUUAACAAAACUCGGACUUUGGCGGAUACACGGAUCCAACCAAACACACCAGAAUGGCACCCAGUGCCUCAUCGGAUAGUUCGAAGCAAUAGUUGACACCCAGUGUCUCAUCGGCAAAGCCGAAGAAAGUUGGUACCCAGUACCUCAUCGAAUCUAUCCGAAGAAAUAUAGUGACACUCAGUGUCUCAUCGACUCGAGGUCGAAGUAUCCCUGAACUCUUCCAAUCCUAUGGCAUGCCAACUAUAUCCGACUCAGCCCGACUAGUUAAUAGGGUAUUUAAAUCACAUAUAUUCUCAAUUCAAUUACAAUUUUUCACAUUUUCAAUUCAAUCAUUUUUCCACCUUUCAAUCAAUAAUUAUUUCACAACUUCACACAUUUUCACAACUCAAUACAUUUCCAUACAACUUAAUACCAUUCACAAUUCGAUUCAAAUUCAUUUCCCGCUUUCAAUCAACAAACAAUUUAAAUAUUAUUUCAUAUCAACUAUUCAAUUUAAUUCCCACUCAUAAUAAUAAUAAUAAUACUAAUAAUAAUACUAAUACUAAUAUUAAUACUUACCUCACAUUUCAUUUACUAGACACAUAAAUUAAAAUUUAGCAUUUAAUAAUAAAUAACUUGAAUUAUAGUAAUACAAACCGUAAUUUUCUCGAGUUUACUCCUCGAUAAUCUUCUCUUUUCCCUUCCGUGCCGACGCUUCUGGUUCUUUGCUAGCUACGAAAAUGAUAAUAAUUUAUACUAUUAAUUUCAGCACUAAUUAUGAUAAUAAUUAAAUUUCUAUUCAAUUUCUUCCUUAUUCUCAAUUUAAUCCUAACUAAAUUCACUUACUUUCCUAAUUCAAUUCACACUCUAUUUCUAUUCAAAUUUCAUCCAAACUAAAAUUUAACUAUCAAAAUUUCAGCAUAUUUUGGUAAUUUCGAAUUUCCCUCAAUUUAGUCCCUAAAACAUAAAACUUAUAGUUUCUUUUACAAUUUAAUCCCUUUUUCAAUUCUAACUUAAAAUUCCUUCAAGUUAAUCCCUAAUUCAUCUCUUUUGUUCAACAUAAACUAUACUUGAAAACCUAUGAACUUACAAAAUAUCAACUUAAUUCCAUCAAAACUUUGUUUUAAAGCUUUUAGAACAUUAGAAUUAAGAGGAAAGGGCUAAUUUGACUUACCAAAUUAAAUUCAAGCUUCAAAAACCAUAUUUUCCCUUUUUCUUUUUCUUUCUUUCUUUCUCCCCUGUUUCGUCUCUUUCUCUGUUCCUUUGUUCUUUCUAUUCUGUUUCUUUUCUGUUUUGUUUCUUUCUUUUUCUUUUUAUUUCCUUUUAUUUAAUUACUUUAAUAUAAUAAUAAUUAAAACAAAUAUCUACUUAGUAAUUAAUAAAAAUAUUACAAAUGUAUGUAUUUUAUUAAUACACUUGUAUUAAAUUAUCACCAUACAUUUGUCUUUAUUUAAUUUAUUUCUUAAUAUAAUAUUUAUAAUGUAAUUAAUUUAAUAAUAUACUUUAUAAUUAAUUUAUAUAUUUAUAUAAAUAAUAAUAUAAAAAUCUAAGAUUUUUACAAUGUUAUGCCGCCUCAACUUCCAAAUGUGGCUUAAUUGCCCAUUUGGUCCCUAUUAUUUUCCUUUAAUCUAUAAUUAUGCUUUCACUCUUUAUUCAAUUUAAUCCUUUUUACUAAUUACUCAUAAUUAAACUAAAUUCACCUAUCUAAAACUUAAUUAAACACACAACUAGUCUCGUAAAUAUUUCUAAUAAUUAUUUUCGGACUCAAUUUACUAGGACGGAGGCCCGAUAUUAUACUUUUCCGAUGCCCAUGAAUUUUGGGUCAUUACAUAGCGGCAGAGAGCAAGAGGGGGCCCCUAUUCUAUUAUCAAGUGUAUGGUCAAAUUAUCUUUCUGUUUGUAUGAUAAAUAGAACCCUUUGCGUGCAAUAAACUAUUGAAUAGCAGCAGUAAAAAUGUCAAUGGAAUGGAAUUUAGAAGCAUUCGGCAUGAUUAUUGGAGUGCUUAGUGGUAUAUAUUUGCUAAGGGAAUUUUAAGGUUUAUAAAAUUUAAUUUCUUUGAUUUAUGAUUGUUAAUUUUAAUAAUGUAAAAGAAUUUAAGUUUUUUUUCUUAAAAAUGUAAUGAGUUUUAUUAUUAAUAUAUUUUUUAAUAAUUAAAUUAGAGUCAAACCAUCGUUUCUCAAUUCAACUAGUUUGAUCAGUUCAAGUAUUUGUUCAAUAAAAAUUACAUAAGUAUUUGAAAAUUUUAAAAAUUUAAAAUCAAUUUAAUCAAUUCGACUGUUGAUUUUCUUUAUCCCUAUUUUGACAUUUUUACAGAUUUCAAAUGAGUUGAUCAAAGAUAACGCUUAUGUCCAAAUUGAUAUUCAAAUUAAUUUUUGGUGGUGGGGAACAGUAAUAGAGGCCAAGAGGGCCUUGGCACUCUCAAAAUUUUUGAAAAUAAAUCAAUUUUCCCUUUAAAUAUGUUGAAUAAUUUAACUUCUCCUUCAAAAUUUCGAAUUUUUGAAAAUUUUAAUUAAUUUUUAAAUUUUUUUAUUAGUCUUACAAAAUUAAAAAAAUUAAUUAGAUCCCUAAUUUUUUGAAAAAAAAAUCUCAUUAAACAACUAAAAUAUUUAAAAAUUGUAUUAAUAUUCUAAAAUCCGUCACUAAUUUCCGGUUUCAUAAGCUAAUCUAAUCUAAUUAAAUUAACCUAGAAAACUCCCCAGACAUAGAUCUUCUGAAACUCCAUUUUCUCCUUUGGAGUCAUAGAAAAAUGGGAAAGUUGGUCUUGAAUUUAUAAGCUGAACAGUUGAUAUAGUUUGGUCUCAAAUCAGCUAGGGUUUUAGGGUGUACUGAAUAGUAUACCAAAAACGACAGUAGUGGGUUUGGUUUGCUUGGGUUUUUGCAAUCCCUAUUUGAACGGGAUCCUUAAGAUCUUUAGCCCUAAUUAUUUCUUGUCUGAAAAUUCAAGAGUAGGGGACGGACUGCACCUCAUUUUUCCAUUCUUAUUAUUUUUCUCAGAUAACACGAUUGAAUGUGUUGUGUAGUCACACAAAGGAAGGUAUUAAAUAUUACCACAACUAUAUAUAUAUAUCAAAAGCUGCAGUUGAAAAUGCUUUUGAUUUUAAUGCGGGUGUUUCAUCAAUGGCCUAAUCACCACCCACCUAUAUGUUUUCUAGGGUUUCACGAAUGAAACAUAUUCCAACUUUUUGUUCAUGUAUAUUUAUUGUCUUUGCUUUUACAACAUGAAGCUAUUAAAAACAGUAUUAUAGUUGACAUUUACUUGCCAAUGUUCUAAAUCAUCUAAAGGGAAAUUUACCUAAUUAAUUAAUCUAUUUAAGUCUAUUGUAACAUCGGUUAGUUUAAUUGGUUAAGACAAUUAAAUCGAUUAUUUUUUCUUUUUAUAUCUUUCUAAGGAUAAUAAACUAAACACGAAUAGAAGGCGGUUUAAGUUUUGGUUAAAACUUUAUAUAGCACUAUAUCAUAGAGCACCAACUAUGUGAAUGAAAUUUUUUUAUGUAAAAUUAUGUUUGUUAGAAGUUUACGUAGAAAAAAAAUAAAUGAAGCUUUAGUUAAAGAUACCAUCUUAUGUAAUGGUUUAAAUCUUACCAUUUGGUUUCAUUUAAAAAUAUAUUAAAAAAAACCUUAUAAUGAUAUUCUUUUUUAUAAAUAUAAUGAUAUAAUUUAUUUUACAAAAAAAAGUUUUUUAGUUAUUAUUCAAUUGAAUUAUUGGUCGGUUGACUUUUGAAGCGAAUUGAAUCAAGAAUUUAAUACAUGAUGUGCACAUAUAUUAUUAUAAAUAUAUUUAAAAAAUAAAUAUAUUAUGUUUUAUAAGUCGGUUAAAUAAGUUGAUUAUGAUUAUGAACUUUCACCAUGAGCAACCAAAGCAACUUACUUUAAUACUGCAAUAUUGAAUUAACCAUUAUAACUGAUUUUAUUGAACCGACAUGACCGAAAGCUAUCAAUUAAUUCUGUUUGAACUAACUCUUACUCUCCUUCGCGAAAAUAGUAAAAAGUCCUUAAACACUAUUUAGUGAUAUUUAGAGAAAAGUUAACAUUAAAAGAAAUAAGGCUUUGAUUGUGUUUGGCACAGUUGAAGUCAUUUAUUAUAUAUUGAUAUUUAAUAAAAAUUAACAUGAAAAAUUUGUUGUUUUGGUAGUGCUGGUAAGGUUGGGGCACUGGAGCUUUUCCUUUGAGCGCCCAAGUUUUUAAGUCCAAUCGAAUGUAAUUUAUAUCUAAAAUUGAUAAGGAUCAAUCCUAUUUGUAAUUGUUGAUAUAGUUGUAAUUUUUUUUUUUUAAAAAAAGUGAAAUUUCAUGAUUAAACCUAUAGAGAUGGUAGCAUAUAUGUGUUAUACCUCUAUCUUAAGCCCCUCACAAAGAUAACCAACCACCGUAAGGACUCAACAAUACAACCUUACCAAUGCUUCGCUAGAAGAACCUCACACUCAUCCUCGCCUAAACAUCAUAUUUGGUGAACCGACAUAAAUUACAGAAGAUAUAUUAAGAAGGGCUCGUUUGACAACACCAAUCAAUCUAUCACAUUCGUCAAACCUUCACUUGAUCUCUUCAAGUCAACUUCAAAAGUGUCCUGACACCCUACCCAUUGAAAGAGAACUUAACUAGCUGAGCCCCACUCUUAACCCUCACGCUGUCAAUACUCCACUCACACUCUUAAAACUUUCAAAUCGAGCAUAUCGCUUCCUACCAUUUAGGAUGCGAAGAUUUUUGUGUUGCAACAAUAAGAUAUCAACUAGCAAAUAAUGCCGAGAACAAAAUGGAAUUGACUAGAGAAAACACGAAAAGAUGUAAGUAGUUGAGAAGAUAAAAACAAAAUGCAGCUAGUAUAGCAGCAACCCGGCCCCUCAAAGCCAAAUCACCAGGCAAGGCUCCUAGCUAGAUAGCUCAGUAAGCAAAGCUACCGUAAAUUAAAAUCUUACAGCCUUAGCUUCCUGUUGUAUCCUUUACCUUCUUGCCUUGUACUUGCAUAUAUAUAUAUAUAUAUAAGCAAUCUCUUUGUUAUCAAAUUCAGCAGCUACUUCUUUAUUAACAUAUAAAAAUCUUUCUUUUCAGCUUUCAUCAUUGAUCUAUCUGCUGAAACUUCGUCGACUUGGGUUUUUUUAUUUUCCUUUUCGUUUUGGGGUAUUUUCAAGUUCAACUUGUUCAUGGAUUAAAGCUUCUAUUGGUGAGUUUGAGGUUAAUUUUCAUUGCUAAUAUAUAUGAGAUCAUUUUAUUCGUCCUAGCCUGGAAUUUUUGAACUUGUUCUUUUGCUUCAUUGUUUUUGCAUGAUGAUGAGUUUAAAACUUGGGCUGCUACGUAUCGGCAAGUAAUAUGGAAAUGGCAAUGUUGAACUGGCUUUGUUCAAGGUAAUUCCAACACUACUUCACAAAUUAUCUUCUAAUUUAUCAUGUUUUAUUUCUCAUGUUACAAAAAAUUUAUAAAAAAAAAAUCUAACAAAACUAGUUUACCAAGCUAACCUUUGUUAAGUCAAUUUAAUUCACAUAAAUGAUUAACUAAGACUUAAUCAAUUAAGAUAAAAAAAGUUGAUUUUUUUUUCGUUUUUUAUAAUUAGAAGGGAUGAAUUGCUCACUCUAACAAUUUCUCCUUUGCAAUAAUAGUUACAAUUAACAUAUACGUCAAUAUGAUAUUUCGAAAUAGAUUUAGCGAAUAAAAAUAUUUAAUAAAAUAUUAUGAAAGAUAUUGAGGUCUUUUUGUGGCGGGCUAGUGGAUUGGGUUAGUGCUGCCAGAUGGGAAAUAGGUUAGAAGAUAUUAGGGUAUAAUUUCUAUUUUAACACCUCGAAAAAAUAACAUAAUAUUUUUAACUUUUAAUCUCUUAAAAUUUUAUAAUUUUAUCUUAUCUCUUAAAGGAAAAUUCUUGACUCCAUCCUUAUUAGCACCCCCUAAAAUGUAAACUUUCCAUUUAGGCUCUUUAAAAUUUUAAAUUUGUAAUGAUAAAAUUGUAUUUUGCCCCUCUAAAAUAAUAAAAAUUUAGUUUAAUCCUUUAAAAUUUAUAAAAAUAUAAAAUAUUAAUAAUAAAAUUACAUUUUUACUAUCAUAAAAAUAUAUAAUUUAAUUUCGACCCUUAAAAUAUUUUUUAACUUCACUCUUAUUUAUUAAUUCUCUAAAAAAUAUUAAUUUAAACACCAGCUCGUUUAAUUCAUUUAUCUAGUGUUUGGGGUUGAGCCUCUAUUGUUGUGGACUGACAAAAUGAAAUGUGUAAUUAUUAUUAUUUUUAAAAAUAAUCUACACAUGGGUUAAGUGAAGGCAUAGGUAAUACAAAAAAUGAAAAGAACAUAACAUUCGAGUCAUAAAUGAGGUGAAAGUGUGAGAAUUCAGCUUUUAGCAUGGGAAUGACCGAUCCUUUCCUCUUAAUACCUGUCCCAUCAUUGGCAUAAUCACUUAACACUCCAACUACAAACUAUUUAUUUAAAUUUUCAUUUUUUAAUUUUUAAACUUAAAUAUUUUGUUUAAUCAUCUCAAGAUAAAUAAAAUAAUUAAUGUUUAUUAAUUUUAUUGACAUGACAUAUGUGAAUGACAUGUUAAUAUUUAAUUAAUUUUUUAAAUAUUACAAAAUAUUAAAAAUAUAUUUUAUAAUUCUUUUAAAUUUCUAUUAUAAAGUAAAACUGUUCAUGAUUGAGUCGGGUCUAAGUAUGAUAUUAAUAUAUUUUAUAUUUGUUCAAAUUCGGUUCGUUUAAAAAUAUGAGUCUAAAAUUCAAUCUAAACCCAUCUAUAUUUGUAAAUAGCUAAUCUAAACCCAUUUUAAACUCACUCAUAUUAUUAAUUAAAAAAACUAAAAUAUAUAUUUAUAUUACUUUUAUUUAACAUUUAAUAAUUUUAUAUAUAGUCAUAUUACAAUUUUUUUAAUGUUUAGGUUUAAUUUUUAUACACAAUAAAUUAAAUAAUAUAUAAAAAAUAAUAUAAUAUAACUUAAAAAAAGCUUGGGCUAGGCUCGAGCUUUAAAUGUUUAAGUGUGAGCCUUAUUCAUAUUUUAAAUGCGCCUAAAUUUUUUUGUUUGAACCUCCCAAUUUCGGGUGGCCCUUCAGACCUGGGCGGGUAGGUCAACCCAUGAAUAGGUCUAUUGAAGAGGCUAAUCUUAAUGGUUAAAUUCUAUUUUUAGUAUUUAUACUUUGUGAAAGUAGUAGAUUUAGUUCUUGUUCUUUAAUUUGAUUAAUUUUAGAUCCUAUGCAUUUUGAAAUUUGAAAUUUUAGUUUGAUCUAAACGAUAGUAAUUAAAUUAGUUUGGUUAAAUUCAAUUACUAGUCUAUACUAUGCGUAGGGUUGUAAGUUUUGUCCAUAUCCUCCAAUUGGAUCAUUCUUAAGUUUUUGUGAUUUUUAAAUUUUGAAAUUCUAGUCAUGACACAAAGGAUAGUUGUUAAUCCAUUAACUGGAGUUUUAGUAAAUAUUAUGUUGAAAUAAUAAGCUGACAUGACAAUAUAUAUAUGGUUGGCGUAUUAGGUUUUAGAAACAACAUAACUUAAUGAAUUUAAUAAUUAUCAUUUGGUGGUGAUUGAAAAUUUUAAAAUUAAAAAGUGUAGGGACUAAAGUUGAUCAAAUUAAAGUAUAUGAAUUAAAUCCAUAACAUUUGUAAAGUAUAAAAUUAAUAGUAGAAUUUAACCUUUUAUUUAUGUGCCGGGGUUGAUAGGGGUGUCGGUUUUGCUCCUUGACAUGUUUGGUAUCUUAGAUACUCUUGUUUUAAUAAAUUCUGUUUUUGAUCGGAGGAAACAUAAUUUUAUUCUCAAUAUUUAUAUUUUAUGUUAAUUUAAUUUUUAUAUUUUUUUGAGUUAAAUUUGACUCUCGACCUUUUAAAAAUAGUUGAAAUUGACCAUCAAUAUUUAAAAAAAAAGUUAAAAUUUUUCUUUUCUAAUCGAAAUACUAAUUAAGACAUUAAAUUUGCAAACAUGUUAACCCACAUGACAAUCGACAUGCACUUCAUGUUUUUUUUUUAAUUUUUAUAAAUUUUAAAUAUAUUUUUUUGAUUUAAAAAAUAAAAUAAAUAAUGCCAUAUCAAUACAAAAUACACAUGUAAUGUCACGCGGGUUGCCAUGCAAACAUCGUUAAAAAUAUAUCUUUUAAUCAACAUUUCCAUUAAAAAAACACAUGGAAUUUUUUUAAGAGAUUAAUAGUUAAAUUUAGCUCAAAAUAAAAUAAAAAUUAAAUUGAUAAAAAUAUAUAAAUAUUCAUGCUAGAAAAUCAUCUAACGGAUUUAUCAUUUGUAGGGUGGUUUGAGUAUUAGGGCUAAGAAAAUGAUCCUUUCUGGGUUGGGUUGUAGGAUAGUUGAUUGAUAUAUAAAGGCCCAAUUGUUUUGAAUUAAAUAGAAAGCAUCUAAGUGUGAAAUUCAUGUCUAGGAGUAGGAGCUGGGCACCAUUGAUAAAGCACCUCUCAGCCAGUCAACAUUCUAGGCUUUAAUCAGCACAUCCCAGUCCAAUCUAAUUGAUACACCUGAAGUUUAGUUUUUAGUCCUAUAAUUUCAAUGCCUAAGAAACCUUUGCCACUGCUUUAAACAUAUUUCAUCAUAAUCUUCUUUUUUCGAUAUCAACCAAUUCUCUAACCACUUCAUCUUCAUUACCGGUGACCCUAAGACCCGAGUUUUUCCCGAGCUCCCAUGCUUCCCAUACUUUCUUUUUCCGAUUAAGAAAGCCAGAAUCAGAUAAAGAGUUGUUUGCAUUUUGACUCCCAUGACGAUCAAGGCUUUGGAAAUUUAUUUUUACAUUUCCUACCGCUUCCAUUUUUUCUUAAAUCCGUGCUCCGCAAUUCUUUAUUUCUCAGUUUCAAACAAAGAUUUAACUUUUCUUGAUUUGGAUAUUUUUUCCUAUACUAUAUACGCACAUAGAGAGACAAUAUAUAAGGAUGGAAGAGAUAGAUGAGAAACCCCUUUAGCGUGCAUUAUCUAUUUAGGGAUGACUGGAUUUAUUGAGAAGUGAAUGUCAAAUGGGAUAAAUUUUUUUUUAAAAUAGGUAUAGAGUGGUUAUGAUAAGUGUUUGUUUGUCCCAUACCAUCUCACUAUAUAAAUUAUCAUUUUAUUCUUGUAUAUAUAUAAUUAUUAUAGGAAUAAAAAUGUGUUAUAAAAAAUUCAUAUGUUUUAUAUUAAAUAUUUUAGAAGAACUAUGUAUAAUAUUUACUUACUUUUAAAAAAAUUGAAAUGUUAAAAAUAAUUCGAAAAAAUUAAACUGGGCGGAUUGAGAGGGAUUUGGAUGCAUUCAACAUCUAUGGAAUUAGUAGGUGUUUUCAAGAUUACAUACCAAUCGUAGAGUGAAGUGGCUGGUAGGGCAAAGCAUACUGACUAUGAAGUGGUGGUAGAUUUGGUAACAUUUGCUCGCCUUACUCCGCUUCAUUAUAAGAGGAUUUGAUAUCUGUCAAUGAAGCCUUGACAAUGUUGACAAAAACUAACAUCUUAGGACCUUACACCCAAAUUUGAGUCUCACACUGUGAAAAUUAUGUUGGUGUAAAUGAUAUAGUUGAAUAAGUUUAUUAUAAGAGGAGUUAUAUGCAGGUAAGCAAAGACAAUAGAUACAAAGAUUGAUGAAGAAAACGAUUUUUAUAAUACAAAAGUGCAAUAUUAUUUCGUUUUGUAUAACCAAUGUAUUCUUCAUGUUUAUAGCUUUAUCUCGUGACAAUGUUAUCUCUAAGGUUCAAAUUGUAAUUUUUUUAAAAGUGUAAUGUGUUUUAUCAUUGCAUCUAACUCUUGUCGAUAAAUGUAUAUUUUUUUAAAGAAAAGAUUUUUAUAAGUAUAAUGCAUUUUCCAUGCACAUGAUGAGAUUGGAGAUCCACACAUACAAUUGUGCAUAAUAAAACUUGAACUUAUGUAUUCAAAACUCAAAAUCUCAACCUUUGCUAACAAUACAAAAUGCAAUUUAUUUUAAAUGCACUAACUUGGCAUGGUUCUGAGCUUUCUGGCCUUUUUUGUUGGCUCUGAAUCUCUCGAUUUUAUCAUGCUUUGUGUUCUUUCGUUUUUGCAUGAUUUUGUCUUUGUUUUGAUUGCUUUUGCUUGUGAACUCUUUAUCACUGCUUGAGUGUAGGUUGCUUCUUCCUUUUAAUAAAUUUACGUGAUUGAGAAAAAAAAUGGAUUACAUUUCCCUUUGAGGGCUUAAGCGAUACAAAAGUUACUUAAGAGGGAAAGGAUUUUUAUUAGAUGUGAUUCCAAUGGAAGGUGUUAAGAAUUAGUGUUAGUGGUUGUUAGGGUGUUCAUGGGAUAUGCCAAUAUGAUUUUAGAUAGAAAGGAGGUAAAAAGAAAAAGACACCAUAGGGGGCCAUGUAAGAAAAUGCAGCUAAUGAUAACUAAACCAUAAGGAAAAAAGAAAAAAGGUCCUGCACUGAUUGAAAAGGUUGUAGACUUUGAUUGCCUACCGAGGUUUCGACAUACCUCGGUAGGGUUGGGAUUGAGUGGCUGACCACUUUUUAUAGAUUUGAUUAAGUAAUAAAAUUGUUGUUUAUUGAAUGGAGGAGAAAUAGAUAUUCAAGAUUUGAUUAAAGACUGACUGAGCCACUUGUGAAAAAUCAAUUUGGUUUCAUGCGAGGAAAUCCACCAUAUGGUAGCAUUUCUUGGAGACAAUGAUUUAGAAAGAAAACCGACAGGGAUGGUGAUUGUGGCAGAUUUUGGAAUUAAAUUUUGGGUUAAUAAAACAUUUAAAAUUUUUAGAGUUUUAAUGAUUUUGUUUUGAGAUGUUUAAGGAUGAGUUUGGAUGAGCGGUGCGUUUACUUGCGGUUAGUGUAAAAACAGCGGUAGCGGUCAAAUUAGAUACUAUAGCGAUACUAUAGCGUAAGACAAAAAGUAAGUUAAAUGCAUCGCAUCGCACCGCACCGCACCGCACUCAAUCAUCCAUCCAAACUAAACCUAAAUUUAUGAUAGAUGCUAAUUAUAUGAUUGAGAUUGUAUGAUUUAAGGAAAAAAUCGUGUUGAUUUAGCCACAAUUAAGAGAUUAUUUUAUGAACCCUUCCCACUAUAUUAUUUAUAAUCUAUUUUUAAUUAUUUAAUGACAUUAUAAUUUUUUUCAUGUCAUUAAUACAUAAUUUAGGUAAUUUUUUUAUCUUGAAUUUUGAACUUUGAACCCAGAACUCCGAACCCAAAUUUGAAGUUCAAUGUUUAGGGUAAAAAAAAUUACUAAAAUUAUGUAUAAAUGACAUGAAAAAAAAAAUAAAAUAUCUUAAAUAAUUAGAAAUGGACCAUGAAUUAUAUGGUGGGAAAUGUCAUUAAAAAUUGCAUGAUUUAAGGAAAAAAAAUCAUGUUGACUUAACCACAAUUAAAGUGAUUCAAAAUUUAGGGUUGAAACCUUUUGUAAUUCAUUUCCCUCCCCAGAUUUGUAAUAAGAAAAAGGAGAAAAAAAAAAUCAUAAUAUUAAAUUUAUAUGAUUGCAAAAUACUUUAGACUUUGAACGAAAGCUUUUGCUGUAAACACAAAAUGUUGGAUUAACAUGAUGUUGACAUAUGCAAGGAAUGUCAUAAUAGGUUGGUUCAAUUGAUAGAGCAUUGAUUAACAUAAUAGCAAAAAUCAGAGUUGUCUUAAGUAAAAAGUGAUGUACACUUAUUGACAAUAUGCAAAUGUUGCAUUUGGUCACAUGGGGUGUAUUUGUUAGAAACAUGGAUCUAAUUAAUGUUGCACAAUGGUUGAAGAGAAGACCAAAAAGCACAUGGUUGGAGAUGAUGUCUUUGCAUCAAUUUCACAUUUUCUGAUAAGGGUGUGGUUUUGGACUUAUGCUGAAAUAUGCUUUUAAUUUGAACUUAGAAAGAGAUUGACAUUGGUGCAUCAAGUUAACUAAGAAUAUUAUGCAAUAAAUUUAUAAAAAUUAAAUAUGAUUAUAAAUAUAAAGGUAAAAUUGAGAUUAUGAAAAUUAUUAUAUUUUGGGUUUAAAUCCCAUUAUAUAUAUUUUCUUGGUUUUAUAUAAAAAUUUAAAAAAGAAAAAAAUACUCUUAAAAUAGUAUUUAUUAUUUUGUAAAAAUAAUAAAUUUUUGUAAUCUAAAUAUUUUCUUUGAAUAUAAGUGAAGUGGUAAUAAAUUUGUAUUUUAAUACUGUUGCAACACUAUUAAACGUGUACUUGAACUUUAAAUUUAUAAUUGUUUUACUUAUAGAUGAUAUAAAAAUCUGAAAAAAUAAAAAUAUUACUAACAAAUAUUUGGGUGUAAUGAAAAAUCACACUAUAAACUAACCAUAAUUGUUGUUAACUUUUACAAGAGUUUUACCUUUUGAUUGGUCUGGUCGAUGACUCGCCCUUUGGGGUUUCUUCUCCACUAUCACAAUUGCUUCAGCCACUCCACAUCUUUUUCUUCCAUUGGUGCUUUUACAACCUCCACUUCAUUUCUUUUAUCUAUCUAUCUCUUAGGGUUUUCUUUUUUGCAAGAAGUGCUCCUAAUGAUUCAGAUCUUACGGCAUAUUCUAGGUUUUAGAGUCUUCAGUUUUUUUUUUAAACUAGGGUUUGCUAAAGGAUCUCUCUCACACAAACAACACCAAGAACUUUGGGGUGUAUAAAAUACCAGAUUUUGAAUGUAUAUAUAUAUGCCGAAAAAAUCAACCUGUCAUCUCAAAAUCUUAGGGUUUUUCUUUCUUUCUUGAUUUGUGCUUUUAAGUUACAGAUUUGGGAAUAGCAGUUUUAGGGUUUGAUGGGUUUUCCAGUGUAUAUCUUCCCUCUCCAUCAUUUUGGGCGAAGUUGUACAAAUUUAAGCAGACCCGUAAGAACCCUAACUAGAAGUGAUGCCCACAUACCUAUUUAGCAAGAAGAACUUAAUGUAAGUGGUCCAAGUGAAAAUGGUGGAUUUGAGGACAAGUUCAGAAAACUUUUAUGGGGUGAAGAUGGUAAAAAAGAAAUGCAAAUCAAAACAAGGAUCAAUGGCUUUAGGGUCAAAAGUACUCUUGCUGUUUUCCCUUUUUAGUUUUUUUUUUUUUUUUUUUUCCAGUCAGAGAACACUUAUUCAUCUUCACAUGGGUGUGGAUAAGUAGAUACCAGUUCAGGUCUGUAAGGCAGAUUAUUCACUCUCAUUUUAAUUUUAACCUUUAGAUUCACCCAUUGGCCUUUUGGAUGUAAAAAAGAAAAUGGAAUUUUGAACUUUUUUCUUUCUCACACACAGAUAUAUAAUCAUGUAUAAGUCACUCACAGCCACAGACAUGAAAGGAUGAGGAGUUAAAUAAAAGAGAAAAUCCAAAUUUUAUAUUUGGGAUAUUUAAUGGCUUAAGAGACAAAUAUACUUAAAAGGAUGAACGUAUUAGGGGGAAUAGUAACAAAAUUUGAAAGUAUUUGUGUUUAUAGAUAAUAAAAAGGAUACAAAAGAUACCGUGAUUUCAGGGUUGCUGAUGCAAUUGCUGGCAAUGCUAUGUAGUGUCUAAUUGUCGGCUUAAGUUGGAACUUGAGGCAGUAAUUGCAUGGUUUUCUAAAAUAGGGUUAGAUUAGCAAUGCUAUGAAUGAGAAAAUUCAAUUAUUCAUGUAAAUAAAAAAGGGUGAAUCCGUUAAUUUGUUUUACUUUUUCUUUUAAAAAGUUUUAAAAUAUUGGAUGAUCAUAUUUAGUGAAACAAAUCAUCAAUAGUCGCUACAACUUAGUUUAUGUCAUAUAUCUUAAUUCCUAUGCAAAAAGAUAGAUGCAAUAUGUAUUAUUAUAAAAUAAACAUAUAAAAUAUUAAAAAUAAAUCAAUAAUUUAGUUUUAUAUAAUUUAUUAUACAACAAUCAAUCUAAAGAAAGCCUAACAUGUACAUAUGUGUCUUAUAUAUUAAAAAAUAAUAAUUUUAUCCUUAUACACAUUUUUUUAUUAAAAAAUAAUAAUUUUAUCCUUAUACACAUUUUUUUAAAUUACUAAGCUGACAAUCCAUAUGCAUAUUUAAGUAUGUAAUAAAUAUAAAUAUCAAAUUCAAAUAUUUAAAAAAAAAUAAAAAAGGAAUUGAAUGCAAUAACUUGUAUAUUUAAUUUUAGCCUAUUAAUUUGUAGUUUGAAUUCUCUAUAUAUUUCAAAUUUUCUCAUUGCUAAAGGAAAUGGUCAAUCAAUGUUUUGUUCCAAUAUAAAAUAUAUAUGUUACUUAUGUUUAAAAUAAUAUAUACUUAUAUAAAUAGAUCAAGUUUUAACUUAAUUGUCAUUGUUGUUAUUACAAUAUUUAAGAGGAUAUAGGUUUUAGUGUAACACACUUUUUUUUUAUUUAAGGGUUGAGGGAUUCAAAUUUUUAUUUUCUAGUUUUAUUAUUUUAAAAUUAUAUAAAAAUUUUAGAUUUUAAAUAAAAUUUAUAUUUAUACAAAAAAUAAAAAAAAAUUGAACCAAAAAAUUCAAAUUUUUUAUUAAAAAUAAAAUAUAAAAAAACCCGAGUUUUUUUUUCGGAUUUUCAACAAAUUUUUUUCGAUUCUUGACUUCCUAUUUCUUAUUGUUCAAAAUAAUCCAAGUUAUCUCCAAUUAUAUGUUACCAAUUUAACAUAUUAAAAUUUUAAUUUUUAAUUCGUCAACUAAUUCUAUCCGAUUCUGACAACAUUUAUUUGUCCUUCAAAUUUUAUACGCAUAUGACUAAACGAAAAAAAAGUAAGAUAGAGCAUGAUUUCUUUUCAUGUAUGGAAUAACUAUUCCUUAUCUUUUAUUUUUGCCCCUCUUCUCAUUUUCAAUCAUAUACACUUUUGAGAUAUGACAACACCCGCUUUCCCUAAAUAUUUUUCCAGAUUAUUUUCUCUAAGGUACCCUUUUGUUUCCACAUGUUUUGCUUCAUUGUAGGGGAGAAUCAAUGGUAAGUUUUAUUCAAUACAUGAUCAAUUUAGUGCAAGAUGUCCCAAUACCAUUUGGUGCUUUAUUGCUUUUCUAUAUACCUAGUGUUUCUUGGGAACAAUUUUUAUCCUAAUUAUCCAUGGGAGGGUGGGGGGAACUUAAUUAUAAUUUAUGUGGGGUAUAUUAAGAGAGUUUUUUUUUUUGAAAGAAAGAGAGUAAUGAUUGUAUGAAAUAGGGAUAAGUCUCAAAAUUAUAUAUGAAUUUUGGUUUAAUGUGUAAUUUUAUAUAUGAAUUUUAAUUUUGUGUAAUUUCAUACAUAAAAUUUUGAUUUGAUCUAGUUCUCAUAAGUUAUUAACAUAAUUAUUGAUAAAAUGUCAUUUUAAGUUUACAUGUUAUAUACACAAAUAAUUAUAUUUAUCCAAUAUAAAAAUAAAUGUAUAUAAUUGAACCAAAAUUAAAGUUUCAUGUAUACAUUUGAACCAAAAUAAAAUUUCCAUAAAUAUAAUUUAACCAAAUUAAAAUUCAUGUAUCAAAUUACACAUUGAAUAAAAGUUCAUAUAUAAUUAGGGUGUAUUACUUUCAUUCAGAUCAUAUUAUGUGUAAUAAUUAAUUAUGAAAAUAAUUUAUUAGUGAUUUUACAAUAAAUAAUUGGUUAAAAGUGAUAAACAAUGAGUUGUCUCUUUAACAACAACUUCCUUUAACAAACAUUUCAUUAUAACAAUUAAGUUUAUUGUAAAACUGAUUUUUUACUUUCUAUAACAACUUUCCAUCUUUAUCAACAACUGCCAUAAUGUUUUAAGUACAUUCUUUCCUAAAUUAAUUGUCUAUUAUCCCAAAUUUUAAUAAAAUUAAUUCGAUUCCUAAAUGAAAUAAAAACAACAAAUUUUAGUGAAGAUAUUAUUUAAAUAAAGUAUUUAAAUCUUAUAUAAAAAUAUAUUAAUUUUACUUUAUUAAACAAAAAUAAUAUUUAAUAAAUAAAAUUACAUUUAUAAAUUUUAUUAAUUAAUAUUAUUAUAAUUUAAAUCAUUUACAAAGAUUUUAAUCCUGCCACAUGUAGAUUUUAUCCAUUAUUUUGAAGGUAGACCAAUUCAACUCAAGGUUUAUAUUAUUAUUAAUUUAAUUUAUUUAAAUUGGUUUGAUGUAUAAAAAAAUUUAUAUACGCUAUGAUAAAAAUUUACUCAAUUUCCAAAAAUGAUUUAAAAUAAUAAUAAAAAAAAUGGGUGGACUAUUUUGGUAAGUGUUAAGCUUUUGUCAUUAGCUUUUAGUUUCCCAUCGAAUAGCCAAGUGAUUGCUUUUGUCAUUAAAGUAAAAAAUUAUUCUUGUUAUGAUGUAUGCAUUUUCCACCGCCUUUGUUACCUGUUAUGACAUUUCUGGUAUGUGUCAGUAAAUAGACUUUAUUAAUUAUUAAUAAUUAUUGUUAAUAAUAAAUCUACUUGUAUUUAAUGAAUUUUAUAAUUUUUCCUUAAUAAUUAUUAAAUUAUUUUAUUGAAUUUAAUAAAUAAAAAAAUUAAUUUAUCGAAUUAAUAAUUUUGUUCAAUCCUUAUAAUGUUGGUUUUGAAUUAAUUAUUCAAUUCAAUUUUUGUAAUAACUUAUUGCACCAUUAAUACCUAUUUUCCCAUAAUAUAAAUAUAAAAAAUAUAUCUAUUUUUCAUAAUUUUGCAUAGGUUUUGUUUACGGUAAUAAUUACACAUUGUUGUAAUUGUAAAGAAUUUUAAUUCUCUAAAUGUAUUUAACUAAUAAAGUAUAAUUAUAUCGUAAUUCUCUAUAUCAUGUUUGAUAGUAUAAAUUAUAAUUACAGAGUUAUAUAUUUUUUAAUUCUAAAAAAUAAUAUUAAUUAUAUAAAAAACCAUCAAAAAUAUUUGAAAAAACAAAUUCUCAAAACAAGUAACAAUAUUUAAAAUCAAUUAUUAAUGUAUAUAUUAUGUUAGUCCAAGAAAGCAUCAACAACACGAUUAGUAAUAAAAUUAACUAAAAAAGAAAUAUUCUAUACAAUUUUAUCUAAUUACACUGGCAUUCAAUAUUUGUUGGUCUAUUCCCUCUAUAAUAUUUAACAUAUACUCAUUAUCAUCACUGAUUGGUCAUUGGGAAAGUAUAAUUAAUUAAUAAUAAAUGUUAUGUAAUUUAGUAGGUCAAAAUGUAUGAGAAAUUAUCUCUCGUGUAGACAAGAUUAAUGAAAUAACAUAUAAUUACAUUUAAAAAUAAAAUAUAUGUCAAAAAAUAAAAAUAAUAUUACCGUAUAAAAAUAAAUUUUAAAACUUAAAUAGUGUAAUUGAUUUUAAAUAUAAUUAUUCACGUAAUUACUUAAAUUCUCAUCCUUCCUUAAGAAUUGAAAAUUGUUAUCAGAACACUUCAACUACAUUCAAUUUAAUAAUACCCACUAAUUACAAUAAUUACCCAAAUAUAUUGCACAUAUAUAAUUAUAAACAACUACACCAAAAAUUUAAUUUUUAGGCUACUUUUCAAAAUAUUUAAAAGUUUUUAUUUUGUUCUCAUUUUUUAUGAUCAUUUCAGAAUAGCUUAAAUUUAUCCUACACAAUAAAACAAAAGGAAAUCAUAAAAUCAAUUAUUUUUCCAAAAGAUGUUAUAUAUAAUCAAAUUUCUUCAAUUUCUUUUAGAUCGGUGAAAUUUGAAAAUUUCCAAUAAUCCCAUGUAGCAUUUUAUGUAUUUUAAGUGUUCAUGCUUUCAUCUAUACAUAAAACCAAGCUCUCAAUUGUUUUCUCUAACUUUUGAGUGUUUCUUUCAUUAAAGAAAUACUAUAAGAAAGUCUAUAGUAGAAAUUUUGUGUUAUAUCUUAUGUAUAUAUACAUAUAAAAUAAAAAAAAGAAAAAGAAAUAAAGAAGUAAGAGAAAAUAGUUAAAUUAAUGGGAGUCGAGAUCUAGAUUCAAGCUUAACUAAAUAAAGCGGAAUUUGGCACUUCUAAGUGUCCAGUCCUAAGUCAGACUUAUUAGCUAAUAAUCUUUUUUCUUGUUUCUUCUCAGAUCUUGAGGGAAUUCAAUGAUUAAAAAUCUAUGUUAAACUCAAACACCUAUGAUAGUUGAUGUACUCCUACAUAAAAAAACAAACCUAUUUUAAGAAAUAAAUUUUAUAAAAACUUAGAUUGAAAAAUAAUUAAAAAUUUUCCACUAACAAAGUAAAAAAAACUUACAAAGUUUAUCAUGUAUGUUUAUCAUAUGCUUCAGAAAAUCGACCUAAUUUAGCUACAAAUUGUAGGAGAAAUUAUCGUAAAGAGUGAGUUUCAUAGUACUUCCAUGGUAAUGAACCAUCUAAAGCAUCUAAGCAUGCACAAAAAGGAUGCCCACUAAAGUUUCUAUUAUUUCAUAGCUUAGAUUUCAAUAGAAUUAAUCUCUACAAUAUUAAAUUAAGUAAUUAAUUCACAAAGUCAUGCAAUUGUAUAUGCUUAACUUUAGGAACAUUGAGCUGUACUGUUUGAAGUCAUGAUGCCCACUAUAUUAUAAUAUUCCAUUAUACAUGAAGAUAUCCCUAUAAUUUCUACUUAAUAUUAUGAGAUGAAUGAUGGAUAUGUUGUUUAGGCUUUGAAAAACUAUGGCCUGAAAGUGGAAGAAAAUUGCUUGUAAGGCCAUAGUGGAUCCCAAAACCCACCCUAUGUAUGCAACCAUUUCCUAUAAAAGCUUACUUCACCACCAACAUAAGGCAAAACCAAUGAACAAACACUAAAGACAGAGCAAGUUUUAGAUCAAUUGGUUUGAAAACAACAAUAACAAUAACAUAAAAAAGAUGCUGAUCUUCAUUGCUGAAAUUAAGGUUUUACAAUGAAUCUAAUUAAGAUACUAUAUUUUACUUACUUUGAACAUAAACAAGGGAAUUGCAUAACAUCAUCCUAAAAUGAUAAAUCACCACACAACAAUCAUUAAAAGAGUCCACAAUAAAAAUCCCAAAUAAAUAUUUUAUUAAAAAAACCUUGUUCAUACCAUAGUACUUACCAUAUAGAAAGUCAGCAAUAACAUAGUGCAUGCCUCUAAAUUUUAUUGUUGUAGCCUUCCCAUGGUUUGCCAAAGGGCAGAAACCCAGUGAUCUGAUGCUGUCAAAUUAUAUCAUUUGUUAUAAUUAGGUUUGGUUCUAGAAUUAGCAGCUGACAAACAGAAGAUCAAAGGAACUAUGUUAUAAAGGAACUUAGUACUUGCCUCUUGGUUAAUUCCAGAGUUUUGUAGACAAUUGAACAUGGAAUUGGGGUUCCAUUUGUUAAUAAUUGCUAAAGAUUCAUCAAUCAUAUCACCACCAGCAACCUGUUGCAAAGAAGGGUUGAUCUUCUUGUUGUGGUGGUGGUGUUGGAUACUAGAUUCUUCACCUGUCUGAAAAGAACACCAUGAACUGAGUUUGUUCUCAUCAGUACUACCACAUAGCUUUUGAUUCCACAUGUUCUUUGCUUUGGUUCUUGCCUUUGCCCUUGCUCUUGCCUUUUCCCUUAAAUCCCUUGCAAGAGGGUGGAACUGGAAAGUGGUUUUUUUAACCCUUUUCUCUGUAGGUUUCCCUUUAGAGAUGGUACCUUCUAAAGCAGACACCACUUCACCCUCGGAAGUCGAAGAUGGACUCUUUGCUGCUGCAACGCUGUUGUUAUUAUUAUGGGAAACACGGGUUCUGGCUAGCUUCAUGAUUUCGUGCCUCGCCUGUAUGAGCAACCAUUCCACGGUCCUACUAGCUUUGUCGUAGCCUAACAUGUCUUGCAAACCAAAGAACUCACGAGCUACAUCGAGGGACAACCUCAUCCUCCGGUCUCUUGGUCCAUUCGCCGUGUUGAUCUUGCUGUGUCGGUCUCUCUUAGAAGACGACCGCUUUUGCUGCUUUACUUCAGCGUCGGUAUUAUGAUUGUUGCUCUUCUUCUUGGUGCAGUCCACGGCUGAAGUUGCAGGCACGUUAACGAUGGUGCCCGAAACCGAAUCAGCCAUUAAUGGCUGUUGGUAUUGUUCGUGAUGAAACAAUAGAUCAUGAUGUUGGUGAAGGAAAGCAUCAUGGUCUUGGUCUUGAAACACUUGUUCAAGCUCACAUUGACUAUAAUACGGAGAGGGGAAAUUGAAGAAACCAAAAGAAGGAUCUUCCUGUUUAGAAUCCGUAACGAAAUGAAAGAACGAAUGGUCAUUAAUUGGUUCUUCACUGCUGCCAUUGCUGUUUGAAGGAUACAUUUGAAAAGGCCAAAAAAAAAAAAAAAAAGAAGCUUUGAAAUUGCGCCGCUAGAAACAACCCUAUUAGAAACUAGAUUUGAGAAUACGACACAUGCACCAUUAAGGAUAGUCUAAUUAUGGUUUUAUUUUCUGCAAAUGAAGACUCAGUGUUUUGUGAGAGAAAUCAAAGUACUCAAUAUCUUCAAUCCCCAUGCUUGUUUUGAUUUCUUCUUUUGUUGUUUUCUCACUCAGUUUAUAGAGAUAGUUAACUAAGCAUGUGGAUCAAAAAUCUGAGUGUUCAUUUUUGGGCGAUAGAAACUAGAAAGAGAGAGAGGGAGAGAGAAGGGGUGUGUAUUUACCCUUCACAAGCAAAGGACAACUACAGCAUGAGAAAGACAGCAGAGAUGAUGUACUCUCUACGGCUGUAGUAGCAGAGUUGUCUCUGUUGCAAUAGAUAUAUAGAGAGAGAAUAUGAGGGAAUUGAAUUUCAAUUCUGAGGAGGCUCAAGCACCUCAAAGAUGGGAAUUUAUUGCUGACAAAAUACCCCUCAAUCCCCAUCUCUUUCUUAAUUUUUUUCGUUAAAUUUAGAGUACAAACAAGUGAGAUUUGUAUUGAAAUGAUUGAACAAUGAACCGGUAUAGACAAUUAUUAUUAUCAUCAUCAUUAAAUUUGGAGUUUGAAUCAGUAAUGAUAGAUUAAACUCGUCUGUUAGAUUGAUUGAAUUAAAAUUUGUCUUAAGUAUCAGUCUAAAGAAUAGUAUCUAAUCAAUUCAACAAUGAAUCAGUAAGAACCGAUAAAAAAAUUUGUUGAACAAGAAAUCAAACCAAAAUAUUUUAUUUUUUAAUAAAACCAGAAUAAACUAUACAUUUACAUAAAUUGGGGCUCAAACCCGAGAUCCCAAAGUUCCUAAAGCCUCAAGCCUCAUUAAUCCAUGGCCUUAUUGAUUACUAUUUUUCUAAUUGGCAUCGUCAUGAUCAAUGUUUUGAAAAUUGGAUCGAUGGUCGAACUAGUUAGACCACCGUUUUGACUGCCAAUUCAACAAAAAUUAAAAGUAUUUUAAAACUAAAUUAAGUACUUAGAUCAACCACAGUUUUUUGUCUCGGUUUUCAAUUUUUUACUAUUUCGCAAAUGACUUAAUCUAUAUAUGAUUUUAUGUCAUUAGUCGAAUUGAUUGAACCAUCAUUUUUUGAUUCAAUCAAUUCAAUUGACCAAUCCAAUUUAAUUCUGCCGUCAUUAGUUGUGAUUGUGGUCCCUUAAAAGAUUGUGAGUUUACCAAUAAAUGGUUGGAACAAGUGGGGAGUAGACUUUUUCCCAACAGGGAUGAAGACAAAUGGGUAGAGCUGUGACCUUGCCCCCUCUCAAAUAGUAGAUUUGCCAUUGAGUCCCUUAAUUUUUUAUGAAAUUACUUGAUAGUAUAAUAGUAAAAUUACACUUUGACCUCAAAUAAUUUGUGAUUCAUCUCUAUUCUCUAUAAAGCGAUUUUGUUUGGCUUCAUUUGUUCCGGAAGUACUUGCACCAAAUUCGAAUUCUCAGAUUUUAUCAAAAUACCACUUCGAUCCAAAUAAAUUUAAAUUUAACUUGUAAAACAGUUUUAAGACACUUGUGAUUAUACAGAAAAGAAUGGCAUAAUUAGGGUUACCUAAUACUCCUGCAUUUAAUCAGAAAUGGUGUUAAAGAAAAAAAGAGGGCAUUCGCAUAUCUUUCAAACAUUUGAAGUGGGACAGUGUGCGAAUAAAAACAGUGAGGUCGUGGGAUGUGAGUAGAUAGGGAACACUUAGUGUUGUGCCACCUUCACGUGGUAACAGGUACGUGAUUUUGACAGUGAACUCAUUUUUAUGUUUCUUUCACUUUCUCCUCUUUUUGAUUUCUUCUUCAAAAUAUCAACCUAGUUAGUGAAAAUUACUUAAACCCCCCCCUCCCCACACAAACUGUUUAGUAACUUCUGUUUUUCUCGCCUAGGUUAUUGGGCUUCAUCUUCACUUCUGCUUUGUCCUAACUUGUUAUGGCAAGAGACAUGAUAAAAUAAAUAUGCAAGUAGAAAAAAUUAUUCAAAAAUUGUAAAUAUUUGAGGGGUCAAACAAUAAAUUUUAUUAUUUUAUUAGCUAUAAUCUUAUAAAAUUUAAAAUAUCAAGAAGUAAUUUGUGGAGGCGAAGAAGAAUUAAAAUUUGUUCCUAUUUUUAGUGUUGUCAUUAUUUAAAAUUAUUAAUGAACGGUUCGUUACAUUGUUUAGAAGAGAAAUUAAAUUUAAGUAUUGAAAAUAAUAUUGUUAAAAAUAAUAGGUUGGUUAUAAAAAAAAAAGCCUAAAUUUAUAUACUUUCAACUGGACCAAGGCUGAAUAGACCUUUAUCACCUAAGACCAUUAGGCACGCCUUUUUCAUAAGAGUGACUCUUAUAGAUAAAUGAUAGCUCCAAAGUUUGACCAUACACCGUUAACAAGAGGAAGUAUAAAAGAUACAAGUUCAUAAUACCCUUUUUUUUCUGUUCUUUUUUUUUCUCAGGGUAAGUUUAGAAUAUUUAAAAUUAAGGAAUACCAGUAAAAUACAGGAUGAAGCCAGAAAAAUUUUUAGAGACUGAAAUUAAAUUAUAAUUUUAUAUGAUAGUAAAAAUGUAAUUUUAAAAGAUCAAAUCAAAAUUUUUUUAUUUUAAAGAGUUAAAGUAUAAUUUUAUUUUUACUAAUCUAAAAUUUAAUGGACUAUUGCCAACCCCCUUAAAUUUGCCUCUAGUUAUAUAUAUAUAAAUGAUGUUUUAGUUGAUGGUAUAUAAUGUUUUAGGUUUGAGUUUGUUUACGUGCAGAUUUUUUAUUAUAGAUUUGAUAUAAAAAUGUAAUAAUAUAAAAAAUAUUAUUAUUAUAAUAUUUAUUAUGUUAUAAAAAGAAUGUGUUUUUUUUUAAUAUUUUUCAAUCAAAUAAUUAUUUGAUUUGUAAUAGCCCUAAUUUGACCCUAGUCAGAAAGUGGUUUCGGGACCACAAAAUCGAGUCGUAAAAAUAAUUAACCGUCAUAUUCGAUGCUUAUUAUAUGUGAACGUGCAUGUGUGAAAGUUUCAUACUGUAAUUUUGUUAAUUGUAUGUGAAAUUAUUAAAUAGGACUUAUGUGAGAAAAUUUUGAAAUGUGAUAGAUAAAUUUAUAAGUGGUUUAUUAAUGCAUGUUUUAAAGGGUUUGGACUUGCAUGUCAAAUGUCCCUUUUUGUUUAUAGUGGCCGGCCAUGUUGAUGUUUAUGACAAUAUAUAUGUAUUAUUUAUUAGUUUUAAUGCAACUAAAUGGCUUUAUAAUUUUUAUAAUAUUAAUGAAUAAAGAAAUAAGUAAAAAUUUGGGUAAAGAAAACAAAGCUUUAUCUUUGUCUUCUUGGCCGAAUUGAAAGAAGGAAAUGGGGCAAAAACAUUCGGUCACUUGAAGCUUGAAGAAGGUUAAUAAAUUAUGUUAGUUUUUGAAAUUUUAAGCUUAGUUUAAGUUAAUUAACUAGUUUCAUAUUUAGCCCAUUUGAAAACUUUGAAAUUUGGAUGUUGGUUUGAGCUUUCGGUUGUGGUUGUCAAGGGAGGAGAUAAGAUUUUGUUUGUCUUGAACAAUCGUUUGGUAUAUAAAUGUUAAAUGGGAGCAAAUGCCGUUUGGGUGAUUGAAAUAAAUAAUUAGAGGUUUAAUUAUCAAAAGGUUCGGCUAUGUAUAUGAUUUUUAAGGUAUAAUUUUGAAUAAUAUAAGUAAUGUUAUGCAUAGGUUUCGGCUUGAUAUUAUCUUUAUAAGUAUAAUUAAUUCAUUUUGAUAAUAAAGUAUGAGGUGAUAGGUAAAAUUAUUAUGGUGGCUUAGGUUUAAUGACAUUUGGCUAUGGAUUAUAAGUGUUAGCUAAUUCGGCAUAAGAGUAUAAGUGUUCAUUUCUUUGUAUUUGAAGUCUUGAAAAAUAGGUAGUGGUUAAUUAAAGUGAUGAAGGCUAAAUCUUUAAGUUUGGUUAAAUUAGGCAUUCGACAUUUCUUAUGACAUUAGAUAUAAGUGUAUGAAAGGUUAAGUUUAAGUAGUUGGUGCGUUAAAAUGUUGGUGAUUUGGGUGCUACCUAUGGUUGAUUUAGGUACGGUCUUUGCAUGAGUAAAAAUAUACUUAUGGAGAUGGUUAUUAUAUUUUACUAAAGUAUCACUAUAUGCAUUUAUAUUAAGGAAUAUUCAGCUAUGUUAUAUAUAUAUUGAAAUGAUUAUAAUGGAUAAUAUGUAAGAGUAGUUUCGGUUUGUCAAAUAUGCGGUAUGUGUAUGGCAAAUUGUAUAACUAUGAUGCAUUGAAGUUACCCUAUAUGAUCGAGUAGAUAAUUAGAUUACUAGUAGUAUAUAUAUAUGUAAUAUUUUUAUUCAUGGUAACUUGGCAUGUGGAUUGGGUAUAUGUUAGUCAAUAUAUGCAUUGGAGGUGAUGUGUUAAAAUAAUUAGGUAUACGGUUUGGUUUCAUUAUUGAGUAUAAGGGUUAAGUGCUUUAAAUUGCCUUUGAUGUUCGAAAUGAUUAAAUAAAUUUAUUGGUUUAAAUUAAGCUCAAGAGCAAAGAGAAGCUAGAUCCGAUAAGGGAAAGGAGAAAGCAGUCGAAUAGCCUAUUCACAACUAUUCAAAAUUUUCCGAGGUAAGUCUUUGAGUAAUGGAACUUAGCUUAUGAUUUGAUAAAAUCAUGAUAUAUAAGCAUAAUAUAUAAAUUGUGACCUAAUGUAUCUACUUGAAUUAAGUAGUGAGAUAAGUAAUUUGUACAUAUGACUUGUAUCCGAAUGGUUAUAGAAAUCAUGUUGGAUAGUGAAACGAAAUCGGGUUCUUUGCAUGUGACUAAUGAGCCGAAAGUGAAAUUAUUGAUAAGCAUGUUGUGCUUGAGUUCUAGUAAGGUAAAUGAAAUGCUAAUGUAUUAUGAUAUAUAUAUGUGUGUGAACGAUAAUUGAGGAUUUUAACCGGGCUAAGACCCGCAGGCCUUGUGUGAGAUAUAUAUCCGGGCUAAUUCCCGAAGGCAUUCGUGCUAGUGUUAUAUCCGGGCUAAGUCCCGAAGGUAUUCGUGCUGGUAUUAUAUCCGGGCUAAGUCCCGAAGGCAUUCGUGCUGGUGUUAUAUCCGGGCUAAGUCCCGAAGGCAUUCGUGCUGGUGUUAUACCUGGGCUAAGUCCCGAAGGCAUUCGUGCUGGUGUUAUAUCCGGGCUAAGUCCUGAAGGCUUUGUGCUAGUAUUACAUCCGGGCUUAAAGUCCCGCAUGCUUUGUGGUGGUGAUUGGAUUUGGGUUUUAAACCUAGCAGACUUAAUGCCGAUGAUUGGAGUAAGAUUUUGAUUUCGAAUGUUCGUAGUAAACUACCAUUGAAUAUGUUCAAUACAUUAAGUUGGUCAGGUAUGUAUUAUAUACUUUUAUAUGUUAGAUUGAUCGGAAUUGAAUCAUGAAUGCGAAAUGAGAAGUAUAUGUGAAAAUCUCAUAUGUGUAUGUGUGUAUUCGGUUAUGGUGAAAGGUUAUAUGAGAUUGAUUUGGUGAUAUACAUGUUAAAUAAUAUGAAUGCAAAGAAUGGGUAAUAAAUCUGCAUGAGACAGCAGCAGUAACGUGAUUUCAGAAAAUCACCAUAAAUUGUGGGAGUUGAGUUAGAGGCUGAAUAAAUUAUGUUAUGAAAUUUUAAUGAGCCUAGUUUCUUAUAAAAGAAACUGUGUAAGCAAAAGAAUUGCCAAUAAUGAGAUAAUUGAAGUGGCGUGGAAUGGAGUCAAAAUGACUUCGAGGUCCCCUGUUCUGUUUUCAGAAAAUUAUUAUAAAUGGUACAAAAAUGGUUAUAAGAUAAAAUUUAUAUUCUUAGAUUCCUUAAUGAGUCUAGUUUCAAAUGAAAUAAAUGAUAACAUAUUUCGAAUUCUGUAUAAUGAGAAAAUUGAUUCGUAGUGAAGAGUGGUCAGAAUAGUCAAACAGUGAAACAGGGGAAAUUUCAAUACAAAUCUGGUAUUGAUUGGUCAAACCAAAAAUUCUGAAAAUUUUAUAUAUGGAAGAUAUAUGAGUCUAUUUUCAGGGAAAAUUUACAGCACUUGAUUUGGAGUUUCUUAUCUCCAGUUAUAAAUAAUUUAGUGACUGUUGCUCAGGAAGACAGCUUGUAGUGAAUUUGUGAUUUUGUUGCAAACAUGGUUAAAACUUGUUAAUGAGAUGCUUUUCGAGUUCUUACGAUCUUAUUUGUGAUUUAAAUAUUUGGUUUUAAUUGAGUUCAGAUUCAAGUGAGGUGAAUUUGCUAAAUAUGCAUUACGUUCAUGGAUACUUGGCCAAAGUGGCAAUUAUCUAGGAAUGAUUUCUUGAAAAUUUGAAAUAAUCGAUCUAUAAGUAAAUUAAUUGUUUGCAUUGCUUAAAACUUACUAAGCAUUGAAGCUUACUCCGUGUUCUCUUUUCCAUUUCUUAUAGGUUUAUACUUUAGCUCGAGUUGGAAGGGCCGGAGAUAUCAUGUAACACCCCCUAACCCCAAACCGUCGCCGGAACGAGGUUAUGAGGCAUUACCGGACAUAUCAGACAACUUACGAAUAAUUUACAAUUAAUAUAACUUUCAUAGUAUAAUAUAAUAAUUAAGUCCCUAUCUUGAACUCUCGAAGUUCAAACACGUAUUAAAAGUAGAACGGGACUUGUUCGAGUAUUCUAAUUUUUUUUUUAUAAAAAUUUCGGCAGCAUUUCUGCUUAUUUUUACCUAAACCUCCUGUAAAUUCAAACCAAAACAACCAACACCAAUAUUUCACAUUCAUAUACUAAUAUUUAUAUUAUUAACAAAAUUUUAAUUUAAUAACUAUCAUAGCAUCAUUCAAAAUUGAUUAAAAACUUCAUUCAUUUAACAACUUAAUGUUCAUGUAUCAAAAUAUCAUGUACUUUCCUUACCAUUUCAUUUAACCAUCUAAAUUUUAUAAUUCAUCCUUCACUACUCAAAACAAUAUACAUAUUCAGGUGACUAAACAACACCUAUGUACAUGCCACCUUUACCCAAAAGAAAAAUAUACAUCACCAAGUUUGUGUUGGAGUCGGGAUUGUUCUGGAUGCUGAGCUGGGACACUUAACUUCUACUAACCUGCGCACGGAAACAACUGUACGCUGAGUAUGGAUAUACUCAGUGGUAUUACUAUAACUCAAGACUAUUUAACAUUAAUAAAUUACAAACAUCAACCAUAAAUUCUAUAAUUAUUUAAACUACUUUUAUAUAUAAUUAUUUUACUUCAUAAAUCUUAAAUUCAUAAUUCAUUUUUCUCAUACUAACUCAAUUCAUAAUUUAGUUCAUACAUUCUUUCUCGUACUUUUCAAUAGUACUAAAACAAAUAAUCUCAUUUUCAAAAUUUCAUUUCAAUUAUUUACCCUACUAACAAAGCUCGGACUAUGACAGAUACGCGGAUUCCAUCCAAACACACCAGAAUGUCCAACCCAAACACACCCGGAAUAUUGUAAAUCCUCCAUAACACACCGGUAUAAUAUAUCCUCCCAAACACACCAAUAAGGCAUUAAAUGCCUAUUCGGAUAAACCGAAGUAUAUAAUAACAGAAACAUCUUCUCGGCCGAACUACAAUCUCUUCAUCACAUCACAAAUCUAAUGGCAUGCCAUUUGUAUCGAAUCUAGUCCGACAAGUUAAUAGGGUAUUAUUUUACUUUUUCUAAUUUCAAUUUCAUUUACACAAAAAUUUUCAAUACUCAUUCAAUUCAAAUAUCUAUUAUCUUAAUUCAUAUACAAAUUAAUUUUCACACAAGUGUAUACCAUCAACACCAUACAUUUGUCACAAUUUAUUUAUUUUCAAUCAAUACACUUUUCAAAUAAUCACAUAUUCCAUAAUUCACUCAAUAUUCAUAUCGAUUUCACAUACUUACCUCAAGUCUUAUUUACCAUACAUAACAAUUAAAAUUUCAGCAAUCAAUAAUAAUUAAAAUUUGAAUUAUAGUAAUACACACCGUAAUUCUCCCGUUUUAGUCCUCGAUGACUUUUUCCUUUCCUUUCGAUGCUGAUGCUUCCGGUUCUUUGUUGGCUAUGAAAAUAAUAGUAAUUUACAUUAUUAUUUACAGCAUUAAUUAUAAUAAAUAAUUAAAUUUCUAAACAAUUCCUACCUUAUUCCCAAUUUAAUCCUAACUAAACUUAAUUAUUUUCUUAAUCCAAUUCUCUCUCUUUUUCUAUUCAAAUUUUGUCUAAACUUAUAUUUAACUAUAAAAUUUCCAGCAUAUUUCCCUAAUUUCGAAAUUUCUUCAAUUUAGUCCCUACAACAUAAAACUUAUAGCCUAGUUUACAAUUUAAUACCUUAAUCAAUUCUAACUUAGAAUUCAUUCAAUUAAAUCCUUAAUUCCAUAAUUUUUCCAACAUGAACCCUACUUGGAAACAUAUGAACUCUUGAACUAUCAACUUAAUUUCAUCAAAAUCUUGUUUCAAAGCUUCUAAAACAUCAAAAUUAAGAAAAAAGGACUUAAUUAAGCUUACCAAACAAGUUUGAAGCUUCAAAAUCCAAUUUUCCCUUUUUCUUUUUUUUCCCUUUUUUCGAAUGCUCUCUGUUUCUUAUUCUGUUUGUUUCUUUUUAUUUCAUUCUUUUAUUCUUUUAUUUACUUUAUUAUUUUAUUAACAUAAUAUAAUAUUAAUAUCAUAUAUUAAAAUAUCUUUUACUUUAAUAUUAAGUAAAUUAAUAAUUAUAUAACAAGUGUACCUAUUUAUAUUAUUACAAAUGUCAUUAUUUAAUUUGCUUAUUAAAUAAAAAUCUCUUGAUUUAAUUAAUACAAUUAAUAAUUAUAAAAUAUUUUUAUACUUAAAUUAUAAGUAAUUAAAUAUUUAAAUUACAAAUGUACCCAUACAAUUCUUACACAUGUAUACUUUAUUACCAUACAAUUGUCUUCUAUUUAAUUUAUUUAUAAUAUAUUAUCAAUUAAAUAAUCAUAACAAUUUAAUAUAAAACCAUAAUAAUAAUCAUUAUAAUAUAUAAAACCUAAAAAAAAAUCUUUGAUUUUAUUUCACCAAUAUGCCACCUCAUUUGUAGUCAAUGGCUUAAUUGCCAUUUUAAUCCUUUUUAUUUUUUAUUGCUUUAUAAUUAAACUUUUACCCUUUACUCAAUUUAAUCCCUUUUUAUUACUUACUCUAAAUUAAACUAAAUUCACUUAAUUAGAUCCUAAUUAGACACACCACUAGGCUCAUAAAUAUUUUUAAUAAUUAUUUUCGAACUUAUUUCACUAAGACGGAGGCCCUAUAACUCACUUUUCCAGUGCCCGUAAAUUUCAGGUCAUUACAAUCACACUAUCGAGUCAUUAUGUGAGUUGAGAAGAUUGUAUAUCAUCAUGGUUUAAGGCAUGUAUAGGAUAGACUAUAGGUAGAAUGAUAUUUCGACUUUGUAUACAUUAUAGCCAUGCGAAGAUGGCUUGCUCAUUUUGUUUAGAGAAGCCUUAUAAUUGAACUAAUGUGGUGAAAUGUUUUAGUUAUAACUUGACAGUAGUUAAUUUGUUAUUAGAUAUUCGGUUAUGUUUUGAUAGUGAGUCAUUUUGGAAAUUUAUAAGAGCUCUUAUGGAAAAUCAAUGAGACAUGUUUGCAUUGUUGAUUAUUUAUGUCUGGUAAGUAUCUUUGACCUUAUAGAAGUUUUGUUCAGUCAAGUAAUACCUCUUAACCUUAUUCCGGCAACGGAUACGGGUUUGGAGUGUUACAUGAUUAACUCAUGACAUCAAUUCAAUCAAACAUUUGAGUCUAGAUUAGAGAUGGAUAUGGAAUAAGGCGAGGUGGAUGAGCCCAACAGUUAGACAUCUCACCACUCCACCAUGGAUGUACAAUUUUGAAAAUCAUUAUCACCUUCUCAGAUGUGGAGGAUGUUAGAUGCAUCCAUCCUCACCACUUUUCAAUUUAACUUUUGCCAGUUAUUUAUAAUAUUUUCAAUAUUAUUUAAAACAUAUUGUAACACUCCUAUACCCAACUCGAUUGUCGAGUCAAGACAUCAGGAUAUUACAUUCGUUACUGAAACAACUACUAAAAAUUUUAGAUCAAUUUAUCAUAUUAUUGAAUUAAUGUAGAUUAUUAACUUGUUUUAGUAAUAACUGAAGUUACGAUAGAACUAAUAAUGAGUUAAAUGAGCUCAUUAAAACAUCCACAAUUGAUCAAAGGCCAAACUGUAAAGUUUACAAAAAAUUUUGAAUUGUCGUCACGAUGUUGGGGUUUCCACGUCAUGACAUGGCGAACUUGUCAUCAUGACGUCGCCUUCAUUUUCUUACAAGUUCCACGUUUUAUUUUUAUUUAUUUAUUUUUAUAUAUCAUUACUCGAAUAUAUAUUUAGAUGUCAUAACCGCCACUUCAUUUUACAUAUCAUCUACUUACAUCUAUUUCU